rnacentral:lncRNA from 1 species
GAGUUUAUCAUAUUGAGUUUUGUUGGUAUUGGUUCCGUGAUUGAGUUUUGUUAGUACUGAUUGGGGGUGAUUGUUGUGCUUCUUAUUAUCAAGUCUCCGUGGUUUUGUCGAAUUAUAUCAUGUUUGCUAUCAUCGAUGUGGUUUUGAUGUGGUUUUGUCGGAUUGAAGAACGCCAAUUCUGAAUAUGAUUCUUUAUGUGAUGAUGGCGAUUUUUGAAUCUUUUGAUCAAAUUCCUUUAUCCUUUUCAGCUGGUGACGGGGUCUCUGAGAUUUUUCUUCUACUUUCCUUUCUAUUAUUUGAUUUAUCUGGUAUUGAUCACGAAAAUAAGAAUUGGACUAUGAUUUGUUUAUCUGCAGUGGUGUAACACGUCUCUAUACUUCUUCCUUUUAUUAAGAGCUUAGUUCGUUUUCUUGAAUUUUUGGGUUGUACAGGGAAGACACACAAUGGAUGUGAAAUGAAGAUUAUGUUUUGUUACCCUUAACUUUUUUAUGGGUUUAUUCGUGACUGAUCAUUUGAUUUCGUAGUCUAACUUUGUGUUUAUGUUCACUCCCCUUCAGCAAUUGGAGUUUCUGAGAUUUGAAACCCUAAAAAGUUUAAAACGGUUGCAGCUCAGGAUAUCCCAAUUCUCUCUAUCUAUUGUUUAAUUUCUCUCUACUUGAUCUCCAAGGAUUGAAUUGUGUUCGACGUUUGAAUUAUUUUCCCUUAAUGUCCUGCAACAUCUCAUGGAGUAUGUUAUGAGGCCCCAAGGAUUGAAUUGGUGUUUGAAUUAUUUUCGCUUAAUGUCCUGCAGAGUAUGUUAUGAGACAUAAGGGUUGAAUUGUGAUUUGUUUCCUGUUUGGAUGAUUUGCACAGUGUCCUGCAUCUUAUAGAAUAUGAAUGACUUGGUUUUCGCACGGUUCUCGCGAGUAUGUUAUGGCCACCAUUCUUCCUUGGUUUUUUAAGUCUUCAAUUUAUCUUAUCAUUCUAUACUUCGUCCUCGAUUACCAGUUAUACUUUCUUCAAUUAUUGUUCUUUACAGGGGUGUGGGGGUAGGACAGGGAUCAAGUUCCUAUAACUAGUAAAUUCAUUUACGUGAAUUUUGAGUAUAAUUCUCUAUUUGAGUAUGAUGAGUUUUAUACCUUAUUGCUUAAAUUUCUUUUCAGCUGGUGGCUGGUUUUUUGGCAUUUCUUUUGCCUAUAGAUGAUAUGGAAAGCACACCGACCAAGGGCUCGACAUAACCUUAAGUCUUUUUUGAGUUUCCCUUAUAUUUUUUUUUAUGGUAUUACAAAAGGAUUGAACUAUGAUUUGUUUAUCUGCAGUGGUGUUUGGAUUAGUUGGGUAAUGUCACAUAUUCAACUUAUAAAGUUUCUGUAAUUAGUAAAUUCAUUUAGGUGAAUUCUGAGUACAAUUUUCUAUUUGAAGAUGACGAAUUUUAAACCUUUUGCAUAAAUUUCUUUGCACCUUUUCAGUUGGUGGCUGGUUCUCUGGCAUUUCUUUUGCCUAUGGAUGAUAUGAAAAGCACAAUAACCAAGGGGCUCGUCAUAACCUAAGUCUUUUUUGAGUUUUCCUUCUUUUUUUCUUUUUUCCUGGUAUUGUUCACAGUACAUAAGGAUUAAACUAUGGUUUGUUUAUUUGCAGUGGUGUUUGGAUUAGAUGGGUAACAACGCAUAUUCAUCGUAUCAAGUUUCUAUAACUAGUAAAUUCAUUUACGUCAAUUUUGACUAUAAUUUUCUAUUUGAGUAUGACGAGGAAAAUUACUUCAAUUUCUUUUCAUUUGACCAAGGGCUCAACAUAACCUUAAAUCUUUUUUGAGUUUCCCUUAUAUUUUUUUUAUGGUAUUACAUAAGGAUUGAACUAUGAUUUGUUUAUCUGCAGUGGUGUUUAGAUUAGUUGGGUAACGUGCAGAUUCAUUUUAUCAAGUUUCUAUAACUAGUAAAUUCAUUUACGUGAAUUUUGAGUAUAAUUAUCUAUUUGAGUAUGAUGAGUUUUAAACCUGUUGCGUAAAUUUCUUUUCAGCUGGUAGCUGGUUUUUUGGCAUUUCUGUUGCUUAUGGAUGAUAUGAAAAGCACAACAACCAAGGGCUAGACAUAACCUUAAGUCUUUUUUGAGUUUCCCUUCUAUUAUUUUUUUAUGGUUCUACAUAAGGAUUGAACUAUGAUUUGUUUAUCUGCAGUGGUGUUUUGGAUUAGUUGGGUAAAUUUCUUUGCUCCUUUUCAGCUGGAGUUCUCUGGCAUUUCUUUCUCCUAUGGAUGAUAUGAAAAGCAGAAGGACCAAGGGCCUCGACAUAACCUAUUUUUCUGCUACGGACUAUGAUUUGUUUAUCUGCAGUGGUGUAACACGUUUCUAUACUUCUUCCUUUUAUUAAGAGCUUAGUUCGUUUUCUUGAUUUUUUUGCUGUAUAGGUAGUUCGUUUUCUUGAAUUUUUGGGCUAUACAGGGAAGGCACGGAAUGGAUGUGAAAUGAAGUAUUAUGUUUUGUUACCUUUAAGUCUUUUUUGAGUUUCCCUUCUAUUAUUUUUUUAUGGUUUUACAUAAGGAUUGAACUAUGAUUUGUUUAUCUGCAGUGGUGUUUUGGAUUAGUUGGGUAACGUUGCAUAUUCUUCUUAUCAAGUUUCUAUAAUUAGUAAAUUCAUUUAGGUCUAUAUGAGGAUGACGAGUUUUGAACCUUCUGCGUAAAUUUCUUUGCACCUUUUCAGCUGGAGUUCUCUGGCAUUUAUUUCUCCUAUGGAUGAUAUGAAAAGCAGAAGGAUCAAGGGGCUCGACAUAACCUAAGUCUUUUUUGAGUUUUAUUUCUUCUUUUUUUUCCUGGUAUUUAUGACAGUACAUAAGGAUUGAACUAUGAUUUGUUUAUCUGCAGUGGUGUUUGGAUUAGUUGGAUAACGACGCAUAUUCAUCUUACAAGUUUCUAUAACUAGUAAAUUCAUUUACGUGAAUUUUGAGUAUAAUUCUCUAUUUGAGUGUGACGAGUUUUAAACCUUUUGCCUAUCUGGUAUUGAUCACGAAAAUAAGGAUUGGACUAUGAUUUGUUUAUCUGCAGUGGUGUAACACGUCUCUAUACUUCUUCCUUUUAUUAAGAGCUUAGUUCGUUUUCUUGAAUUUUUGGGUUGUACAGGGAAGACACACAAUGGAUGUGAAAUGAAGAUUAUGUUUUGUUACCCUUAACUUUUUUAUGGGUUUAUUCGUGACUGAUCAUUUGAUUUCGUAGUCUAACUUUGUGUUUAUGUUCACUCCCCUUCAGCAAUUGGAGUUUCUGAGAUUUGAAACCCUAAAAAGUUUAAAACGGUUGCAGCUCAGGAUAUCCCAAUUCUCUCUAUCUAUUGUUUAAUUUCUCUCUACUUGAUCUCCAAGGAUUGAAUUGUGCUCGACUAUUUUACCUUAAAGUCCUGCAGCAUCUCAUGGAGUGUGUUAUGAGGCCCUAAGGGUUGAAUUGGUGUUUGAAUUAUUUUCGCCUAAUGUCCUGCAGAGUAUGUUAUGAGAUUUAAGGGUUGAAUUGUGAUUUGUUUCCUGUUUGGAUGAUUUGCAUAGUGUCCUGCAUCCUAUGGAAUAUGUAUGGUUUUCGCACGGUCAUCGCGAGUAUGUUAUGGCCACCAUCUUCCUUGGUUAUUUAAGUCUUCAAUUUAUCUUAUCGUUCUAUAGUUCAUCCUUGAUUACCAGUUAUACUUUGUUGAAUUAUUGUUCUUCACAGGGAUGUGUGGGGGUAGGACAGGGAUGUGUGGGUAGGACUUUCCUCGUGGUUGGUUGAAAAUGAUGGAUGAGUCAUGCUUGACGGUAUGAAAAACACAAUGACAAAGGGCUCGACAUAACCUAAGUCUUUUUUGAGUUUUCCUUAUAUUUUUUCUUUUUCCUGUUAUUGAUCACAGUACAUAAGGAUAUGAUUUGUUUAUCUGCAGUGGUGUUUGGAUUGGUUACGAUGCAUAUUCAUCUUACAAGUGGUGGCUGGUUUUUUGGCAUUUCUUUUACCUAUGGAUUAUAUGAAAAGCACAACGACCAAGCAUUUCUAUUAUUUUUAUGGUAUUACAUAAGGAUUGAACUAUGAUUUGUUUAUAUGCAGUGGUGUUUGGAUUAGUUGUGUAACGUCUAUGUUCAUCGAAUCAAGUUUCUGUAAUUAGUAAAUUCAUUUAGGUGAAUUCUGAGUAUAAUUCUCUAUUUGAGGAUGACGAGUUUUAUCCUUUUGCAUAAAUUUCUUCUCACCUUUUCAGUUGGUGGCUGGUUCUCUGGCAUUUCUUUUGGCUAUGGAUGAUAUGAAAAGCACAACGACCAAGGGGCUCGACAUAACCUUCAAGUCUUUUUUGAGUUUUCCUUCUAUUUUUCUUUAUCCCGGUAUUGAUCACAAUACAUAAGGAUAUGAUUUGUUUAUCUGCAGUGGUGCUUGGAUUAGUUGGGUAACGUAGCAUAUUCAUCUUAUCAAAUUUCUAUAAUUAGUAAAUUCAUUUAGGUGAAUUCUGAGUAUAAUUCUCUAUUUGAGGAUGAAGAGUUUUGAACCUUUCGCAUAAAUUUUUUUUCACCUUUUCAGCUGGUGGCUGGUUCUCUGGCUUUUUUUUUGCCUAUGGUGAUAUGAAGAGAACAACGACCAAGGGCUCAACAUAACCUAAGUCUUUUUUUAGUUUUGCUUCUAUUAUUUAUAUUUUCUGGUAUUGAUCACCUACCACAAGGAUUGUAAUAUGUUUUUUUUUAUCUGCAGUGGUGUUUGUGUAACGUCGCAUAUUCAUCUUAUCAACUUUCUAUACUUCCUCCCUCUUAUUAGCGAUUAUCUUUUCCUUCAAUUUUUGGACUGUACAGGGUUUAUCGUUUCCUUCAGUUAAAUUCGGUUUUCGUGUUCAUUCCUUUUCAGCAAGUCCCGAGUCUGAGAUUUCUUUUGGCGGUUGAGGAACUAGAGUUUAGAAUGGUUGCACAUCAGGAUAUCCUAAUUUCUCAAUGAGUGUAUCCUCUAUUAUUUUAUUUAAUCUCAGCAGCGGUGUUUAGAUGAUUUUUGCUUAUUGUACUUCAUCUCAUGAGUGUGUUAGGAGGGCGACAGUGUCUCCCUUAAUUUUUUGAUUUAUCUAAUCAUCCGUUAUAGAUUUGUUGUAUUAUUGUUCUUUAGGGAUGUGUGGGCUUAUAGUUUUGUUGAAUUAUUGUUCUUUACAGGGAUGUGUUGGGUAGGACGUGGAAACCAUGUCGGGAUAUUUCUUGAACUGUGAAUCAUUCGUUUUUUUUCCUACUCUUACACUAGUUUUUUCUAUUGCAUUAGUUUGUAUUUGGCCAACCUUGUUGGUUCGAUUUUUAUUUUUUCUUCUUAGGCAUAACCAAAUAAAUAUUGGAGGGCUAAUGAAUGUCCUAUUUUAACAUAUGAUCACGACAAAUGGUCUCUUGGCAGCUUGAUUUUAUGAUCCGUGUCUCUAUGCACUGUGACCUUAGGCACUUUGGUGGUCUCAGGCCUAGAUAAAUUGAAAAGAAGUAUCUUGGAGUCAUUCCCUUCAUUUUAGUAGUGGUAAUUAGCAAGAGCUCAGGACUAUUUGGCUCCAAUUUUUUUAUUACAAAACUUUAUUUUGUCUUAGUUUUCUUUUUUUGACAAAUGAAUUUUCGGAAACAGUGAAUGGAGGUCCAGUGAAACUUUAGGUUUUAUUAUCUUUGCAUUCAUUAUUAUUUUCUUUGCGGUUAUUCUUUUGGCUAACCUUGUGGCUAAACAUGUAGAGUGGCAGUUCUUGUAAACAGGCACUAUAUGAGUAUGAUAGGCUUUGACAUUUGUUUUGUUGUGCCUUCGAUUAUCUUCUUCUACUUGGGUUGCAGUGACUUACUAUGAGCGGUUCCCAUGGUUUUCAAUUUUUGAAUUUACCUUAACUUUUCUUUACUCUGUCAUGUCAUGCUUUUAAGAAAAUUAGUUUUCUCAAAUCCCCAUGCUUCUGGUUGAGCUUUUACAGGAAAACUAUAGAUAUAUGGGGCAGGUUUCGGAAAUAAUUAUUGGACUUUACAGGGAAUUCAUGGGCUACCCAAAAUGAGGUGUGAAUUAUGUGAUAUGUGAAGCUCAAUGUUUUUAUUAACGGUACAUUGUAGUAUCUGAAUUAAUUUUUAACUGGCUCAACUUGUUGGUUUGAUUAUAAUCUUGGUUGUAUUUUGAUGGUGUAUGGUUCAUAAGUGGCAUUGUGAGCAUGGGACAAGUGCGGUUGGACUUUAUUUUUUGAUUUGAUAGUUUGCUUCUUGGUUUGAAAAGUUUAGGAUUUAGGGUUUAUUUGACGCCUUUUGGAUAAUCCUCUGAUAUAGGUCUUUGGCUCUUUAUUAGUUUUCCAAACCUUUGAUUCAUUAUUCUUGAUGAGUAAGCAUAUGGGUUGAGUUGUUGAGGUAUGAAUUUGUUUGAAAUUGUUUCAUGUCCCUGGAGUCUUAUUUUGACUGACAGCAAUGUCUCUUACUAUGAAUGACAGUAAUCUCUGAGCCUAUUAUGUGUAUGGAAAUUUUUGAAGUCAGUAUAAUAAUAUCUCACAACUUUGGUCACAUUUCUAUUUUACAUAUAAAUUAUUAACAAAGGGAGGAGAUAAAACAAGUUGUUAUGUAGUAGUAGAAUCUAUUUCUCUUUGAAAUUAUUGUUAAGGACCUACGAGUCAAGUUUUUAUAUUUAAUUUUUUUCCUAUACCAGUCAAUGAUAUAACUCAGCCGUGAAUCUUGAUCAUUCCUUUCUAUAUAUAUACCCAAUAUCUGUUUUGUUGGUAUUGCUUCAGUUAUUGUUGUGAUUCUUUACAAGGUUUUGUGGAAUUACAUGAUGUUUGUGUCGUGGGAUAGAAGAAUUAUUAAGAAUUAUUAGUAAACCGCUUCAUGAAAUUUGAUAUUAGUUUUUUUUUUUCCUUUUUAAAAUGCAGAGGUUUCAAUAUUCAUCAAAUUAAAUGCAUUAGUCAAAUGUUAAAUGCAAUAGUCACAUGGUUUUUAUAAUAAAAUUUAAAUAUAAUAAUAAUAUUAUAUGUAUAUAUAUAUUAUUUUUUAUUAUUGGCCUUUUUGUAAUAAAAUUUAAAUAUAAUAAUAAUAUUGUAUAUAUAUAUAUUAUUUUUUAAAUUAAAAUAAUAACUAUGUGUCUAUUUUUUUAUUCAUAUUUUAUUAUAUGUGUCAUGAGAAUAAUAUUAUGAAAUUAUUUAUUUAAUUCAUCUAUAAAUAAGAAAAAAAUUAUUUUAAUAAACAAAACAAAAGUUUAUUCAAAAUUUAUAUUUAAUUUUUCAUUAAUUAAAAAAAAAUCUUAUGUGGAUUGGUUCGUGAUUAGCUAGCAUGCGAGGCGGGCCAAUAAAAGCCAUCUGUAUAUUUUAUGCAGGACAAACCAACCUAGCUACAUUUUGUGAGUCAAAUUUGAGUCUGAUGAACCUGCAUUGCCAUCCAUACCCAUUAUUCUCAUGUUAUCCUAAGGAUGAACAACUCUAAUACCAUAAAUGUAACACUACACUUAUUAUAAAAUUUAUUAUAAUCUAAUAUUAGUAGAAUAAACUAUUCAAAAACUAUAUAAAUUAUACAUGGAUUUAUAUAUAAAAAGAUAUUUAAUCCAUUUCUAAUUAGGCUAAAAUAUUCCUGCUCAAGCUUGAAAAAAAAACUUAUUUUUUAUUUUUUCUUCUUGUCUCAUAAGUGAAUCGGAUUCUUUAGCAAAAAAAUCUUUGCUUACUAAAAACAUGUUUGAGUGCAUGAUUAUUUUUGCUUGAGAAAAAUAUCAAAAAAAUUAACUAUUGCAAUAAUAUAUAGUCAUUUUUAAAGUUGUACCUUAAAAUCAAUUCAAAUUUAAACAUUAAAAAAAUAUAUUCAACAACACGCAUCAAAAUAUGAUCACAUCACUCUUUAAUUUAGAUUAUUUUGCUAAGAUUUUUUUUUAUGUGAAAUUCUUUAUUGUAAGAAAAAAUCUACCUCAAACAAAAGAAUCACUCAAAAUUUAAAGACCUAAAACAAAAUAUCUAAACUUAAUUAAAUUUUAAUAUAAGAUUAUCAAUUUGGCAACUAAUUUUACCAAGAUGGAUGACAAAAUUAUAAAAAAAUGAAAAAAUAAUGAAAAAAUUGAGAAUAUUUAGGAUAAAUAAGAACUUAUCUAGAUAAAAAUAAUUUCUAACUCUUUAGCUAUUGUAGGUGUUAUCAAAAUUUGAAGCUAUUGUAGGAUGUCAUCAAAAUUUGAAAUAAAUGAAGUGUGAAAAAAGAAAAGUAUAAAGAAAGGAAUGAAGAAAGAAAAGAAAGAAAGAAUAUUAGGAUAUAACCUUCUUAUCUUCUCUUCCAUAUCUAAAGUGGAAUUAUCGUAUAAGAAAUCUUAAAAAAAUUGACUAUAUUUAUAUUUCUAUUGAAAUUGUUUUAUUUGAGAAUUUAAAAUUUUAACAGACUUUCCUAAAAAAGUAUAUUUUCUGAAUUAUAUUCUAAAUUAUAAUUGAAUUGUGUAUAUAAUUUUGUAGUUGCAAUAAAUAAAAAAUAUUAUAAUAAAAGAGAUCAAACAAAUUCUUAUUAAUUUUUAUGUAAUAGAAUUUUUAUAUUAAUUCGAAACAAAUUUUAUAAAAUGGGUUUGAAUUAACAAGUCACAUCAGUGUUAACUUAAAAAUGUAAUAAACUAUUUAUUAUAUUAUAUACUUUCCCGCUAAGUGAGUUGGCGCCCAAAAUCCUCUCUUAUAUAUAAAGACAGUAACAGUGAACCAAAGAAACACAACAAAACUAAAUUUAUAAUUUUCUCUCCCUUCAAUGGCUUCCGAGAACAUUCGCCGGAACGAUGAGGUGAUGACAGCGCUCAAACUCCAUUCCAACUCUCCAAUUUCAAGCGUCAAAUGUACUCUUCUCUCUUCUGUAACUUACCAUCUUUUUGGAAAUCUCCAGAGUUGAAACCAAAUCCUACAGCGUGNNNNNNNNNNNNNNNNNNNNNNNNNNNNNNNNNNNNNNNNNNNNNNNNNNNNNNNNNNNNNNNNNNNNNNNNNNNNNNNNNNNNNNNNNNNNNNNNNNNNNNNNNNNNNNNNNNNNNNNNNNNNNNNNNNNNNNNNNNNNNNNNNNNNNNNNNNNNNNNNNNNNNNNNNNNNNNNNNNNNNNNNNNNNNNNNNNNNNNNNNNNNNNNNNNNNNNNNNNNNNNNNNNNNNNNNNNNNNNNNNNNNNNNNNNNNNNNNNNNNNNNNNNNNNNNNNNNNNNNNNNNNNNNNNNNNNNNNNNNNNNNNNNNNNNNNNNNNNNNNNNNNNNNNNNNNNNNNNNNNNNNNNNNNNNNNNNNNNNNNNNNNNNNNNNNNNNNNNNNNNNNNNNNNNNNNNNNNNNNNNNNNNNNNNNNNNNNNNNNNNNNNNNNNNNNNNNNNNNNNNNNNNNNNNNNNNNNNNNNNNNNNNNNNNNNNNNNNNNNNNNNNNNNNNNNNNNNNNNNNNNNNNNNNNNNNNNNNNNNNNNNNNNNNNNNNNNNNNNNNNNNNNNNNNNNNNNNNNNNNNNNNNNNNNNNNNNNNNNNNNNNNNNNNNNNNNNNNNNNNNNNNNNNNNNNNNNNNNNNNNNNNNNNNNNNNNNNNNNNNNNNNNNNNNNNNNNNNNNNNNNNNNNNNNNNNNNNNNNNNNNNNNNNNNNNNNNNNNNNNNNNNNNNNNNNNNNNNNNNNNNNNNNNNNNNNNNNNNNNNNNNNNNNNNNNNNNNNNNNNNNNNNNNNNNNNNNNNNNNNNNNNNNNNNNNNNNNNNNNNNNNNNNNNNNNNNNNNNNNNNNNNNNNNNNNNNNNNNNNNNNNNNNNNNNNNNNNNNNNNNNNNNNNNNNNNNNNNNNNNNNNNNNNNNNNNNNNNNNNNNNNNNNNNNNNNNNNNNNNNNNNNNNNNNNNNNNNNNNNNNNNNNNNNNNNNNNNNNNNNNNNNNNNNNNNNNNNNNNNNNNNNNNNNNNNNNNNNNNNNNNNNNNNNNNNNNNNNNNNNNNNNNNNNNNNNNNNNNNNNNNNNNNNNNNNNNNNNNNNNNNNNNNNNNNNNNNNNNNNNNNNNNNNNNNNNNNNNNNNNNNNNNNNNNNNNNNNNNNNNNNNNNNNNNNNNNNNNNNNNNNNNNNNNNNNNNNNNNNNNNNNNNNNNNNNNNNNNNNNNNNNNNNNNNNNNNNNNNNNNNNNNNNNNNNNNNNNNNNNNNNNNNNNNNNNNNNNNNNNNNNNNNNNNNNNNNNNNNNNNNNNNNNNNNNNNNNNNNNNNNNNNNNNNNNNNNNNNNNNNNNNNNNNNNNNNNNNNNNNNNNNNNNNNNNNNNNNNNNNNNNNNNNNNNNNNNNNNNNNNNNNNNNNNNNNNNNNNNNNNNNNNNNNNNNNNNNNNNNNNNNNNNNNNNNNNNNNNNNNNNNNNNNNNNNNNNNNNNNNNNNNNNNNNNNNNNNNNNNNNNNNNNNNNNNNNNNNNNNNNNNNNNNNNNNNNNNNNNNNNNNNNNNNNNNNNNNNNNNNNNNNNNNNNNNNNNNNNNNNNNNNNNNNNNNNNNNNNNNNNNNNNNNNNNNNNNNNNNNNNNNNNNNNNNNNNNNNNNNNNNNNNNNNNNNNNNNNNNNNNNNNNNNNNNNNNNNNNNNNNNNNNNNNNNNNNNNNNNNNNNNNNNNNNNNNNNNNNNNNNNNNNNNNNNNNNNNNNNNNNNNNNNNNNNNNNNNNNNNNNNNNNNNNNNNNNNNNNNNNNNNNNNNNNNNNNNNNNNNNNNNNNNNNNNNNNNNNNNNNNNNNNNNNNNNNNNNNNNNNNNNNNNNNNNNNNNNNNNNNNNNNNNNNNNNNNNNNNNNNNNNNNNNNNNNNNNNNNNNNNNNNNNNNNNNNNNNNNNNNNNNNNNNNNNNNNNNNNNNNNNNNNNNNNNNNNNNNNNNNNNNNNNNNNNNNNNNNNNNNNNNNNNNNNNNNNNNNNNNNNNNNNNNNNNNNNNNNNNNNNNNNNNNNNNNNNNNNNNNNNNNNNNNNNNNNNNNNNNNNNNNNNNNNNNNNNNNNNNNNNNNNNNNNNNNNNNNNNNNNNNNNNNNNNNNNNNNNNNNNNNNNNNNNNNNNNNNNNNNNNNNNNNNNNNNNNNNNNNNNNNNNNNNNNNNNNNNNNNNNNNNNNNNNNNNNNNNNNNNNNNNNNNNNNNNNNNNNNNNNNNNNNNNNNNNNNNNNNNNNNNNNNNNNNNNNNNNNNNNNNNNNNNNNNNNNNNNNNNNNNNNNNNNNNNNNNNNNNNNNNNNNNNNNNNNNNNNNNNNNNNNNNNNNNNNNNNNNNNNNNNNNNNNNNNNNNNNNNNNNNNNNNNNNNNNNNNNNNNNNNNNNNNNNNNNNNNNNNNNNNNNNNNNNNNNNNNNNNNNNNNNNNNNNNNNNNNNNNNNNNNNNNNNNNNNNNNNNNNNNNNNNNNNNNNNNNNNNNNNNNNNNNNNNNNNNNNNNNNNNNNNNNNNNNNNNNNNNNNNNNNNNNNNNNNNNNNNNNNNNNNNNNNNNNNNNNNNNNNNNNNNNNNNNNNNNNNNNNNNNNNNNNNNNNNNNNNNNNNNNNNNNNNNNNNNNNNNNNNNNNNNNNNNNNNNNNNNNNNNNNNNNNNNNNNNNNNNNNNNNNNNNNNNNNNNNNNNNNNNNNNNNNNNNNNNNNNNNNNNNNNNNNNNNNNNNNNNNNNNNNNNNNNNNNNNNNNNNNNNNNNNNNNNNNNNNNNNNNNNNNNNNNNNNNNNNNNNNNNNNNNNNNNNNNNNNNNNNNNNNNNNNCCUUGAUAUUUGUGAAUUUUCUUAUUGUUUCUGUACUUUGUCAUGUCAUCUUUUUAAGAAGAUUAGUUUUCUCAAAUUGCCACGAGUCUUCUUGAGCUUUGCCACCAGUUAAACUUUAGGUUUUAUUAACUUUGCAUUUAUGAUGCUGAUAAAAAACAUCUUUGCAUUCAUUAUUUUCUUUGCUGUUAUUCUUUUUGCUACUCUUGUGGAGUCGGAGUUCUUGUAAUUGGGCCUUUGACUUUGAUGAUUUGAUUAUCUUCUACUUGUGUUGUACUGAACUUUGAGCUUUGCCAUGAGACUUCUUGAGCUUUGCCAUGAGUCUUCGUGUGCUGCCAUGAGUUUUUGUGAGCUGCCACGAGUCUUCUUGUGCUUUGCCAUGAGUCUUUGUGAGCUGCCAUGAGUAUUCUUGAGCUUUGCCAUGAGUCUUCUUGUGCUUUGCCAUGAGUCUUCUUGUGCUUUGCCAUGAGUCAUCUUGAGCUUUGCCAUGAGACUUCUUGAGCUUUGUCAUGAGUCUUCGUGAGCUUUGCCAUGAGUCUUCUUAAGCUUUGCCAUGAGUCUUCUUGAGCUUUGCCAUGAAUCUUCUUGAGCUUUUACAUGAAGGAUGUAGGAUUCAGGUUUUGGAAACAUUGGAUGGAGAUACAGUUAAAGUUUAGGUUUUAUUAUCUUUGCAUUCAUUAUUUUCGUUGUUGUUAUUCUUUUUGCUACUCUUGUGGAGUGAGAGUUCUUGUAAUUGGGCCUUUGACUUUGAUGAUUUGAUUAUCUUCUACUUGUGUUGUAGUGAACUUUGAGCUUUGCCAUGAGUCUUCUUGAGCUUUGCCAUGAGACUUGUUGAGCUUUGCCAUGAAUCUUCUUGAGCUUUUACAUGAAGGAUGUAGGGGUCAGGUUUUGGAAACAGCGGAUGAAGAUACAGUUAAAGUUUAGGUUUUAUUAUCUUUGCAUUUAUUAUGCUGAUAAAAAAAAUUUUGCAUUCAUUAUUUUCUUUGCUGUUAUUCUUUUUGCUACUCUUGUGGAGUGGGAGUUCUUGUAAUUGGGGCUUUGAUUUUGAUGAUCUGAUUAUCUUUUUAUACUUGUGUUGGAAUGAACACUUACCAUGGAUGUUUGUUACAUAUUGUGAAGCUUCAGGUUUUAUUACUUUUCUACUCACUAUUUUUCUUAUUUGCUCGAUUUGGAAUGUCUACAAUUUCUCUUAUUGGCUGGAUAGUUGGAAGGUAUUUCAUUGUAUGUAUCUUAGCAAGAGUGCUACGUUUAGGUCCUCCAUUAUCUACCGUUAUUGAUUAUAGUUUUCUUGAAUUCAUUGGGCUUACAGGAAAGCUAAGCAAUGAAGUGUGGUGUAGGAUGUAAAAAUGGUGGGUCGAAAUUCUGUGGUGAAGCUAAAUGUUUCUUUCACCAGGACAUUGUUGUGUUCAUCUGAUUUAAUUUUUAGCUGGCUCAACUUGUCGGUUUGAUUAUAAUCUUGGUUGUAACUUGUUGGUUUGAUUAUAAUCUUGGUUGUAUUUUGAUAAUGUAUGUUUCUAAGAGGCAUUGUGGGAUGAGAAUGAGACAAGUGCGGUUGAGCUUUACUCUUUGAUUUGAUGGUUUGCUUUUUGGUUUGAAAAGUUCUACUAUUUAAUUUUGAUGACUUCUCUGCAUAAUUCUAUAAUAUAGGUCUUUUGUUCUUUUAAUAAUUUUCCAAAACCUUUCGAUUCAUUAUUCUUGAUCCCGAACAUAUGGGUUGAGUUGUGAACUUCUUUGGAUUUUUUGCAUGUAACUCUUACGCUGAAAAUUUUGAAAUUAGUAUAAGAAUGAUCCUGAAAUUUUCUUACGUCAAACAAAUCUUGCUAAAGUAAUUUUCUUUGUUAUUCUAUUUCUCUACCCAAUCCAGGUGUUGCAUUAAUCCCUUUUCAGCAUACAGAACUGUGACCGAUCUUAAGUUUGUAUGCAACGACGUUUUUGGAAAUUUUGUGUCACAAACUUAUUAUUAGGACUUAUUACCUUGGUUUUAUCUGAUCAUUUUGGACUUGCUAUCUUCUUUUGUGGGUUUUCGUUUGGUUUCAAUUUUCAGUAAUGUCUGAUAAGUUGGCAGUAUUGGAUUUCCUUGUUUGCAUAUCAGAAACUGAACCAAUCUCAAGGCAUUAAGUUUCUAUAGUUGGAGUAGUAUGAGACGACUUUGUUUCUCUGAAAUUUAGACAAUCUCUUUAAUAUUUGCAUGGUAGGUUUUUUACACGAUGUACAAGUAUAUCCAGUUUUAUUUGGAUAUUUUUUAGCAACAUUGCUUUUGGAAUAGGAUUGUUUGAGUGCUACCAUGGGAAAGUUCAACUUGAAACGACAACAACUCAUAAUAGCCUAAUUUCUUCUAUAUGAGGUUUCACCUUUUAUUUAACUUCUAAGGACUUGAUCACCAACAUUAGGAUUGAAUUCUGAUUUGUUUUUCUACAGUGGUUUAUGAUUGGAUUCAAACAAUGUCUUUACAGGUAAGACAAGCAAUGGAUGUGCGAGGACAUGUGGAAACAUGGGGAUCAAUUGAAGCCUUAGUUUGUGUUAAUUUGUGACUAGCUAUUUGAGUGCAGUAUUUUAUUUGGUGACAAAGAUCUAUCAAAAUAAAAAAAAAUUGGUUCAGGAUUUCCUCUCUAUUUGAUAUUUUCAGAUUUGAUCACCAAAUAUAAGGAUUUUCCGUUGUCAUUUGUUUCUCUGCAGUGAUGUUUGCAUUAUGUUUCAUGCUACGUCUAAUGGAUCAUGUCUGAGUUUUUAUGGCUCUUGGUAACAGGCUUUACAAGGGUUUCAGAGGAUCAGUAAUUUCAGAGGUGAUACCUAUUAUCGUAAUUGUGUCUUACAGUGUGAAUUGUUCAAGUUUUUUCAUUAGCAAAAUAUUAGAUGGCUAACAUUAUUGUCCGUUCAUUUGAUCCAGUAAGAGUCCAUUCUAGAAAUGUGGACUUCUCUUUUUUGUUGAUUUUUAGAUUUGGAAUUGUUCAAGUAUCUACAGCAUGAUUUCCCCUGAAUUCUUGGUUGUUGUUUUGACAGGGUAGAGUUUGGGUUUUUGGAUUAGGAAUUGUUCAACUACCAACCAUGUGUGUACAAGUUUGAAAUAUAUGAUGUGUUUGUCAGAUAUUUUCUUGGGAUAUAUAUAUAGUUGCUAGUUUUAUUUUUUUAUUGAAUUACAUAAAUGCUUUAUUAGUAUGAUCAUUUGAUUAUGGCAGAGUUGUAGUGGUUUUUAUAAAAUUAUUCUUGGUAGUUAUAUAAUUAUUCAUGGUUGUUAUAUUACCUAAUAGUUAUUGUUGUGGGAAAAAUAAUCUAGAAGUCUUUUGUUGGCUAAGGGUUCUGGUAUCUUUCAUUUAUCAUAUUUGACUUUUGACUUCGAUGAUUGAAUUUUGUUGGUAUUUCUUCGACGAUUGAAUAUUUUUAGCAUUUUUUCGGGAUUGUUGUGCUUCUUACUAGUUCACUUCUUGACAAGUCUCCACAAAGGUUUUGUCGAAUUAUAUGAUGUUUGCAAUUCUUCGAUGUGCUUUUGUUGUAUUGUAGAACCCAAAAAUUAUUAGAGUUAUUAAGAAUUAUUAGUAAAUGAUCGAUUGAUGUGCUUUUAUCUGUCGGAUUACCUUUAUGUAAUGAGGCAUAAGGGUUUAAUUGGUGUUUGAAUUAUUUUUGCUUAAUGUCCUGCAUCAUCGCAUGGAGUAUGUUAUGAGGCACAAGGGUUGAAUUGAUGUUUGAAUUAUUUUCGCUUAAUGUUCUGCAGCAUCUCAUGGAGAAUGUUAUAAAUCAUAAUUGUGAUUUGUUUCUCUGUAGCGGUGUUUGGAUGAUUUGCAUAGUGUCUGCAUCUUAUGAGUAUGUAUGGUUUUCGCUUGGUGUCCUGUACCUCAUGGAGUAUGUUAUGAGCCACCGUCUCUCCCUUGGUUUUUUAAUUCUUGAAUUUAUCUUAACGUUCUAUACUUCGUCCUCUGUUACCAGUUAUAGUUUGUUUGUUGAAUUCUUGUUCUUUCCAGGGAUGUGUGGAAUAGGACAGGGAAACAAUGGCACGAUAUUCCUUGAACGGUUAAGCAUUAGUAUUUUUUCAUUUUUACUCUUACAUCAAUUUUUUCUUUUACAUUAAUUUUUAAGUGGCCAAAAUUUUUGGUUGGAUUUUAUUUUUUCUUCCUAGACAUAACCAAAUUCAUUAUGGAGGCCACUGAAUGUCCAAUUUUAAUAGAUGAUAAUGACAAAUGGAUUGAAUUAUGAUAUUGUCUCUUGGGAAGCUUGAAUUUAUGAUCAUGUCUCUGUGCACUGUGAUUUUAGUCACAUAUUGGUGGUCUCAGGCAUAGAUAAAUUGAAAAGAAGGAUCUUGGAAGUUAUUUCUUUCAUGUUAGUAAGUAGUGGUAAUUAGAAAGAGCUCAGGACUAUUUGGAAUCAAUUUUUUUAUUACAAAAAUUUAUUUCGUCUUUAUUAGUUUCCUUUGUUGACAAAUGAAUUUUGAACUUGGUUCUUGCAGAGCAACAAUGUUCUUGCCUAAUUUGUGUUGCCUCUUAUUAAUUUCUCUGGACUUGAUCACCUAAUAGUAAGGGUUGAUUUUCUUUUUGUCAGGUGUUGCAUAGCAUUGAGCCUGGUAUGACUUUCUCUAUUGGCUUUUCAUUCUUGAGUUUAUGAAUUCAUCUUCUCUUAAGAGCAUCAGUAGCUAAACUAACACAAUCAAUGAAUCAUUUGAAGGUAUUACAGUAGUUUUGGACUUGAUCACCCAACAUAUGGGUUGAAUUGUGAACUGGUUUCUCUACUGUAAUAUUUGGAAGUGUUUCUUGUAAUCUUCCUGUGAUGUGUCGAGCCUACGAGCGGCCCCCUUGGUUUUGAAUUUGUGGCCUCCCUUUGUUUUCAAAUUUUGAAUUUACCUUAACAUUUCUGUACUAUGUCAUGUCAUCUCUUUAAAAGAGAUUAGUUCUCUCGAAUCGCCAUGGUUCUUGAUGAGCUUUUAUGGAAAGGCAAUAGAUAUAUGUGGGCAGGUUUCAGAAACAGAACUUUAAGUUUUAUUAUCUUCGCUGUUAUUCUUUUAGCUAAACUUGUGGAGUGGGAGUUCUUGUAGACCAGCACUAUAUGAGUAUGAGAGGCUUUGACAUUUGUGUUGCAGUGACUUACUACGUGUUGCAAUGUCUGUUGGAUUGUGGAGACAAUCGCGGUAGAUUAUUGGACUUUCUGUGAAGCUUUAGGUUUUAUUAUGUUUCUAUUCACUAUGUGCUUGAUUUGGAAUGGCUGUAUUCUAUCUUGUUGGUUGAAUAGUAGGAAGCUACACGUGUCAGUCACUGGGUGUCUAAGCUAGGGCGAUACUUAAUUAUGCUUUAUCCUUGAUCUCAUGAUCUCAACUAUCUUUCAAAAUGUGAAUGUUCUCCAUAAUGACUUCAAUGUUUAGUUCUAUUUCCAAUAUAUGAGAAUGAAAAAGUAUAGUUUUCUCCCUCAAGGCUAUGAGCGACCUACUCUAAAAGGAAAGCUCCAACAGGAGAGCUCUAUUUACUUCGUUUGGAUUGGGGUCUCACUAUUUGUGAUAGGAUAUGGAAGCAGACUGUAUCUUAUUGCUAAUUAUAUUUCUCAAUCUUAGUCCCUUGCUGAUUAUGGUCUUUAUUAUUUAAUGUUUUUGGACUUGAUCACCUAACAUAUGGGCAUGGGCUGAACUGUUGUUUAUCUACAAUAGUAUUUCAAACUGUUUUUGUAAUCUUCUUCGUGCUCUUGGUUUUGAAUUGUGGCUUCCCUUAAUAUUUUAGAUUUGUGAAUUUAUCUUAUUGUUUCUUUACUUUGUCAUGUCAUCUUUUUAAGAAGAUUAGUUUUCUCAAAUUGCCAAGAGUCUUCUUGAGCUUUUACAUGAAUGACGUAUGGGUCAGGUUUUGGAAACACUGGAUGGAGAUACAAUUAAACUUUAGGUUUUAUUAUCUUUGCAUUCAUUAUUUUCUUUGUUGUUAUACAUUUUGCUACUCUUGUGGAGUGGGAGUUCUUGUAGUUGGGCCUUUGACUUUGACUAUUUGAUUAUCUUCUUCUACUUGUGUCGCAGUGAACACUUACCAUGGAUGUUUGUUGCAGUGAAGCUUUAGGUUUUAUUACUUUUCCACUCACUAUUUUCUUAUUUGCUUGAUUUGGAAUGUCUACAGUCUCUCUUAUUGGUUGGAUAGUUGGAAGGUAUCUCAUUGUGUGUAUCUAAGCAAGAGCGAUACGUCUAGGUCCUCCAUCUUCUACCCAGAUUGGUUAUAGUUUUCUUGAAUUCAUUGGCCUUACAGGAAAGCUAAGCAAUGAAGUGUGGUGUAGGAUGUAAAACUGGUGGGUGAAAAUUCUGUGAUCUGUGAAGCUAAAUGUUUCUUUCACCUGUACAUUGUUUGUUCAUCUGAAUUAAUUUUUAAUUGGCUCAACUUGUUGGUUUGAUUAUAAUCUUGGGUGUAUUUUUGAUGGUGUAUGGUUCGUAAGAAGCAUUGUGGGAUGAGCAUGAGGCAAGUGUGAUUGGGCUAUACUCUUUGAUUUGAUGGUUUGCUUCUUGGUUUGGCAAGUUCUUCUAUUUAAUUUUGAUGAUUUCUCUGCAUAAUCCUCGAGCAUAGGUCUUUUACCUCUUUUAUUAGUUUUCCAAAACUUUCGAUUCAUUAUUCUUGAUCACCAAACAUAUGGGUUGAGUUGUGAACUUGUUUGAAAUUUUUUCUCUUUACAGCUAUAAGACAAGCAAUGGAUGUGUGUGGGGACAAUGUAGAAACAUUGGCAGGGGAUCAUUGGAAGCCUUAGGUUUUCUUACCCUUACAUUUUUCUGAUGUGUUCAUUCGUGACUAGCUAUUUGAAUGUAGUCUUUUAUUUGAUGACAUAGAUCUAUUAAAAUAAAAAGAUUGGUCGAGGAUUAAAAUCCAGAAGUAUUUAGAAGUUCCUCUAUUUGAUUUUUUCGGAUUUGAUCACCAAAUAUAAGGAUUUUGUGGUCAUUUGUUUCUCUACAGUGGUGUUUGCAUUAUUUUUCAUGCUAGGUCUAAUCGAUCAUGUUGUGAGUGAAUAUCACUCUUUGUUUUUGAAUUUGUUAUUGUUUUUAUACUUCGUCUUUUUUAGCAACAAAAGCAACAACUGUGAGGUAGAAUGUAGACACCCUAGCACGUGAUCCAGUGAAGAGGAUCUGGAGAUCUUGAUUUUGGAUCUUUCGUAUUGAAGUUCUGAAAAUUAUUUUUUGUUUAGGUGUAGCAGUAUUGAUAAGAUGGAUCUUAAAGUUAUUCCUUUCAUUUUAGUAGUCGUAAUUAUUGCCUUCAUUCUUUGAUUACAGAACUUUUUAUUUUGUCUUGUUUUGUUUCCUGCAUCGACAAAUGAAUUUUGAACUUGUUCUUACAUAAUUUAUCAUUGGAGUUCAUGGUUUUGUCUUUGCAGGGAGGAAAUGGAGGGUUGGUGUAGGUUUGGGAAGCAGUGGAUCGGGACCCUGUGGAAAUUUAGGUUUUAUUGUUUGUGUUGAUUAUGUUCUUUGCUGCUAUUAUUCACAGAUAAACUUGUGGACUGGGAAUACUUACUUCUUUAUGACAGGCACUAUAAGUCUGCGUCAGACAUUUCUUUCAGCAACGGAGUCCUUUAAUAGCAAAGAGUUUCGUUUCCUUUUAUUUUCUUUGUUGUCAAAACAACCUUUGUUUCUUUUUUAUUUCUCAACUAUGGUAUUUAGUUUCACGGCGUUCUCAGAAUGAGUUACUUGAAUCCCUUGCUGAUCUUGUUCAAUCUCAGAAGCUUGUUAAUUUGGUCUUAUCAUGUAAUUUUUCUGGACUUGAUCACCAAACAUAAAGGUUGUAUUGUCAACCUGUUUCUCUCCAUCAGUACUUGGUAUUGUUUCUUGUAAUUUGCUUGCACUGCAUUGUUUGUAAUCUGUUAGGAUAGAGUUUAGCUUUCUUGAUUUAAUUCUCCAGGUUUCCUCCCGUCUUUUACAGGGAGAUAAUGGAUGCGUGUCAUAUGUUUGGGAAGAUCCUGUGAAACUUUAGAUUUUUUUUAUCUUUUGCAUUCAUUAUUUCUUUCUAGUUAUUAUUCUUUGGAUAAUCUUGCACAGUGGGAUUUCAUGCCUAAUUGUAAUAGGCAUAAGAGUUUAAGCAGGAUUCCGGUUGAGGAUUAAAAAAUAUAAAUUUCUCAAUCUUAGUCUAACUAUAUUUCUCAAUCUUAGUCCCUCGCUGAUUUUGGUCUUUAUUAUUUAAUGUUUUUUGGACUUGAUCACCUAACAUAUGGGCUGAACUGUUGUUUAUAUACAAUAGUAUUUCAAAGUGUUUUUGUAAUCAUCUUCGUGCCCUUGGUUUUCAAUUUGUGGCUUCCCUUGAUAUUGUAGAUUUGUGAAUUUAUCUUAUUGUUUCUUUACUUUGUCAUGUCAUCUUUUUAAGAAGAUUAGUUUUCUCAAAUCGCCAUGAGUCCUCUAGAGCUUUGCCACGAGUAUUCUUGACCUUUUACAUGAAGGAUGUAGGGGUGAGGUUUUGGAAAUAGUGGAUGGAGAUAUAGUGAAACAUUAGGUUUUAUUAUCUUUGAAUUUAUUAUGCUGAUAAAAAAACAUCUUUGCAUUCAUUAUUUUCUUUGCUGUUAUUCUUUUUACUACUCUUGUGGAGUCGAAGUUCUUUUAAUUGGGCCUUUGAAUUUGAUGAUUUUAGUAUCUUCUACUUGUGUUGUAGUGAACUUUGAGCUUUCCCAUGAUUCCUAUUGAGCUUUGCCACGAGUUUUCUUGAGCUUGGCCACAGAGUUUUCUUGAGCUUUGCCAUGAGACUUCUUGAGCUUUGCCAUGAGACUUCUUGGGCUUUGCCAUGAGUCUUCGUGAGUAGCCAUGAGUCUUCUUGAGCUUUUCCAUGAGACUUCUUAUGCUUUGCCAUGAGUCUUCGUGAGCUUUGCUUGAGUCUUCUUGAGCUUUGCCAUAAGUCUGUUUGAGCUUUGACAUUAAGGAUGUAGGGUUCAGGUUUUGGAAACAGUGGAUGGAGAUACAGUUAAAGUUUAGGUUUUAUUAUCUUUGCAUUUAUUAUGCUGAUAAAAAAAAUCUUUCCAUUCAUUAUUUUCUUUGUUGUUAUUCUUUUAGCUACUCUUGUGGAGAGGGAGUUCUUGUAAUUGGGCCUUUGACUUUGAUGAUUUGAUUAUCUUCUACUUGUGUUGUAGUGAACUUUGAAUUUGUCAUGAGUCUUCUUGAGCUUUGCCACGAGACUUGUUGAGCUUUGCCAUGAGUCUUCUUGCGCUUUGCCAUGAAUCUUCUUGAGCUUUUACAUGAAGAAUGUAGGGGUCAGGUUUUGGAAACAUCGGAUGGAGAUAUAGUUAAAGUUUAGGUUUUAUUAUCUUUGCAUUCAUUAUUUUCUUUUCUGUUAUUCUUUUUGCUACUCUUGUGGAGUGGGAGUUCUUGUAAUUGGGCCUUUGACUUUGAUGAUCUGAUUAUCUUUUUCUACUUUUGUUGCAAUGAACACUUACCAUGGAUGUUUGUUGGACAUAUUGUGAAGCUUCAGGUUUUAUUACUUCUCUACUCACUAUUUUUCUUAUGUGCUCGAUUUGGAAUGUCUUCAGGUUUUAAUUUUGAUGAAUUCUCUGCAUAAUUCUAUAACAUAGGUCUUUUGUUCUUUUAAUAGUUUUCCAAAACCUUUUGAUUCAUUAUUCUUGAUCCCAAACAUAUGGGUUGAGUUGUGAAGUUGUUUGGAAUUUUUGCAUGUAAUCUCCUCUGAGCCUAGACAACAAUGUCUCUUACUUUGAAUGACAUCAAUGUCUCUACGCUGAAACAUUUGAAAUUAGUAUAAGAAUGAUCACUUUUGUUGAAAUUAUUUAAAUGCUUCACUUUUGUUUCAACAAUCUCCGUAUGUGUUUCUCGUUCCUUGAGUUUUGAAAUUUGCAUUUAUUUGUUUGCAACACAUUGAGUCUUUAUUUGAGGUUUCUUUUUCAGUUUAUUAACUCAACUAGUGAUAGAAUAUAGUGGGACGACUAACAUGUCUAAUCAACCAGUUAUAGAUUUUUUUCCUUUUUUUCCUUUAUUGUUUAUUGAGUUGAGUGUUUUCAAAAUAUUUCUAUAACCACUUGGGAUUGAAAGUCAAACGUUAUGUGUGGCAUUAGAUAAUUGGACUUCUUUUAUUAGUUAUCCAAACCGUUCAUUUUUUUCAUAUUUGUUCUAUUUGGACAGGAAUUGUAUGCGAGAAAGAUAAUGGAGUUUUGGAGGUGAAUUUUUUUUAUAUUUGUUCUAUUAGGACAUGAAUUGUAUGCGAGAAAGAUAAUGAAGUUUUGGAGGUGAAUUUUUUAAUUUCAGUAACGACUCUGGUGGAAUUGUAUUUUGGAGGUGAAUUUGUUAAUUUCUGACGUUUUGGAGGUGAAUUUGUUAAUUCCAGUAUGAACGACGAACAAUUCUUGAUAAAGUAAUUUUCUUUGUUAUUCUAUUUCUUUACCCAAUCCAGGUGUUGCAUUAAUCACUUUUCAGCAUAUAGAACUGUGACCGAUCUUAAGUUUGUGUGCAACGACGCUUUUGGAAAUUUUGUGUCACAAACUUAUUAUUAGGACUUAUUACCUUGGUUUUAUCUGAUCAUUUUGGUCUUGCUAUCUUAUUUUGUGGGUUUUCGUUUGGUUUCAAUUUUCAGUAAUGUUUGAUAAGUUAGCAGUAUUGGAUUUCUUUGUUUGCAUAUCAGAAACUGAACCAAUCUCAAGGCAUUAAGUUUCUAUAGUUGGACUAGUAUGAGACAACUUUGUUUCUCUGAAAUUUAGAUGUCUCUUUAAUAUUGCAUGGUAGUUUUUUUAUAUGAUGUACAAGUAUAUCCAGUUUUAUUUGGAUAGUUUUUUAGCAACAAUGCUUUUGGAAUAAGAUUGUUUGAGUGCUACCAUGGGAAAGUUCAACUUGAAACGAUUACAACUCAUAAUAGUCUAAUUUCUUCUAUAUGAGGUUUCACUUUUUAUUUAACUUCUAAGGACUUGAUCACCAACAUUAGGAUUGAAUUCUGAUUUGUUUUUCUACAGUGGUUUAUGAUUGGAUUCAAACGAUGUCUGGAUCUCAUCGAGCCUUUAAUGAGUUGGUUUCUGAGUUUAAGAAAUCGUCUCAUAUUUUCUAAAAUUCCUCCCUUGAAACAAGUGUUUUUAGUUUUCUUGAAUUUUUGCUCUUUACAGGUAAGACAAGCAAUGGAUUUGUGAGGACAUUUAGAAACAUGGGGAUCAAUUGAAGCCUUAGUUUGUGUUAAUUCGUGACUAGCUAUUUGAGUGCAGUUUUUUAUUUGGUGACAAAGAUCUAUCAAAAUAAAAAAAUUGGUUUAGGAUUUCCUCUCUAUAUUGAUAUUUUCAGAUUUGAUCACCAAAUAUAAGGAUUUUCUGUUGUCAUUUGUGCUUCUUUAUUGAUGUUUGCAUUACGUUUCAUGCUACGUCUAAUGUAUCAUGUUGUCUGGAAGUUUUUAUGGCUCUUAGUAACAGGCUUUACAAGGGUUUCAGAGGAUAAGUAAUUUCAGAGGUGAUACCUAUUAUCAUAAUUGUGUCUUGCAGUGUGAAUUUUUCAAGUUUAUUCAUUUGCAAAAGGGAUCAGUUUCUCGUACAUUUUUGCAGAAGAUUAUAUGGCUAACAUUACCGUCCGUUCAUUUGAUCCAGUAAGAGCCCAUUCUAGAAAUGUGGAUUUCUCUUUUUUGUUGAUUUUUAGAUUUAGCAUUGUUCAAGUACCAACUGCAUGAUUUCAUGGUCUCUUAUGAUUUCCCCUGAAUUCUUGGUUGUUGUUUUGACAGGGUAGGGUUUGGGUAGAGUUUGGGUUUUUGGAUUAGGAAUUUUGAAAUAUAUGAUGAUAUUUUCUAGGGAUAUAUAUGUAUAUAUAUAUAUAUAUAUAUUUAGUUGCUAGUUUUAUUUUUUAUUGAAUUACAUAAAUGCAUUAUUAAUAUGAUUAUUUGAUUAUAGCAGAGUUGUAGUGGUUUUUAUAGAAUUAUUCUUGGUAGUUAUAUAAUUAUUCAUGGUUGUUAUAUUACCUUUGAUAGUUAUUGUUGUUGGAAAAAUAAUCUAGAAGUCCUUUGUUGGCUAAUGAUUCUCUAACAUUAUACUAAGUCCUUUUUUUAAAUUUUAUAGUAGUUGUAUUUGGCUUUGGCAAUUUAGUUUUGUUUUUUUAUUGAUUCUGAUUGUUUAUUAAAUAUUUAUUUUCAUUAGAAUGUUGAUGAUGUGAAUGAUUUCUUAUAAUGUUGAUUGUGAUUCUAUUUUAUAAAAUAUUGUGUUAUGGUAAUCAUUAAUUAAUUGCUUUCUAUGCACUAAUUUAUCAUAUUGUUGUAUGACAAAUCUUAAAGCCCUCUAAGAGAAAGGUUCCUGGGUUGCUCUGUGGAAAGUUCUAAAACUCGCUCACAAUAGUAAAUUAUGGAUCAUGUGCUUUUACACAAGAAUUAUUAGUAAAUUCAUGUACAUGAAUUCUUAGUAUAAUUCUCUAGUUGAUGAUGACGAGUUUUUAACCUUUCGCUUAAAUUCCUUUGCACCUUUUAAGCUUAUGGCUGGUUCACUGAUAUUUCUUUUGCCUAUGGAAGAUAUAAAAACCCCAUCAGCCAAGGGCUCAGCAUAAAGGAAAUCUUUUGAGUUUCCCUUUUAUUAUUAUUUUUUCUGGUAUUGAUGACCGAACAUAAGGAUUUACCUGUGAUGUGUUUAUCUGCAGUGGUGUUUGGAUUAGUUGGGUAUAUUCGCCUUGUCAAGUUUCUAUACUUCCUCUUAGCAAGAGCGGUUAUUGUUUCCUUCAAUAAAAUUUGGUAUUCGUGUUCAUUCCUUUCAGCAACUCAUGAGUCUUUGAGAUUUCUUUUGGCGGUUGAGGAACAAGAAUGGUUGUAGAUCAGGGUAUUCUAAUUUCUCUAUACUUGAUCACCGAACAUUGAAUAGUGAUUGCAGUAAACAUAAGGAUUUAAUUUUGAUUUGUUUCUCUACAGCAAUGUUUGGAUUUUUUUGGUAUAAUGUCCUGCAUCUCAUGGAGUAUGUUAUGCGGCAUAAUAGUUUAAUUGUAAUUUGCUUCUCUGCAGUGUGAAAAUCGCUUUCCGUACUGCAUCUCAUGGGGUAUGUUAUGAGUGACUGUGUCUCUCUUAAUUUUUUAAUUUAUCUAAUAGUCCUUUAUUACUAGUUAUAGUUUUGUUGAAUUAUUGUUCUUUACAUGGAUGUGUGGUAAUUAGCAAGAGCUCAGGACUAUUUGGUUUCAAUUUUUUUAUUACAAAACUUUAUUUUGUCUUUAAUAGUUUCCUUCAUUGACAAAUGAAUUUUGAACUUGGUUCUUGCAAAGCAUCAAUGUCCUUGCCUAAUUUGUGUUUCAAGAUUAUUGAUCUUUUGUAUUGAAGUUCUGAAAAUUCUAUUUUUUUCUUAGGUGGAGCAGUAUUGAAAAGAUGGAUCUAGAAGUUAUUCCUUUCAUUUUAGUAGUGUAAUUAUCAAGAGCUCAGGAUUAUUUGCCUCCAUUCUUUGAUUACAGAACUUUUUAUUUUGUUUGUUUCCUGCAUCGACAAAUGAAUUUUGAACUUGUUCUUGCAUAAUUUAUUAUUGGGAGAAAAUGAAUUGGUGGUGUAGGUUUGGGAAACAGAGGAUCAGGACCCUGUGGAAAUUUAGGUUUUAUUCUGUGUUUAUUUUUUUCUUUGCUGCUAUUAUUCACGGAUAAACUUGUGGACUGGGAAUGCUUACCGCUUUACGACAGGCACUGUAAACGUCUGUGUCAGCCAUUUAAUUUUCUCUUUCUAUUCCACACUCAGACAUUUCUUUCAGCAAUUGAGUCAUUUAAUCGCAAAGAGAGUUUUGUUUCCUUUCAUGUUCUUUGUUGUCAAAACAACCUUUGUUUCUUUCUUAUCAGCUAUAGUUUUUAGUUUCACUGCGAUCUUGUGAUGUGGUUAUUCAUUCGAGGAUUGAUGUGUUCUUUGGAAAUGAGGUGGUUAUUCAUUCGAGGAUUGAGUUCCAUUGUCUUUGACUUGCAUUGUUUGUGUUCAUUGCUAUCAAACAACUUUCUUCCUUUUAAAUGUAUGGAGUCUAUUUUUUAAUAUAAAAUCCCCACUAAAUGUUAAGGUUUUAUUUUUUUCUUUCUUUUUCAUCAUUUUCCUAGUUAUUUGUGUUUCUCAUAGGCUUGGUCUCAUCCCUUCGACUUGCAUUUUUUUGUGUUCUUUGCUAUUAAAAAACUUUUUUUUUUUUAAAUAUAUGGAGCCUUUUUUGCUACGUCUAGAUGUUGAUUUGUUUGCGUUCAUGCCUUUUUAGGUGUUGAUUUGUUUGUUUUCAUUCCUUUUUAGCAUGUGGAGACCUCAAGAACGGUUGAGGAUUAAAAUCUACAAGUGCUUAGAACGACCAAUAAUUCAGGAUAACCUAAUUUCACGAGUUUUCUUUCUAUUUGAUUUUUUGAGAUUUGAUCAUGAAGCAUAAGGAUUGAAUUGUCAUUUGUUUUAUGAUGCCUCUCUUUGUUUUGAAUGUCUUAUUGUCUCUAUACUUCAACAUUAUGAGCCGUUGUAGCCUUCCUGAAUUCUUGGGGUGUACAGUACAUGACAAACAUGCAUCAGAUGUUAGGUAGGACAGAUGUGAGUAUCCUUGAAGCUUGAAUACUGGCAGGAGAUCCUUGAAGCUCUAGGUUUUGGUAUCCACACAUAUUUUUUCUUUAACUGGAACUGGCUCUUUCAAUUUCUCUGGUUUUUUAAUUCCUUCAAUUCAUUAAUUCAUCUUAUGCUUUCUUAAAUUCUUGGUCUUUAUUACCAAUAUCUAUUUGAAUUUAAAUAUAGUUCUUAAAUUUUUUAUGUAUAGGUGUUGAUUCGUUUUUGUUCAUUCCUUUUUAGCAUGUAAGACUGGUUGAGGAUUAAAAUCUGGUAGUGUACACGAAAAACAAGCAACGGAUGUGAGGUAGGAUAUCUAAAUACUGGAAAGAGAUGCUUGAUUCUGUAGGUUAUCCAUACUCUUUGAUGACAGAUGCCUACUUGAGUUUGGAUGUAGUUAUUUAUUUGAUGACAAAGAUCUAUCAUAUGUAACUUUGUGUUAAUUCCUUUUCAGCAGGGGAUUCUGGUUGAGGAUUAAAAAACAUAAAUUUGAAUAUUGUUUUUGUCUGAUUACUGAAAUAUGUCAAAUCUAGCUUUUUGAUCUGUGAAUAUGUUGAUUCUUUUCUAGCAAAUAAUGCUCAGGGAAGAUGUCUCCUCUUUAUUUGAAACUUUGUAGAUUGAGCAUAUUUUUCCAGACUGAUAUGUGAGCUAGGAUGUGGAAACACUUGCCAGGGGAUUUGUGAAGCUUUAGGUUUUGUUACCCUUACAUUUCUUGUGUCUUUAUUUGUGACUGACUAAACUUCUUGUUUGGAUUCUAAGUUUUGGUUGGAUUCAUUGCUAACCUUGUAGUUUGACUGGCAGUCUUGCAGUUCUUGUGGGUUUAGAGGUCGUGUAAUUUGGGGAGGAUUUGUCUGGCAGAAUUUCUAACCACUUAAUAUGAAGUACUGAAUUAAUAAUAGUGAAAAAAAGAUAAAGAAAAUAUAUCAUGGUCAUUAAAAGUUUAUGUUUCUUGUUCUGUUCAGCCAUGCCACUUGUCAGUGAACUCUUGCUUCUUUCUCUAUUGCUGCAUAUGCAUUUGUGACUGACUAAACUUCUUGUUUGGAUUCUAAGUUUUGGUUGGAUUCAUUGCUAACCUUGUAGUUUGACUGGCAGUCUUGCAGUUCUUGUGGGUUUAGAGGUCGUGUAAUUUGGGGAGGAUUUGUCUGGCAGAAUUUCUAACCACUUAAUAUGAAGUACUGAAUUAAUAAUAGUGAAAAAAAGAUAAAGAAAAUAUAUCAUGGUCAUUAAAAGUUUAUGUUUCUUGUUCUGUUCAGCCAUGCCACUUGUCAGUGAACUCUUGCUUCUUUCUCUAUUGCUGCAUAUGCAUUUUUUUCGCAAUUUUUACUCAUUUUUUUUAGGUUGUCCAUUUCUAAGUAAUUUAGGCUUCUCAUAGCUUUUACGAGUCCUGGAUUUAUAGUGAAAUUUGACCCUUUUACAUGGAGCAAUUGAAAUUAAGGAGAGAAUUAUUGAUCUUUAGUUUUAUAGUACUGAAUUAAUUUUGGAUUUGCUUAGGUGUAGCAAAUUUGAAAGGUCAUUUUCUUAGUUAUUACUUCAUUUACUAAAUUAUCAAGAGCAUUGGACAAUUUGAUUUUGUAGUGUUUUGUUUGCUGCAUUGACAAAUGAAUCUUGCAUUCUAUUGUUUUUAGUAGUUUUGGAUUACAUUCUGAAUAUGACAUAUGAUGAUCUCUUCUAUCUUCCAAAAUGUGAAUGAUCUCCAACAUUAGAGUUGUAUUUAGUUCUAUGUCCAAUGUGAGAAUGAGAAAAUUGAGAGCUCUAUUUAGUUUUAUUCCAAUUAUCUCUCUAAUAUGAGAAUGAGAUACAACAGUAGUUGGAAUGUUUUCUUGCAAUCUUCCUGUGCUAUGAUUCAGUUCUCUCUCCAUAUAUAGAAUAAGAAAAUGAGAAAGAGAAACAAGAAUAUUUGUCAUGUUUUGUCGUAAUCUUCUUGCACUAUGAUUCGGUUCUCUCCCAAUAUACCAAUGAGAAAAUGAGAAACAACAAUAUUUGGAAAGUUUUGUCGUAAUCUUCUUGCGCCAUGAUUCGGUUCUAUCCCCAAUAUGCGAACGAGAUGAGAAACAACAGUGUAUGAGAGCUCCAUUUAGUUCUAUCUCCAAUAUGAGAAUUGGAAAACAACAGUACAUGAGAGUUCUAUUUAGUUUUAUCUCUAAUACGAUAAAGAAGAGAAACAAAAGUAUUUGGAUUGUUCUCUUUGUAAUCUUCGUGUGCUAUGAGCAACGCCUACCCUCGAGGCUAUGGUAACGGGUGAUGCCUCUCUAUUCCAACAUGAGAGCUCUAUAUAUUUCUUUCGGGUUGGGGUCUCAAUUUAUGAUACCAUGUGGAAGCAGACACCAUCUUUUUGCCGACUAUAUUUCUUAGUCUUGCUGAUUUUGCCAUGCUGAACUUGGUUUUCUUGAAUUGCCAUGCUUCUUAAACUUUUACAGUAAGGCAAUAGAUAUGUGGGGGCAGGUUUUGGAAACAGUGGAUGGAGAUCUCGUGAAACUUUAGAUUUUAUUAUCUUUGCAUAUUCAUUAUUUUCUUUGAUGGCUAAACUUGUGGAUUGGGAGUUCUUGUAAACAGGCACUACGUGAGUUUGAGAGGCUUUGGCAUUUGUGUUGUUAGGCCUUCGAUCCUGAUGAUUUGAUAAUCUGUUGCAGUGAAGACUUUAUGGAUGUUUGUUACCCAGUUACGGUACAUCAUUGGACUUACAUUUCCAUUUCAUUAUUUUUUUAUAUCCAUGAUUUGGUUGUGGUAUCUCUUAUUGGUUGAAUAGUGGGAAGGCACAUGUGACAGUAGUUGUGUGUGUCUAAGCAAGUGCGAUAGUUGAUUCCGAACAUUAUGAUCAUUGAAGUUACCCUUGACUAGUCUAUGUUAGUUUUUUUUAUAUGAUAUACAAGUACAUCCAUCCUUUGUUAACAACAAUCCUUUUGAAAUAGGAUUUGUUUAAGCGCUAGUUUCGGCACGAAUAUGCAAGUUCAACUUGAAACCAGUUCAUGAUAACCUAAUUUCUUCUGAGGUUCCAGCUUUUAUUAGUUUUCAUUCGGAGUAUGUACAAGUUUGAAAAGGUAUCAUUGUGUUGAUAUAUGCUCGUUUUAGUCUAGCUAUCUUCUCCCUUAAUUGUUACUUUGACAGGGUAGGUGUGAGGUUUUUGGAUUACAAAUUGUACCAACUGUAUGUAAAGUUUGAAAUAUGUGAUGCUUUGUCAAAUGUUUUCUAGGAGUAUACUUGUGAUUUGUUUAUCUGUAGCUGUGUUUGGAUGCUUUGCAUACUACAUCUUAUGGAGUAUGUAUGGUUUUCGCUUGGUGUCCUUCACCUCGUGGAGUAUGUUAUGAGCGACCGUUUGUCCCUUGGUUUUUUAAUUCUUGAAAUUAUCUUAUAGUUCUAUACUUCGUCCUCUAUUACCAGUUAUAGUUUGUUGAAUUCUUGUUCUUUCCAGGGAUGUAAAUAAUGGCAAGAUAUUCCUUGAACGGUGAAGCAUUGGUUUUUUUUUUACUCUUACAUCAAUUUUUUCUUUCUUUUGCAUUAAUUCUUAAGUGGCUAAACUUGUUGGUUGGAUCUUUACUUAAUUUAUAAUGGAGGGCCAUUGAAUGUCCAAUUUUAAUACAUGAUAUGACAAAAGGAUUGAAUUAUGAUAUUGUCUCCUUGAAGCUUGAAUUUAUGAUCGUGUCUCUGUGCGCUGUGAUCUUAGUCACAUUGGUGGUAUAGGCAAAUUGAAAAGAAAGAUCUUGGAGUCAUUCCUUUCAUUUUAGUAGAGAUAAUUACCAAGAGAUCAAGACUAUUUGACUUCAAUUUUUUCGUUACAAAACUUUAUUUUGUCUUUAUUACUUUCCUUCAUUGACAAAUGAAUUUUGAACUUGGGUUCUUGCCUAAUUUGUGUUGCAAGAUUAUUGAUCUUUUGUAUUGGAGUUCCAAAAAUUAUAUAGUCACAAGACUAUAAUUUCAUGAGUCUUGACUUUGCUAUUCUUAUUCGGAGGGUCUGUACUAUGUAUGUUUUGUCUUUUCUGUUUUAAAGUGUUUUUCCUUGUUUUUAUUUGUGUGGUUCAGACUGAAUAAAUGAGAUACCGAUUUUCUUGUUCUCCUCAUGUUACAUCAACCAUUUUAUUGCUACUUUUAUUCAUUUGCAAAGGCUAAGUAUAAUAUUAUUUCUUCAGAUUUCUUUGUACUUGAUAGUAAAUUUUUAGGUGUUGCAUAGCGCUUGAUAUGACUUUCUCUAUUGGAUUUUCAUUCUUGAAUUUAUGAAUUCAUCUUGUCUAGAUUCUAUACUUCUAUUAAGAGGGCCUCGUAUGACUUUCUCUAUUUUAUGGAUUUGGAAGUGUUUUUUAAAUUUAUAAAAUCUAGAACUCUUUUUUGGAUUUGAAAUAAGCCUAUGAAUUAUGUAAUCAUGAUUUAUUCUAGAUUACAUAAUUCGGAAGUCAAUCUCAUAUUUAGAAAAGACUUUUGGAUUAUGUAAUUCUAAAGUUAAUCACACAUCUUAAAAAAAGGUUGUUUUCGGAUUACAUAAUUCGAAAGUUAAUCUUAUGUAUAAAAAAGACUUUCGGAUUAUGUAAUUUGGAGGCUAAUCAUAAAAGGCUUUUGGAUUACAUAAUUUGGAUCUAGAAAAAGACUUUUGGAUUAUGUAAUCUGGAAUAUUAAAAAAUGGUAUUUUGGAAUACAAAAAAUUUAUGGAGUGACACAAGAAGGUACAAAGGUGCAUGAAGAAGCAACCUUUGUAGUUUCUAUAACUUCUAUUAAAAGCAGUGGUAGUUUUCUUUAAUUUUUGGGCUUUACAGCUAACCCGACCAAUGAAACAUUUGAAAGUAUGGACUUGAUCACCCAAUCUAUGGGUUGAAUUGUGAAGGCAAUUUCUUCUUGUACCAUAUCAAUUCUAACCUUCAUCUUAUCAUUUUUCAAAAUUUCUAAAAUUUUCCUUAUACCAGAUUUAAAAAUCUGGAAUAGUAAAAAUAAUUUAAAAAUAAAAAAUAUAUUUUGGAUAAAAAAAAUCUAGAACACAAUUAAAAAUGCAUUUUAGAUAAAAAAAAUUGGAAUUCAAAAAUGUGUUCUGGAAUAUUUCUGGAUAAAAGGUUUUGGAAGUAAUUUUUAUUUACACCCUUCUUUUUUUAAGGUUAUUUUGUCAUUUUGGAAGGCCAUUUUUGUAAUCUUCAAUACCAGGUUGGGUGCAUGUUGGAAUUAAUAUGGUGCACGGAGCAAUUGCCAACUGUGAACUGGUUUCUAUACUAAAAUAUUUGGAAAUGUUUAUGGUAAUCUUUUUGUGUUGUGUUGAGCCUAUGAGCAGCUCCCUUACUUUGUCAUCUCUUUAAGAGAGUUUAGUUUUCUUGAAUCCCAUGGUUCUUGUUGAGAUUUUACGGGAAGGCAAUAGAUAUAUGUGGGCAGGUUUGGAUAACAGUGAAGAAGGAGGUUCAUUAAACUAAUUUAAAUGUUAUCCUGAAAUUUAAUGUUAGGUAAACCAGAAACUAAAUCUUUAGAUUUCAAUUUAUUUACGUGAUUAGUGUGUAUGUGAGCUAACCUCCUGUGCCAUAGCCAAGACUCAUCACUUCUAGACAGUAAACACUCAUUUGAAGAGUCAGUUUCCAUGAUAUUCAAAAGAUAUAUGUUAUUCACUCUCUUACCAGUAAACAGUACCUUACUAAAUGAAUCACUUGAGAUUGUGCAGCUAUUUGACUUAAAAUUCACCUUGUAUCCUUUGUCACAAAGCAAAGUUGACUUAUGCUGAGAAGGCUAUGCUUGAGUCCUUCUACGUAAAGCACAUUCUCAAUAGUGGUUGAGUUCCCUGUUUCAACUGUGCUUCUGCCCAAAAUUCUUCCUCGGUUAUUAUCACCAUAUGUUACAUGUCCUUCUGCUUUGAGCUUCAAGCUAGUGAAUUUUGUAAGAUCUCCAGUCAUAUGCUUGUAACAGCCACUGUCCAAGUACCACUGAUUUUUCUUGCUGCCAAUCUGCAAAACAGAAUAAAAAUGAUACAAAUGGUACCCUUUUUAGUAUAGGGUCCAGCACAUAUUAAAACAUUCUCUUUGGUAGCCAUUUUGCUAAAUUCUUAGGAACAAGAUGCUUUCUAGCAAUGCAAGACCUAGAGAUAUGACCAGAUUUCAUGCAGUAAAAACAGGUUACAUGAGAUGCUUUUUUCCCACUAUUAAAAGUUGAAAAACCUGAUUUUGUUGGAACAAAAAAACUUGAAAGCUUUUUGACACUGGUUACAUUUCCAAUGGUAUAACCAAGUCCAUUUUUAUUGAAAACAACAUUCUUUGAGCCAAGAAGAGACUCAAGUUCCCUUAGUGAAAUUGGAAAGGGUUUUUAGCAAAUACUCCACUUGUUUUUCCAAUUUUUUGCAGUUUUCACAGGUUUUAAUAGAGGCAUGCAAGCAUGUUAGUUCAAGGUUUACCAAAUCUGUUUUGGCCUUAUGCAAUUCUUCCUCAAGUGUUUUUACUUUAGGUGCAAGCACAUUAUUUACCUUUUGCAUCUUAUUGCAUAUUACAGCUAGCCUAUUUGCUUCAUCAUGUGUUUCUUUGAAAGCAACAAGCAAUUGAUCAUAGUUAUCUGAAUCCACAGAAAAAAUCACUUAUUGAAUCAGAUAUUGACUCCUCAUCCUUCAUCAUGAAGCACAAAUUGUUUUCACCAUUCUCAGUUGAAGAGUUGCCGGUUGAAGAUACUUCAUUUUCCUCCCAUGAGAUGUAAGCUCUUCUUUUCGUCUUCAGGAAUUUGCUGAAUCUUUUUGUAAGAAGACUGAUUGUUUCAUCAUCUUCAGCAUCUUCUUUUUCCUCCUUGAUAUCAUUAUGUUCAGUUGCUUUCAAUGUAAGACCUUUCGGUUUUCUCUAUGUUAUUUCCUGCUCUUUGAGUCUCUUGAGCUCUAGCUCAUGCUCCAUUAGCUUUCCAAAGAGUGCAUCUGUUCCUAGCUUUGAUAGAUCACAGUUUUUAGAUAUGGCAGUCACCUUUGGUUGCCAGCUUCUGUCGAGGCACUUCAAUAUUUUUAUGUUGAGUUCCUCUCUGUCAAAUUCAUUUCCCAAACCAGUAAGGUGAUUCACAAUACGAGUGAACCUUUUCUGCACAUUAGCAAUGCUCUCCUCGGGUUGCAUUUUAAACAAUUCAUAUUCUUGGAUGAGAGCAUGUUUUCUUGACCUCUUCACAUCUUCAGUACUCUCAUGAGUGACUUCUAAGACUUCCCACAUCUCCUUAGCUGACUUACAUUGGGAUAUCGUAAAGAACUCAUCCAUUGUUAAUGCAGAGGUUAUGAUGUUCUUGGCCACAAGAUCAUGUUGAGCCUUCCUCCUUUCGGUCUCAUUCCAUUCAAAUCUUGGCUUUACCACUUCUUCAUCCUUGACAACCUACAUUGGCACAUAGGGUCCAUGAACCACAACUUUCCAGAUUAAUGCAUCAAUAGAUUCCAUGAAAAUUCGCAUUCUAAUCUUCCAAAAUGCAUAAUUCAUUCCAUUGAACAUAGGUGGUCUAUUAACGGCAGAUCCCUCAGCAAAAAGCACUUUAAACUCAUACAUUAUUACAAACAAACUUGAUUAAAAUACAAGUCCUAGCUCUUGAUACCAAUUGUUGGGAUUAAUAGUGUCAAAGUUCAAGAGGGGGUGAAUUGAUCUUUUAAAAGUUUCUCGCAGAACCAAUAUUUUUCACAGAGUACAAAAAAUAAAUCGAUUUAUUUGAAAUUGAACAAAUUUAUUUUAGCACUAUUUGUGUUUGAAAAACGUUUAGACAGUCAGGUUAAUUACAAGAUUAUGCAGAUCGAUUUUCCAGAUACACACACUGAUAUAAUGAAGAAAAACUAUUCAUUUACAGAUGAACAGAUUUAUUUUUCAAAACGAAAACAGAAAAAGCUUAACUAUUUAAAACUCAGUCGUUUUGAAAGGUAGAAGACUUAGUCAAAAUGCUUGAUGCACAAAAUCUAAUUUUCACAAGACUUAGCCAAUGUAUCAGUUUAAAAAAGAAUCUGUUUAUUUAGAAAAGAACAGAUUUAUUUUUAUGCAGUAAACGUGUUUUUUGUAAAAUAUGUGAAAAACAGUUUAAGAAACCUUAUACUUGUUCUUAUCACAUGGUCAAUGGUUAGGAGGUGAGUUACUCAGCAAAAAGCCUACUCUUAAACAACCUCUAAACACUACCUAAGACAUUCUUAAAACAAAUGUAAAUAUACAUGAAUUGUACACAAAAGUCUUCAUCAAACACAUGUCUUGAAGGGGCAGCAACCAUCUUCAACAAUCUCCCCCUGUUUGAUGGAGACAAAUCCCCAUAGCUCUGUCGCUUUAAGAACCUGUACUGCACCGAAUACUAAACCAGAAAAACAGAACAUUGCAUAACAUGUGAAAUGGUUUUAAGGUGCAAAAUUUAACUUCCUGUUUCAGCUAGCUUCACCUAGCAUGGUGAGCUAUUUUUCCCCCCCUUUGGAUUCAUCAAACAGCAUGUAAGCAUAGGAAAAAAAAAACAAAAACAUAACCAUAAUAGUCCAAAAGAUAAAGACACAUUGUUCAACAUUACAGAAUUUUAAAACUGAUAAAGAAAGCAUGAAAAUACUUCUAAUCCUUGUAGUAUAGCUCUGCAAGUUGUACUUGAACUCCUUCAAUUUGAUCAUCAAGGUGUUGAAACCUUGCUUGAGUGGUCUCAAAAUAUGCCCUUUGUUCUGCUGUCAUGACAUCAAGGCAAUGCAAAACUUGCCUUUCAAACAUGGACAAUGGUUCACCAUGGUAUUCUGGAGUUUGAUAGGCCACAAUGACAUUCAGAUGAGUGGCAACAGCUUCUUCAUGCAUUGAUUGGGGAGCAGGUGAGUCUCCUCUGAGUUCUACAGAUGGAGAGCUUGUCCUUUGAUUUCCAGCAUGUUCAACAGAUUGCUCUUGACCAUAGGAGUGAUGGAUAACAUAACAUGAAUGUUCUGCAGCUUGAACUGUGUCAUCCUCCAUGGGAACAACUUCAUCCUCAUCUUCAUUGUUGAGGUUUGAGGCUCCAUGUUCUGCUUGAGGGUUCUUGCCUUUGAGAACCACCCAAUUGUCCUCUACUUUGUGAAAUCCCAUCUUUGUGAGAGUUGAAUUGUCAAUCUCACUUACAGCCUUGAUGGGGUCGUUUCUCUCAUUUAUAGCAUCAACACCAAAGAAAUCAAUCAAUUUUGAAACAAAAAUAGCAUAAGGAAAGCAAUAAUCAGCCAACCUUUUGGAUUUCAGCAUGUGUUCAUUUAUAAUGAAAACCCAGUUUACCUUAAUCUAGUUCAUGAUGCAAUAUAGAAGGAUUAAAUCUUCUUCAUGUAAAACAACAUGAUUUGUACCACUUGGGAUGAGUUGCCAUGCUAUAAUGUAGGUAACAAGACGUGGUGUAAGGUUCAAAUGACUUGCAUGGAACCUGUUUAUGCUCUGUGUAGGGUUCCUCAUACAGCUCUUAUAAUAUUGCAGUUUGUUGAAUUCUUGAAUCCCACUGGUGUUUCCUUUUCCAACUUUUAGUCCAGCAUACUUGAUUCCAGCCAUUGAAUUCCAAACAUCACUUGUGAUCUUCAUUUUGAUCCUUUUUCACAUAAGAGACAAUGUUCUUUCCAUCCAAUGUUAGGUUAGUGUAAAACACCUUAACCAAAUCAAGAUAUACAUUACCCGUUAAUUCCAGCAGCUUUUUCAGUUUCUGGUGCUUCAACACAGCCCUUGUUUCUGCCAAUUUUUUUGAUUUUAGCCAGUUGAAAUCUAGCACCUUAGGUAUGUUAAUCUGCUUUCUACAUGUCUCGUGCAUGUAGGCAUUGAUACCUUCUUCAUUUCCAGCGAACCAACCUUCUAGCACACCUUGAAAGGUGGUUUGCUUGCCAUUAUUUUUCUGUUUCUGUCUUGAAGAAGAAGCCAUGGUUGAACCAGAAUUUUCUCUUGGUUUCAAAUGGUGAAAACGGAAAAUAGGUAGCCAAUGUGGGUAGCAAAUAUUCGCACAGAUUUAUAUUGAGAAAUGAAUAGGUUGAUAUGACAGUUAUGAGUGGAUAUGCAUGAAGAUUUUAUGCUCUGAAUUUGUGCAGAGAAUAUAUGCAACAAAUAUUUAGGGUCACGAUGCAUACAACUCAUACCUUCAUUGAGCACCCAAACCAUCAAAUCGGUUACAUAACCAUGACCAAAACCGUCAAAGGUACAAAGGUUAAUGCCCACUAAGUCAGUCAAUCAGUCAAAGAUCAGAAUUUCUCUUUCCUAGUCAUCAAUGCAUAUCAGUACAAAAAUAAACACAUUUAAUUACGAAUAAACAUAUUUAAUUUUUCACUGCUAGGCACAAUUGACAUUUAUAAUACCCAAUUCAUUAAGCAGAAAAUUAAACCUAUCCUUAGCCAAUGGUUUUGUGAACAAAUCAGCAAGUUGUAAAUCUGUACCAAUGAAUUUAAUCUCACAUGUUCCAUUUGAAAUGUGUUCCCUUAGAAAAUGAUGCCUAAUUUCAAUGUGUUUGGUUCUUGAAUGCAUGACAGGAUUUUUGGUUAAGUUGAUUGCACUUGUAUUAUCACACAACAGAGGUAUAUGGUUAAGUAAGAUACCAAAAUCAUUUAAUUGUUGUCUUAGCCAUAUGGUUUGAGCACAGCAACUCCCUGUUGCAAUGUAUUCCGCUUCAGUCGUGGAGAGAGCUACACAAGCCUGCUUUUUGCAUUGCCAUGAGAUCAAGUUUGAUCCAAGCAAGUGACAGGUUCCACUGGUGCUCUUCCUAUCAAUUUUGCAACCUGCAAAGUCUGAAUCCGAAUAUCCAGUUAAGCUUAAUGAAAUGUUACUUGGAUACCACAAGCCAACUUCUUUAGUUCCUUGCAAAUACUUCAAAAUCCUUUUGGCAGCAUUGUAGUGUGAUUCUUUAGGAGCAGAUUGAAAUCGAGCACACAUGCACACUGCAAACAUUAUGUCAGGCCUGCUGGCAGUGAGAUACAGUAGUGAUCCUAUGAGUCCUCUGUAUUUGGUUUCAUCAACAGAAAUUCAAGCUUCAUCAUGAUCCAAGUGACAACUUGUUGAGAAGGGUGUGCUGAUUGGUUUACACUUGUCCAUUUCAAAUUUCUUCAGCAGAUCCUUGCAGUACUUAGCUUGACUUAAGAAAAUGCCAUCCUUGAGUUGUUUGACCUGCAAGCCUAGAAAAUAGUUCAACUCACCCAUCAUUGACAUUUCAAACUCACUCUUCAUGACUUUCACGAAAGCUUCACACAAUUCUCCAUUGUUUGAUCCAAAAAUGAUGUCAUCCACAUAUACUUGUACUAGGAUUAUGUCAUCUCCUUUCUUCUUAAUGAACAAGGUCUUAUCUGAUGUGCCUCUAUCAUAGCCUUGAGAGGUGAGAAAAUCACUUAGCCUCUCAUNNNNNNNNNNNNNNNNNNNNNNNNNNNNNNNNNNNNNNNNNNNNNNNNNNNNNNNNNNNNNNNNNNNNNNNNNNNNNNNNNNNNNNNNNNNNNNNNNNNNNNNNNNNNNNNNNNNNNNNNNNNNNNNNNNNNNNNNNNNNNNNNNNNNNNNNNNNNNNNNNNNNNNNNNNNNNNNNNNNNNNNNNNNNNNNNNNNNNNNNNNNNNNNNNNNNNNNNNNNNNNNNNNNNNNNNNNNNNNNNNNNNNNNNNNNNNNNNNNNNNNNNNNNNNNNNNNNNNNNNNNNNNNNNNNNNNNNNNNNNNNNNNNNNNNNNNNNNNNNNNNNNNNNNNNNNNNNNNNNNNNNNNNNNNNNNNNNNNNNNNNNNNNNNNNNNNNNNNNNNNNNNNNNNNNNNNNNNNNNNNNNNNNNNNNNNNNNNNNNNNNNNNNNNNNNNNNNNNNNNNNNNNNNNNNNNNNNNNNNNNNNNNNNNNNNNNNNNNNNNNNNNNNNNNNNNNNNNNNNNNNNNNNNNNNNNNNNNNNNNNNNNNNNNNNNNNNNNNNNNNNNNNNNNNNNNNNNNNNNNNNNNNNNNNNNNNNNNNNNNNNNNNNNNNNNNNNNNNNNNNNNNNNNNNNNNNNNNNNNNNNNNNNNNNNNNNNNNNNNNNNNNNNNNNNNNNNNNNNNNNCAAUUCAUUUUGAUUUAAAACAGAUUUAAAUUCAUUACUGUCAAGAUCAUCAGCAGCAGUUUUAGAUAUGUUAUGAUCAGUUUCAUAAAAAACAACAUGCAUUGAUUCUUCUACUAUGAACAAUCUUUUAUUGAAGACUCUAUAUGCAUGAUCAUUCAAAGCAUAACCAAUGUGCACACCUUCAUCAGAUUUAGCAUCAAACUUACCAAGAUUUUCUUUGCCAUUAUUCAAUACAAAGCAUUUACACCCAAAAACUCUAAGGUGGCUCACACUAGGUUUUCUGCCCUUAUACAAUUCAUAUGGGGUUUUCUUAAGAAUAAGUCUUAUUAAGGUUCUAUUCAACACAUAAGUUGCAGUAUAUACUGCAUCUGCCCAAAAAUACUUAGGGAGCUUAGAUUCAUUUAACAUGGUUUUAGCUAGUUCCUCUAAUGAUCUGUUUUUCUUUUCAACUACACCNNNNNNNNNNNNNNNNNNNNNNNNNNNNNNNNNNNNNNNNNNNNNNNNNNNNNNNNNNNNNNNNNNNNNNNNNNNNNNNNNNNNNNNNNNNNNNNNNNNNAUUUGUUUACCUUUCACACAAGCAUCACAGAGCCUGUUAUCCUUAAAUUUAAUGUUAGGUAAACCAGAAACUAAAUCUUUAGAUUUCAAUUUAUUUAAGUGAUUAGUGUGUAUGUGAGCUAACCUCCUGUGCCACAACCAAGACUCAUCACUUCUAGACAGUAAACACUCAUUUGAAGAGUCAGUUUCCAUGAUAUUCAAAAUAUAUAUGUUAUUCACUCUCUUACCAGUAAACAGUACCUUACUAGAUGAAUCACUUGAGAUUGUGCAACCAUUUGACUUAAAAUUCACCUUGUAUCCUUUGUCACAAAGCUGACUUAUGCUGAGAAGGCUAUGCUUGAGUCCUUCUACAUAAAACACAUUCUCAAUAGUGGUUGAGUUCCCUGUUCCAACAGUGCCUUUACCCAAAAUUCUUCCUCGGUUAUUAUCACCAUAGGUUACAUGUCCUUCUGCUUUGAGCUUCAAGCUAGUGAAUUUUGUAAGAUCUCCAGUCAUAUGAUUGGAACAGCCACUGUUCAAGUACCACUGAUUUUUCUUGCUGCCAAUCUGCAAAACAAAAUAAAAAUGAUACAAAUGGUACCCUUUUCAGUAUAGGGUCCAGCACAGAUUAAAACAUUCUCUUUAGUAGCCAUUUUGCUAAAUUCUUAGGAACAAGAUGUUUUCUAGCAAUGCAAGACCUAGAGAUAUGACCAGAUUUCAUGCAGUAAAAACAGGUUACAUGAGAUGCUUUUUUGCCACUGUUAAAAGUUGAAAAACCUGAUUUUGCUGGAACAAAAAAACUUGAAAGCUUUUUGACAUUGGUUACAUUUCCAGGGGUAUAACCAAGUCCAUUUUUAUUGAAAACAGCAUUUUGUGAGCCAAUAAGAGACUCAAGUUCCCUUGGUGAAAUUGGAAAGGGUUUUUAGCAAAUACUCCACUUGUUUUUCCAACUUUUUGCAAUUUUCACAGGUUUUAAUAGAGGCAUGCAAGCAUGUUAGUUCAAGGCUUACCAAAUCUGUUUUGGCCUUAUGCAAUUCUUCCUCAAGUGUUUUUACUUUAGGUGCAAGCACAUUAUUUACCUUUUGCAGCUUAUUGCAUAUUACAGCUAACCUAUUUGCUUCAUCAUGUGUUUCCUUGAAAGCAGCAAACAAUUUAUCAUAGUUAUCUGAAUCCACAGAAAAAUCACUUACUGAAUAUUGACUCCUCAUCCUUUAUCAUGAAGCACAGAUUGUUUUCCUCAUUCUCAGUUGAAGAGCUGUUGGUUGAAGAUACUUCAUUUUCCUCCCAUGAGAUGUAAGCUCUUCUUUCCUUGCUCCUUUCCACUCUCUUGCUGGCAGAUUUAUCCUUUGAUUGAUUGUUUGGACAAUUCAUUUUGAUGUGCCAUGUUUUGCCACAGCCAAAGCAAGUAUAGUUAGAGGAAUUUAAAUAAUUAGGUUUUGGAUACAUUCUUUUCUGCUGGUUCCUAUUUCUGCUUUUCUUCUUCAAGAAUUUGCUGAAUCUUUUUGUAAGAAGACUGAUUGUUUCAUCAUCUUCGGCAUCUUCUUUUUCCUCCUUGAUCUCAUUCUGUUCAGUUGCUUUCAGUGCAAGACCUUUGGGUUUUCUCUCUGUUCUAGCUCAUGCUCCAUUAGCUUUCCAAAGAGAGCAGCAGUUCCUAGCUUUAACAGAUCAUGACUUUCAGAUAUGGCAGUCACCUUUGGUUGCCAGUUUCUGUUGAGGCACUUUAAUAUCUUUAUGUUGAGUUCCUCUCUGUCAAAUUCUUUUCCCAAACCAGUAAGGUGAUUCACAAUACGAGUGAACCUUUUCUGCACAUUAGCAAUGCUCUCCUCGAGUUGCAUUUUAAACAAUUCAUAUUCUUGGAUGAGAGCAUGUUUUCUUGACCUCUUCACAUCUUCAGUACCCUCAUGAGUGACUUCUAAGACUUCCCACAUCUCCUUAGCUGACUUACAUUGGGAUAUCCUGAAGAACUCAUCCAUUGUUAAUGCAGAGGUUAUGAUGUUCUUGGCCACAAGAUCAUGUUGAGUCUUCCUCCUUUUGGUCUCAUUCUAUUCAGAUCUUGGUACACUUGCUGAAAAACCCUAAACCUUUGUGAUUUUCGAAAUCUUUUAAGAACAGAUGUUAAUUCCUUGUAAAUCCUCAAUUCUCUAAUGCAAAACUUGUUUUUACAAUUGUAUGAUCGAUUGUUAAACUCAUAAACAAGUUUUCAUUUUAUAGAAAACCAACUUAUAACAAAUUUUUGAAAAACAGUUAAAGCUGUUAUAAAAUGAACAAAUUGAAAAUAAAAUGAACAGAUUUAUUUUCAGAAAGCUGUUAGAGAAUUUGUUAUGAGAGGAGACUUAGUCAACCAUUCUGGUGCAGGGACAAAACUGAAAACCGUUUAAGAUAGCCAUGGCACCAGAGUCAAAAAGAAUCUAUUCAUUUACAGAUGAACAGAUUUAUUUUUCAAAACGAAAACAGAAAAAGCUUAACUAUUUAAAACUCAAUCGUUUUGAAAGGUAGAAGACUUAGUCAAAAUGCUUGAUGCACAAAAUCUAAUUUUCACAAGACUUAGCCGAGGCAUCAGUUUAAAAAAGAAUUUGUUUAUUUAGAAAAGAACAUAUUUAUUUUUAUGUAGUAAACGUGUUUUUUGUAAAAUAUGUGAAAAAAAAUUUAAGAAACCUUAUGCUUGUUCUUAUCACAUGGCCAGUGGUUAGGAGGUGAGUUACUCAGCAAAAAAACCUACUCUUAAACAACCUCUAAACACGACCUAAGACAUUCUUAAAGCAAAUUUAAAUAUACAUGAAUUGUACACAAAAGUCUUCAUCAAACACAUGUCUUAAAGGGGCAACAACCAUCUUCAACAAUAUAUAGUCCCAACAAGAUGAUGUUUGAAUGUGAAAAAUGUCUCCAUUAAAUGUUUAUGAAUAGUAAUUAUAUUUCACUUUUUUAUUGUUAUCCAAAACAUAUCUUUGCUGUUUCUAUCCAAUAUCAAUUCUAUUUCACGCAACAUCCUUAUUUCUAGGUGGAAGUGUUAAAAGAUGUACUGACACACAAUUGCAACCAUUUCCCAACAUCAAUAAACAGUCAAUAAAAAAAUAAUUAUUUUAACUUUAUUUUUCAACCAUAUUAAAAAAAACAAUCACUUUAUUCACGAAAUUCUCCUGUGAAACUUCUAGAUUGCUUUUUUAAUUUAUGCAUGAAACUUCAUCCCGAAACCACACAUGUCAUUACCAUUUCUUGUUCUCCAUUCAUCAUUCGCCCCAAACAAAAUUGUGAAUCCAAACCUAACUCCAAAUUCUCCAUUCAUCCUUACCUCCCAACAAAAUUUUUGAAACCUAGCUAUGACACAAAACCAGAGUAUCUAAUUGGAAACGAACCUAGAAUAUGACCACAGUGUCAGGCGAGGCAACUCGACGCAAAAUGACAACAAGGCGACUAUUCCAUAACAGUGAGAAACGACAAGGCAAUAGUGAGCGAUGGCGAGAGAGACAAUGAAGCCUUAAGUGAAACACGAAUAAAAAUUGGUACAAAACAAAAUAAAUUUGAAAUUUAACUUGAGACUCGCUAGUUUGACUGGUUCUACCAAUUUUGGCUCGAGUUUGCUGAAAAAUGAGUUUGUUCAUGAGUUGACUUGUGACCCAAAAGUAGAUUUUUAAACUUGGACAAGUUAGCAAGUUGAGUCACGAGUUUGAUAAUCAUGUACUUGUAUUGUUUUCUUACGCUAUGAGUCUUUUACAAGAUUCACCUUUUUUGGAUGACACAUUAACUUUAAAUACAAUCCUUUUAAGGUCAUUACAAUGUUGAACAUGUGAAACUGAGAAACAUAAAGGGAAUCCCUCUAGAUCUUCAAGGCAGUACCAUUACCACCAUCAUUAUGUCACAAGUUGAGCAAUUCAUCUAUUGGAUUUUUAGAUUCUUAUAAAUAUUGUUCAUCAUUCUCUAUCCAAGUCUCUAAUUUACCUUUUAGUUUUAUGACUCAACAUGAGUCAUUUUAUGAGUCAUUUUAUUGACACUAGUCUCAUUUAGGCACCAAGUCAAAUUUUUACUUCUAUGUGGGAAGAUGACUCUAACGUUUUCUCAAAGAAUGUAUAUAAAUCUUUACAUUGAUGAUAUGUUGCUUAUCUACUUUCACAAUUGAUUAGAACCAGAUCAUGAGACAACUAUAACCUAUAACUCACUCCACACUUGUUAAGCAACUAUUUAUUCCAUAUUCUUCUAAUUUGAUAAUAUCACUUUUUAUUCAUCACAAACUAAAAGCAUUGUAAUUGACGUAGAGUCGAUUCAUCCAAUAGAUUAUACUUGGACCCUUUAAGGUAGAUAUCUCAAAUUCACUUAAAAAUGUUACACCAAAAUAAAUGUUAUUGUAAGAGUAUUAACCUAAAAGACAACUUCAAAAUCUACAAACAAACAUAUUACACUAACAUAUGUUCAAUAUCAAAUUACACACUAUAUAAAAAUAAUCAUGUAUAUAUUUAAAUGUAACUAACUUUUAGAAUUAACAAACUUUUAGAAUUAAGAUAAAAAAUUAUCUUGAUGUAAUAAUGAAUGUGCACCUUGACCACUUUCUCAAUUUUUUCUUUUUCAAUAAUUUUAUCUUCAUUCAUUAUAAUAUAAACAAAAUCUCAAAAAUUAUUUUUAAACUUUCAACUAAAAACUUUUAGUUAUAUUUAAAGUAGACAUAAACAAAUAUAUGCACAUGCAAAAAUAAUCUACUACUAGGGAUGACAAAGCAAGGCGGAUCAACCCGUUAAGAAAUAACACAGUGCAGAAGUACCGUUCAAAUAUCUGGGUCUGGAGGUGGGAGGGAACCCAAGAAAGAAGCAAUUCUGAGAACCAGUUAUAAGUAAGUUGAAAGCAAAACUCAGUGUUUGGAAGCGGAGAUUUUUAUCCAUGGCAGGGAGGAUAUGCUUAAUUAAUUCUGUUCUAACCGCAAUUCCUUUGUUUUACCUCUCUCUUUUCAGAGUACCAGCUUCGGUGUGUAAAAGGAUUAUUAGUAUUCAAAGAAGAUUUUUGUGGGGCUGGGGGAAACUAACCAAGCCAAUUGCUUGGGUUAGCUGGAAUGAUGUUUGUAGACCAAAAGAGGAGGGAGGGUUGGGGUGUAGGGAUAUACGCCUGUUUAAUCAAGCUCUACUAGCCAAGUGGAGAUGACAAUGUCUUUCGGAGGAGAAUGGAAGAUGGAAGAUGUUGUUGGAUUCUAAAUACAACCUGGGGGAUGAAAACAGUCAAACACCUGUCAAAUAUCAAUCUUGGUGGUGGAAAGACUAAAGUGUGCAAGGUUGGUGGAGGAAGAUGGUGGUUUCAGGAAGAGCUAGGUUGGGAAGUAGGUUGUGGUGAUAAAGCAAAGUUCUGGGAGGAUGUAUGAAUUGGUAGUGUCGAUCUUUAGUCCUUGUUCCCGCGCUUAUACUCUUUAUCUUUAAACCAAGGUAAAGCAGUGGGGGAGAUGGGUGUAUGGGAUGAUACGGAGUGGAGGUGGGACUUGAGGUGGAGGCGUGACAGAUUUGUAUGGGAAUCUUCUCUGGAGAGGGACCUUACUAUGCUUCUAUCAAGGGUCAUUAUGAGAAAGAAUGUCCAGGAUAUCCAGGUUUGGGGGAAGGAGAUACUGGGGCUGUUUUCGGUGAGCUUGGCGUAUGAGUGUCUAUCUAAGCAUGGUAGAGGGAACAAUGACGAAGUGUUUAAGCUCCUGUGGAAGGUGAAGGCCUUUCCAAAUGUUUUGGUAACAACCUGGAGGGUGUUUAAGGGGAGAAUCCCCACUAGAGUGAGUUUGAGCCAGAGAGGGAUGAUGUUGAACUCAACAGUGUGUCCCUUGUGUUUGCUACAAGAAGAGACCUGUCAACAUCUUUUCAUGGAUUGUAAAUAUGCUCAACAAGUAUGGUCCCAAUGCCUUCAGUGGGUAGGCAUUUCCUUUGUUGAGCAUCAUGAUCUUAAGCGGCAUUUCCUAAGUUUCCACUUGUUUUAAGAUAGUAACAAGCAGAAUAAGAUCUGCAAAGGGGUAUGGGUAUUGUUAUUAGAAGUAUAUGGGACCAAAGGAAUUUGAUUACCUUUCAGCAAGGGGUAGUAGAUGCAGAGGAGAUAUUCUAGAGGGCCCAACUUAAGUCUUGGUUGUGGCUGAAGCAUAAAGCCCGUUCGUUUUCUUACUCUUUUACAGAUUGGGUUUUUAACCCAAUUAUCUGCAUUAAAAGCUGCUAAUGUUUCCUGGUUUUGUGUCUUCUGAAGAAGCUGGUAUUUCUGGUUGGUAUCAUGUGAAGGUUAUGGUUCGGAUGGAACCUGUGAUGGUGAAGGAGUGAAUCCCUUAGGGGUUAGCUGUUGUUACCUGUAUUGGGGUUGGUCUUCAAGCAUUUUUUGCAGGAACACGAAGCAUCUUCAUAAAGGAGUCAUAACACGGGAACAACUGUUUUGUUGUGGCAGGGUGGUCUUCUGCAGUUUCUGGAGUCACGGGGCGUGCUUAGAUCAAGGUUGGAUGCUUUGGAGGGGAGCUGAGGUUGGGUUUGAGCCACGCAUUUCAGGGGGGUAGAGAUAGCUUGGUUGAGGAAUGUGAAGUUGUGGUAAUGACUAACCAAGGCGUUAAGCCGGGUUACGUGUAAAGGUGGACUGGUGGCUGGUUGGCUGGUUGGACUGCUAUAAUACGUAUGUGUAGGGGAGGGUCGGUGAAGGAAUGAAGGUUUCAAGUGGAGAGGGUGUGAUUAGAAGGGUGCCGGUUGGGGAGCAGCUUGGAAAACUGGUGAAGAAUAGGAUUUUGUAGGUGUUGUUGUGCUGUUCUUUGGAGUGCAGUUGGGUUUUGGGUGCUGCUAUUUUUAUUGUUACUAUCAUUUUGGUUCUUUCAUAAGUGUUGGUUUGGGUUUGGCAUUCCCUUUUGUAGGUUUAGGCUUUUUGGUUAUACUUUCUUUUGUGGAAGUGUAACUUUGUGGUUGUAGUAUACGGGUUGGGAUACCCCUUAAGUAUCCCCCUUAAUUUUAUUCAUUUAUUGCUGAUAAAAAAAAAACAAUGCAGGCAUCAUAUUUCAACUUGUUGACUUGCUUAGGUUCACCUCGCAUAACUCGCAGUCCACACGGGCCAACGGGAUAGGCUGACUCAUAACCCACAUAUUCUAAAAAAUUAUAGACUUAUUCAUUCUAAAAUUUAUAAUCUGUAAUACAAAAUUGUAUUAUAAACUGUACAAUCUAGACUAUUGUACAAUCUAUAACUAUAUAUAGCUGCAAGAAGAAACUUUCCUCAAUCCCUAGUUCAUAACACCUUCAUGAAAUUUUAUAAUAGUUUUUUUUUUCCUUUUUAAAAUGCAUAAAUUGUCUAGGUUUCAAUAUUCAAAUGUUAAAUGCACUAGUCAAACUUUAGCCUUUUUAUAAUAAAAUUUAAAUAUAAUAAUAAUAUUAUAUAUAUAUAUAUAUUUUAAAUUAGAAUAGUAAUCAUGUGUCUACCUGUAUUAUCUUUGAAACGUAUAUAUUUAAAAAAAUAUUUAUUAGUCAAUUUAUUAGUAUGAUCAAAAUUCAAACUUCAUUGAAAAUCAAAAUAUUAUUAUAAUUUUUUUAUCCAUAUUUUAUUACAUGUGUCGUGAGAAUAAUACUAUGAAACUAUUAUUACCUAAUUCAUUUAAAUAAGAAAAAAAAAUUAAUAAACAAAACAAAAGUUUAUUAAAAAAUUAUAUUUAAUUUUUUUUCAUUAAUUAAAAAAAAAAUCUUAUGUGGAUCGGCUCGUGGGUUAGCUAGCAUGCGAGGCGGGCCAAUAAAAGCAACUAAUAUAUUUUACACAGGACGAACCAACUUGGCCUGUAUUUUAUGGGCCAAAUGCAAGGCGGACGGACCUGCAUUACCAUUCAUACCCACUACCUUCAGGUUAUCCUAAGGACGAACAACUCUAAUACCAUAAAUGUAACACCCCCAAAUUUAUUGUACACUUAUUACAAAGUUUAUUGUAAUAUAAUUUCAUUAUUAAAAAACUAUAUAAAUCAUACAUGAAUUUAUACAUUAAGGAUAUUUAAUCCAUUUCUGCUCAAGCUAAAAUAUUCCCGCUCAACUUAAAAAAAAAAACUUUUUUUUCUUCUUGUCUCAUCAAUGAAUUUGAUUCUUUAGCAAAAAUAGUGUUAAAACACAAGUUUGAGUGCAUGGUUACUUUCGCUCGAGCAAGAAUUGACUUGUUGGAGAAAAAUAUCAACUAUUGCAAUAAUACAAAGUCAUUUUUAAAGUUGUACCUUAAAACCAAUUCAAACUCAAACAUUAAAAAUAAGUUCAACAACACACAACAUCAAAUAGGGCAUGAAGUGUUCACAUCACUCUUUAGUUUAUUUUAUUAUGCUAAGGAUCUGCCAAAAAUAUAAUUAUUUUUUCUUACGUGAAAUUCCUUAUUUCAAGAAAAAAUCUACCUCAAGCAAAAGAACCACUCAAAAUUUAAAGACCUAAAGCAAAAUAUUCAAACUUAAUUAAAUUUGAAUAAAAGGUUAAUCAAGUUGAUGAUCGCUUUUGGCAACUAAUUUUACCAAGAUGGAUGACAUAAUUAUAAGAAAAUAAAAAAUAAAGAAUAUUCAGGGUAAAUAAGAACUUAUCUUGUUUUGAAAAUCUAAUUAGAUAAAAAUAAUUUCUAAAUCUUUAGCUAUUGUAGGGUGUGAUCAAAAUUUAAAAUAAAUGAAGUGUGAAAAGCAGAAAAGUAGAAUGAAAGGUCAUGAAAAUGGCCAAUUGCAGUAAAAGAGAGUGUCAAAACAAGAAUCGUGAAUACAGAGAAGUUCAGAGAAAAAAUGAGGAGAAGCUUUGAGAGAGAGAAAAGAUGAGUGAAAGAGGGUUUCAUUAAUCAAUCUAUGAAAAUGUACAGUGUCAUGUGUUUUUACAAAAGGUAAAAGAAUAGGCAAUUUCUUCUUGCACCCCUACGUUUUUCUUCCUGCACCCCCACAAUGUAAUGUAAAGACAAAAAUAUCCCUAUUAUUUUUUAAAAAUUCCAAAAUACACAUAAGACCCACAAUACUCUUUCUUCUUCCGGACAAUGCAAUUUGGUAAUUUUAUGGAAUAGGAAAUCCGCAUUUAUUUUUUUGCAUUUUGAAUUGGGAAAUCCAUAAAUCUUCCGAAUUGGUGAAUCUGGUAAUCUUCCGGAUUGGUGAAUCCGGUAAUCUUCCGGAUCCAUCAAUCCGUAACAAAAAUUAGACUUCUGGAUUCAGUAAUCCAGAAAUCAACAAGUUGCUUUUGAAACACCCCUUUAUUUGAAAAAGAACACGAAUCACUUCUGGAUUGAUGAAUCCGUAGCACACUCCCGGAUCCCAAUAUCUGGUAACCUAAAAAACUCUAGUUUUUUUAAAAUAAAAGGUGAAGGUCAGUUUUGGGAUUUACAAAAUUUUGGGGGUGCAGGAAAAAAAUGUAGGGGUGUAGGAAGAAGAAGCCAAAAGAAUAUAGGCGGGUGUUUCUUCCUGCACCCCCACAGUCUUGUGCAAAGACAAAAUUGCCCUUUAAAAUUUUUGAAAUUACAAAAUUACCCUUGAUGUAAUAAAACCCUAAAAAGUUAAAAUGAUGGUCAUUUGUGCGUGGUGGCCGGCCGUCUUCUUCGAUAGCACAGGUCUUCUUCAGCAGCAAUCUCUUGCAAUAGCUUCUUCUUCCAAAUCUCAUCCAUCUCUCAUUCAUAAAGGUACAUUCAUGUGUUUCGGAUUUUGGUAUCCGUUUUUUUCAUGGAUUGUUGUUUCCGUAAAUAUUAUUUCACAUUCCAAAUCACAGAAUCCGGUAAGUUUUCGAAUUUGGGGAUCCGGUAGUUUCCCGGAUUUGUGGAUCCGUUAGUUUCCUGGAUGUAAGGAUCAGGUAGUAUUCCGGAUUUAGGAAUCCGGUAGUGUUCUGGAUUUAGGUGAAGUUUAACACCCUUUUUUCUUUCAUUUUCACCCAUGUCACUCCUUAGUACUAAUUCUUCAAGCUGUAAGAGAGGCAUCCACUAGUCUUGGAGUUGAAAUUAGUAAAGUCUUGUAGUUAUUGUUAUAACAUCUUUACCAUAUAUGCUUAUUCCUUGUAUAUUUUUCUCUGGUUAGUUUGAAGUUUUAAUAUUUAUUUCACUUUCCAGUUUUUAUAUUCCUUUCAAGGAAGUCAUGACUCGCAAACUCAUUAGUAAUCACAAUGUCGGUAAUGCAAGUAAAGCAUUCCGGAUUCAUGAAUCCAUAACACAAAAUACUGUACCGGAUCAACCCAUCCGUAAUGAAAUUUUAGCUUCCAGAUUCACAAAUCCGGAGAACAACAUAUUAUUGCAUUUUACUUCUGGAACACCCCCUCAUCCGGAACACAUUAUUUCAUUUAUUCCGGAUUCAUGAAUCCGGAAGGUAUUACCGGAUUCCGAUAUCCGGUAAUCCCGAAAUUUCCAUAACCACCGUGUUUCUUAAAAAAAACCUUUACUCUUACCUCUAUAACCCAGACAACAGUUCGGCAACGUUGUGUACUCCUCCGCCUUUCUUCCAACAAUUAUGAAGAACCUCCGCAACACUUGAAACCCAAGGAUGAAGAUGAGCAGUGACUGUGGAAGUGCUGAACGUUGCCCUUUUCAAAUUUUUGCUCAAGGUUAAUGUUGGAAUAUUGAAAAUUGUGGGGGUGCAGGAAGAAAAACGUGGGGGUGCAGGAAGAACAAGCCAAUAUAGGCACUAGUAAGAGCCCAAAAACCCACAAAGAGCCCAAAAACAGAAAAGAGAAAAAAUAGAAUAGCUGCAGUAACAGAAUAAUAUUCUAAUACAAAUACACUAACAGAAUGAUAUUUUAACAAAAGGAAAGAAAGUGAAGGCAGAAAAAAUUACAAUUAUUCUCAACAACAACAAAAUUGUAUCAUUCAGAAAUUAUAUUAUUUACAAAAAAUAUUAAAAUAUAAUUUCUUAUCUUUUUUUUUUCAUCUCUGAAUUGGAAUUAUGUAUAUGAAAUCUUAAAAAAACGACUAUAUUUAUAUUUUUAUCAUGAAAUUGCUUUAUUUGAAAAUCUAAAAUUUUAACAGACUUUUCUAAAAAUAUAUAUUUUCUUUUACUUACACUGAAUUAUAUUCUAAAUUAUAAUUGAAUUGUGUAUAUAUUUUUGUAGUUGCAAUAAAUAAAAAAUAUUAUAAUAGAAGAGAUCAAACAAAUUCUUAUUAAUUUUUAUGUAUUUGAAAUUAUUCUCUUGAAAAUAUGAUAACGACCUAUAAUUUAUGAGUCAAAUUUUUAUAUUAAAUCGUCUUUUUUACACUCUAAGAAAAACAUACUUACUAAAGUAUGAAUUUAAAGUUGUUCUUAUUUCAUCUGUAUAAAAUUGUUGCCGACUAAAACUGUUUUGAAAAUUGGAUUUACAAUUGAUAAUAACAGAUGAAAAAUACCUUAAAUUAAUAUACAGUAUAUUUAUUAAAAGAUCACCAUUAUUUAAUAAUAAAAAUUAUUUGUUUUUGAAAUAUAAAAAAAUCGAUGGAACUUAUAAUAUAUAACUAUUUAUAUUAAAAGUUCUUUUUAUGUAAAUUAUUUUUAUAAUUUAUGCUAUUAAUUAUUGGUGAGAUCAUAGUCUCUUUCCCUUAAAAAAAAUAAAAAUAAAACAUUAAGUGUGGAUGACAAUAACUUUUGUCCAGCUACAUUAUAUAAUAUUAAUAUUACCCAUCGCAUAUAACUUUAGUUUUAUUAUUCAAACUAUUUAUUUAUGACUUAAUUUAAAUAAACAUCCUCAUGAAAUUUCCCGCUAAGUGAGUUGGCGCCCAAAAUCCUCUCUUAUAUAUAAAGACAGUAACAGUGAACCAAAGAAACACAACAAAACUCUAAGUGAGUUGGCGCCCAAAAUCCUCUCUUAUAUAUAAAGACAGUAACAGUGAACAAAGAAACACAAUUUCUAGCCAUUCCAACUCUCCAAUUUCAAGCGUCAAAUGUACUCUUCUCUCUUCUGUAACUUACCAUCUUUUUGGAAAUCUCCAGAGUUGAAACCAAAUCCUACAGCGUGAAACUGAAACCCCGAUUGAAAUAUUAUGUUUUGGUCAAUAUCCAAGAUCAGUUUGUUGGUAUUGCUUUGAUGAUUCUCAAUAAGGUUUUGUGGAAUUACAUGAUGUUUGCGUCGUGGGAUAGAAGAGUUAUUAAGAAUUAUUAGUAAGUGAUCAAUGUGCUUUUAUCGGAUUGUGAUUCAUUUACGCCGAAUGUGAUUCUUUGUGAUGAUGGCGAGUUUUAAAUCUUUUUUGUCUAUGGAUGAAAUGAAAAACAUAAUAGUUCAGAAAGGCCAAUUGAUCCAGGUGUUGCAUAGCAUUGAGCCUGGUAUGACUUUCUCUUUGGCUUUUCAUUCUUGAAUUUAUGGAUUCAUCUUCUCUAGUUUCUAUAGCUUCUAUUAAGAGCGCCUAGUAGGACUUUCUCUAUUGGCUUUUCUUUCUUGAAUUCAUCUUGUCUAGUUUCUAUAACUUCUAUUAAGGGUGUCAAUGGUUUUCUUUAAUUCUUGGGCUUUACAACUAACACAACCAAUGAAUCAUUUGAAGGUAUUUGAGUAAUUUUGGACUUUGUCACCAACCAUAUGGGUUGAACUGUGAACUGGUUUCUCUACUGUAAUAUUUGGAAGUGUUUCUUGGAAUCUUUCCGUGUUGUGUCGAGCCUAUGAGCGGCUCCCUUGGUUUUGAAAUUUUGAAUUUACCUUAACCUUUCUAUACUAUGUCAUAUCAUCUCUUUAAAAGAGGUUAGCUUUCUCGAAUCCCCAUGAUUCUUGUUCGGCUUUUAUUGGAAGGCAAUAUAAAUGUGGGCUGGUAUCAGAAACAGUGAAUGGCGGUCCAGUGAAACUUUAGGUUUUAUUAUCUUUGCGGUUAUUCUUUUGGCUAAACUUGAGGAGUGGGGUUCUUGUAGACAGGCACUAUAUGACUAUGAGAGGCUUUGACAUUUGUGUUUGUGUCUUCGACUUUGAUUAUCUUCUUCUACAUGUUGCAGUGACUUUCUACAUGUUGCACUGACUUACUAUGGAUGUCUGUUGGAUUGUGGAGGCAAUUGCCGUAGAUUAUUGGACUUGUGAAGCUUUAGGUUUUAUUAUGUUUCCAUUCACUAUCUUAUGUGCUUGAUUUGAAAUGGCUAUAUUCUCUCUUAUUGGUUGAAUAGUAGGAAGCUACACGUGUCAGUCACUGUGUGUCUAAGCUAGGGCGAUUCUUAAUUAUGCUUAUCCUUUAUCUCAUGAUCCCAACUAUCUUCCAAAAUGAGAAUGUUCUCCAUAAUGACAGUAAUAUUUAGUUAUAUUUCCAAUAUGAGAAUGAAAAACUAUCUCUCAAGGCUAUGAGUGACCUAUUCCAAAAGGAAAGCUCCAACAUGAGAGCUCUAUUUACUUCUUUCGGGUUGGGGUCUCAGUAUUUGUGAUAGGAUAUGGAAGCAGACUGUAUCUUAUUUCUAACUAUAUUUCUCAAUCUUAGUCCCUUGCUGAUUUUGGUCUUUAUUAUUUAAUGUUUUUGGACUUGAUCACCUAACAUAUGGGCUGAACUGUUGUUUAUCUACAAUAGUAUUUCAAAGUGUUUUUGUNNNNNNNNNNNNNNNNNNNNNNNNNNNNNNNNNNNNNNNNNNNNNNNNNNNNNNNNNNNNNNNNNNNNNNNNNNNNNNNNNNNNNNNNNNNNNNNNNNNNUUGAUAUUUGUGAAUUUUCUUAUUGUUUCUGUACUUUGUCAUGUCAUCUUUUUAAGAAGAUUAGUUUUCUCAAAUUGCCACGAGUCUUCUUGAGCUUUGCCACCAGUUAAACUUUAGGUUUUAUUAACUUUGCAUUUAUGAUGCUGAUAAAAAACAUCUUUGCAUUCAUUAUUUUCUUUGCUGUUAUUCUUUUUGCUACUCUUGUGGAGUCGGAGUUCUUGUAAUUGGGCCUUUGACUUUGAUGAUUUGAUUAUCUUCUACUUGUGUUGUACUGAACUUUGAGCUUUGCCAUGAGACUUCUUGAGCUUUGCCAUGAGUCUUCGUGAGCUGCCAUGAGUCUUUGUGAGCUGCCAUGAGUCUUCUUGUGCUUUGCCAUGAGUCUUUGUGAGCUGCCAUGAGUCUUUGUGAGCUGCCAUGAGUCUUCUUGAGCUUUGCCAUGAGUCUUCUUGUGCUUUGCCAUGAGUCUUCUUGAGCUUUGCCAUGAGUCUUCUUCAGCUUUGCCAUGAGACUUCUUGAGCUUCGUCACGAGACUUCUUGAGCUUUGCCAUGAGUCUUCGUGAGCUUUGCCAUGAGUCUUCUUGAGCUUUGCCAUGAAUCUUCUUGAGCUUUUACAUGAAGGAUGUAGGGUUCAGGUUUUGGAAACAGUGGAUGGAGAUACAGUUAAAGUUUAGGUUUUAUUAUCUUUGCAUUCAUUAUUUUCGUUGUUGUUAUUCUUUUUGCUACUCUUGUGGAGUGGGAGUUCUUGUAAUUGGGCCUUUGACUUUGAUGAUUUGAUUAUCUUCUACUUGUGUUGUAGUGAACUUUGAGCUUUGCCAUGAUUCUUCUUGAGCUUUGCCAUGAGACUUGUUGAGCUUUGCAAUGAGACUUGUUGAGCUUUUACAUGAAGGAUGUAGGGGUCAGGUUUUGGAAACAGCGGAUGGAGAUACAGUUAAAGUUUAGGUUUUAUUAUCUUUACAUUUAUUAUGCUGAUAAAAAAAAAAUUGCAUUCAUUAUUUUCUUUGCUGUUAUUCUUUUUGCUACUCUUGUGGAGCGGGAGUUCUUGUAAUUGGGCCUUUGACUUUGAUGAUCUGAUUAUCUUUUUCUAUUUGUGUUGGAAUGAACACUUACCAUGGAUGUUUGUUGGACAUAUUGUGAAGCUUCAGGUUUUAUUACUUUUCUACUCACUAUUUUUCUUAUUUGCUCGAUUUGGAAUGUCUACAGUUUCUCUUAUUGGCUGGAUAGUUGGAAGGUAUUUCAUUGUAUGUAUCUAAGCAAGAGUGAUGCGUCUAGGUCCUCCAUCAUCUACCGUUAUUGAUUAUAGUUUUCUUGAAUUCAUUGGCCUUACAGGAAAGCUAAGCAAUGAAGUGUGGUGUAGGAUGUAAAAAUGGUGGGUCGAAAUUCUGUGGUGAAGCUAAAUGUUUCUUUCACCAGGACAUUGUUGUGUUCAACUGAUUUAAUUUUUAACUGGCUCAACUUGUCGGUUUGAUUAUAAUCUUGUUUGUAACUUGUUGGUUUGAUUAUAAUCUUGGUUGUAUUUUGAUAAUGUAUGUUUCUAAGAGGCAUUGUGGGAUGAGAAUGAGACAAGUACAGUUGAACUUUACUCUUUGAUUUGAUGGUUUGCUUCUUGGUUUGAAAAGUUCUACUAUUUAAUUUUGAUGACUUCUCUGCAUAAUUCUAUAAUAUAGGUCUUUUGUUCUAUAUAGGUCUUUUGUUCUUUUAAUAAUUUUCCAAAACCUUUCGAUUCAUUAUUCUUGAUCCCGAACAUAUGGGUUGAGUUGUGAACUUCUUUGGACUUUUUGCAUGUAACUCUUACGCUGAAAUUAGUAUAAGAAUGAUCCUGAAAUUGAAAUUGUUUAAAUGCUUCACUUUUGUUUCAACAAUCUCCAUAUGUGUUUCUCGUUCCUUGAGUUUUGAAAUUUGCAUUUAUUUGUUUGCAACACAUUGAGUCUUUAUCUGAGGUUUCUCUUUCAGUUGAUUAACUCAACCAGUGAUGGAAUAUAGUGGGACGACUAACAUGUCUAUUCAAGCAGUUAUAGAUUUUUUUUCUUUUUUUUCCUUUAUUGUUUAUUGAGUUGAGUGUUUUCAAAAUAUUUCUGUAGCCACUUGGGAUUGAAAGUCCAACGUUAUGCCUGACAUUGGAUAAUUGGACUUCUUUUAUUAGUUUUCCAAACCGUUCAUUUUUUUCAUAUUUGUUCUAUUUGGACAGGAAUUGUAGGUGAGAAAGAUAAUGGAGUUUUGGAGGUGAAUUUGUUUAAUAUUUGUUCUAUUUGGACAGGAAUUGUAUGUGAAAAAGAUAAUGAAGUUUUGGAGGUGAAUUUGUUAAUUCCAGUGAAAACGACGAAGAACUCUUGAUAAAGUAAUUUUCUUUGUUAUUAUAUUUCUCUACCCAAUCCAGGUGUUGCAUUAAUCCCUUUGCAGCAUACAGAACUGUAACCGAUCUUAAGUUUGUAUGCAACGAUGUUUUUGGAAAUUUUGUGUCACAAACUUAUUAUUAGGAGACUACGACUUCCUUGGUUUUAUCUGAUCAUUCUGGACUUGCUAUCUUCUUCUGUGGGUUUUGGUUAGGUUUCAAUUUUCAGUAAUGUCUGGUAUGUUGACAGUAUUGGAUUUCCUUGUUUGCAUUUCAAAAACUGAACCAAUCUCAAGGCAUUACGCUUCUAUAGUUGGAGUAGUAUGAGACAACUUUGUUUCUCUGAAAUUUAGAGAGUCUCUUUAAUAUUGCAUGGUAAUUUUUUUAUACGAUGUACAAGUAUAUCCAGUUUUAUUUGGAUAUUUUUUAGCAACAAUGCUUUUGGAAUAGGAUUUGUUUGAGCGCUACCAUGAGAAAGUUCAAUUUGAAACGACAACCACUCAUAAUAGCCUAAUUUCUUCUAUAUGAGGUUUCCCCUUUUAUUUAACUUCUAAGGAAUUGAUUACCAACAUUAGGAUUGAAUUGUGAUUUGUUUUUCUACAGUGGUUUAUGAUUGUAUUCAAACAAUGUUUGGAUCUCAUCGAACCUUUAAUGAGUUGAUUUCUGAGUUUAAGAAUUCGUCUAAUAUUUUCUAAAAUUCCUCCCAUGGAACAAGUGUUUUAAGUUUUCUUGAAUUUUUUCUAUUUACCGGUAAGACAAGCAAUGGAUGUGUGAGGACAUGUAGAAACAUGCGGAUCAAUUAAAGCCUUAGUUUGUGUUAAUUCGUGACUAGCUAUUUGAAUGCAGUUUUUUAUGUGGUGACAAAGAUCUAUCAAAAUAAAAAAAUUGGUUUAGGAUUUCCUCUCUAUUUGAUAUUUUCAGAUUUGAUCACCAAAUAUAAGGAUUUUCCGUUACCAUUUGUUUUUCUGCAGUGAUGUUUGCAUUAUGUUUCAUGCUACGUCUAAUGGAUCAUGUUGUCUGGAAGGUUUUAUGGCUCUUGGUAACAGGCUUUACAAGUGCUUCAGAGGAUCAGUAGUUUCAGAGCUGAUACCUAUUAUCAUAAUUGUGUCUCGCAGUGUGAAUUGUUCAAGUUUAUUUAUUUGCAAAAGGGAUCAGUUCUCCAAUAAUUUUUGCAGAAGAUUGGAUGGCUAACAUUAUUGUUCGUUCAUUUGAUCCAGUAAGAGCUCAUUCUAGAAAUGUGGACUUCUCUUUAAAAGCCUUUAGUAUGUUUACUAUCUUCAAAAGAUAUUUUUUCUGGAUCUAUUGUUUUGACAGAGCAGGUCUUCGAGGAAGUCACGGGUCUCUUAGAUUUGGAAUUGUUCAAGUACCAUCAACAUGAUUUCAUGAUCUCUUAUGAUUUCCCCUGAAUUUUUGGUUGUUGUUUUGACAGGGUAGGGUUUGGGUAGAGUUUGGGUUUUUGGAUUAGGAAUUGUCCAACUACCAACAAUGUGUAAACCCUAAACCCUAAACCCUAAAUAUAUAUAUAUAUAUAUAUUUUUGCUAGUUUUAUUUUUCAUUGAAUUACUUAAUUGCUUUAUUAAUAUGAUCAUUUGAUUAUAAAAUUAUUCUUGGUAGUUAUAUAAUUAUUCAUGGUUGUUUUAUUACCUUUAAUAGUUAUUGUUGUUGGAAAAGUAAUCUAGAAGUCCUUUGUUGGCUAAUGAUUCUCUAACAUUUUUUUUUUAAAUUUCAUAGUAGUUGUAUUUUGCUUUGACAAUUUAGUUUAGUUUUUUUAUUGAUUCCUGCAUCGACAAAUGAAUUUUGAACUUGUUCUUGCAUAAUUUAUCAUGGGAUAAAAUGAAUUGGUGGUGUAGGUUUGGAAAACAGUGGAUCUGGACCCUGUGGAACUUUGGUUUUAUUCUGUGUUUAUUAUUUUCUUUGAUGCUAUUAUGCACGGAUAAACUUGUGGACUGGGAAUGCUUACCUCUUUAUGACAGGCAUUGUAAACGUCUGUGUCAGCCAUUUAAUUUUCUCUUUCUAGUUCACACUCAGACAUUUCUUUCAGCAACUGAGUCAUUUAAUCGCAAAGAGAGUUUUGUUUCCUUUCAUGUUCUUUGUUGUCAAUACAACCUUUGUUUCUUUCUUAUCAGCUAUAGUAUUUAAUUCAAUGCGAUCUCAGGAUGUGUUACUUGGAAGUGAUGUGGUUAUUCAUUCGAGGAUUGAUGUGUUAUUUGGAAGUGAGGUGAGGCUAUCUGAAUACCGGAAGGAGAUCCAUUCUCUUUGAUGACAGAUGCCUACUUGAGUUUGGAUGUAGUUAUUUAUUUGAUGACAGAGAUCUAUCAUAUGUAACUUUCUGUUAGUUCCUUUUCAACAGGGGAUUCUGGUUGAGGAUUAAAAAACAUAAAUUUGAAUAUUGUUUUUGUCUAAUUAUUGAAAUAUGACAAAUCUAGCGGUUUGAUAUGUGAAUAUGUUGAUUCUUUUUCAGCAAAUCAUAGGUUAGUAACAAUAAAAUGCUCAGGGAAGAUGUCUCCCCUCUAUUUGAAACUUUGUGGAUUGAGCGUAUUUUUCCAGACUGAUAUGUGAGGUAGGAUGUGGAAACACUUACCAGGACAUUUGUGAAGCUUUAGGUUUUGUUACCCUUACCAUUCUUGUGUCUUUAUUUGUGACUGACUAAACUUCUUGUUUGGAUUCUAAGUUUUGGUUGGAUUCAUUGCUAACCUUGUAGUUUGACUGGCAGUCUGGCAAUUCUUGUGGGUUUAGAGGUCGUGUAAUUUGGGGAGGACUUGUCUGGCAGAAUUUUUAACUACUUAUAUGAAGUACUGAAUUAAUAGUGAAAAAAAGAUAAAAAAAAUAUAUCAUGGCUAUUAAAAGUUUAUGUUUCUUGUCCUGUUCAGCCAUGACACUUGUGUGAACACUUGCUUCUUUCUCUAUUGCCCCAUAUGCAUUUUUUUCACAAUUUUUACUCUUUUUUAAGUUAUCCAUUUCUAAGUAAUUUAGGCUUCUCGUAGCUUUUACCAGUCCUGGAUUCAUAGUGAAAUUUGAACCUUUUACAUGGUGCAAUUGAAAUUAAGGAGUGAAUUAUUGAUCUUUAGUUUUACAGUACUGAAUUAAUUUUGGAUUUGCUUUGGUGUAGCAAAUUUGAAAGGUCAUUUUCUUAGUUAUUACUUCAUUUACUAAAUAAUCAAGAGCAUUGGACAAUUUGAUUUUGUAGUGUUUUGUUUGCUGCAUUGACAAAUGAAUCUUGCAUUGUAUUGUUUUUAAUAGUUCUGGAUUACAUUCUGAAUAUGACAUAUGAUGAUCUCUUCUAUCUUCCAAUAUGAGAAUGAUCUGCAACAUUAGAGUUGUAUUUAGUUCUAUCUCCAAAGGGAGAAUGAGAAAUUGAGAGCUCUAUUUAGUUUUAUCUCCAAUUAUCUCUAAUAUGAGAAUGAGAAACAACAGUAGUUGGAAUGUUUUCUGGCAAUCUUCCUGUGCUAUGAUUCAGUUCUCUCUCCAUAUAUGAGAAUAAGAAAAUGAGAAAGAGAAACAAGAUUAUUUGGAAUGUUUUUUGUCGUAAUCUUCUUGCACUAUGAUUCGGUUCUCUCCCAAUAUGCGAAUGAGAAACAACAAUAUUUGGAAAGUUGUCAUAAUCUUCUUGCGUUAUAUGAUUCGGUUCUGUCCCCAAUAUGCGAAUGAGAAGAUGAGAAACAACAGUAUAUGAGAGCUCCAUUUAGUUCUAUCUCCAAAUGAGAAACAACAGUACAUGAGAGUUCUAUUUAGUUUUAUCUCUAAUAUGAUAAAGAAGCGAAACAAAAGUAUUUGGAUUGUUCUCUUUGUAAUCUUCGUGUGCUAUGAGCAACGCCUCCCCUCGAGGCUAUGGUAACGGGUGAUGCCUCUCUAUUCCAACAUGAGAUCUCUAUAUAUUAUGUGGAAGCAGACACCAUCUUUUUGUCGUCUAUAUUUCUCAGCUCUUGCUGAUUUUGCCGUGCUGUUUUCUUGAUUUACCAUGCUUUUUUUUAUCAGCAAAGAAUGAAAUUAAAUUAAGAGGGAUACAAAAGGGGUAUCUCAACUCUUUUACAUAAACCAAACCACAUUAAGAAUCUCCAAGAAUAAAGAGAUGAAUAAACACCACAGAAGCAAUAGAUAGAUAAUGUUUGUUGCAUAAGUUAAACAUCCUAUUUCAGCUAGCACCGUGCUUGUAUUGGAAUGCUAUAAGCACUGCAAACUGCAGCUACAAAACCAUCAAAAUACACCAAAAUUGGUUGUCUCCACCACCUCAUUGACAUUCCUUCUACCCAACUUGCAGUGGCACGAUUGUAGCACUUGUCACAGAAUUAAUCACUUCAAUGCAGCAUCUUCCAUUCACUCCUUUUUGGACUUUGGCUUCUCCUUGUUUGCUCCUUUCAAGCUCACUUUUAACAGAAACCAAGUUCCUACUUGCCAAGGUCUAUCUCGCACUUAGAUUGGUUGGAGUUUACAACUUCGAGUUACAUCCCCCAACAUGUCUGAAUCCCCACCACAACCUCUACUGCUACCAUCUACAUGUGAGACCACUAGUUGAUCAGCAAACACACUUAGGGAUUUCCACAACAACCAAAACACCACAUAAAAAAACACAGUUUUUGUUUCCUGCAUAAAGAACCCUGAACCAGCAUACACCUUGCCUCUAUUGGUCUGUUAUAAGACACAUCAAAACAGAAUCUUUCAUCAUGUCCUUAACAUUCCUUUUGACUCCCUUGCAUACAAGCACAUAUGUCCUUUCCAUCUUGCACUAGCUGCAGGCCGUGACAAACCCACCAACACCUCCAACCAACUAUAAAUCCAGUAUAGGUCGUAGUCUUAAAACUCUUGGCACCUGGGAGUACUAAUUAUAACUUCUAAUGCAAAGCAUUGGAUUAAGAAUCCAGUCUACGAAAGAAUAAGUAAAGAAAUGCACCUUGUGUUUCAUCCAAAGCCAGGAUUUGAGUUGAGCCUUCUGAAACACCUCCUCCGCAUCUACUAGCCCUUUUUUGAAUACAAUCAGGUUCCUUUGGUCCCAGAUACACCUAAUAACAGAUGCCCAAACACCUUUCCAUACCAGGUUUUGCUUCUUACUAGCAUUGCUCAGAUAAAAACUCAUAAAGUGCAUAAUUAAAUCAUUUUGUUGAACAGAAGAGAUACCUAUCCAUUUGAAGCACAAGGACCAUACCCAUUGUGCGUAUUUACACUCCAAGAAGAUAUGUUGACAAGACUCCUCCUUAAGCUGACACAUUGCACAUAACGUAGAUUCCAUCAUUACCCCUCUCCUACUCAAACUCACCCUUGUUGGGAUUCUAUCCAACAACACUCUCCAAGCUGUCACGAUCACAUUUGGGAAUGCCUUAGUCUUCCAAAGGAGAUUAAACACAUCGGAUUGGGUUCCACGAGACUGCUUGGCAAGGCACUCAUAAGCAGAAUUCACAGAAAAAAAAGGGCUGGUUCUUCCUUCCCCCACACCUGCACAUCCACGUCAUUCCUUCUCAUUAGUGCCCCUGAUAACAGUGUAAAGAGGUCUGCUUCCAGUGAUGAUUCCCACUCAAAUCUGGCACGCCUCCAUGUCAGCCUCCAUCUCCAAUCCGAAUUAAUCCACACGCCAACUUCACCCACCGUUUGCCCCUGUUUUAAGGAUAGGGAGAACAGUCUUGGAAACAAGGAUUUGAGAUCAGAGCUCCCAACCCACACCUCCUCCCAUAACUUUACUUUGUCUCCACACCCUAGUUUUCAGCUUAGUUCUUCUUGAAACCAUCAUUUUCCUCCUCCCUCCUUGCACACUUUAAAGAGAUCUUUCCACCACCAAGAUUUUCAGCUUAGUUCUUCUUGAAACCAUCAUUAGUCCAAUUUUAAUACAUGAUAUGACAAAUGGAUUGAAUUAUGAUAUUGUCUCCUUGAAGCUUGAAUUUAUGAUCGUGUCUCUGUGCGCUGUGAUCUUAGUCACAUUGGUGGUAUAGACAAAUUGAAAAGAAGGAUCUUGGAGUCAUUCCUUUCAUUUUAGUAGUGGUAAUUACCAAGAGCUCAAGACUAUUUGACUUCAAUUUUUUCAUUACAAAACUUUAUUUUGUCUUUAUUAGUUUCUUUCAUUGAGAAAUGAAUUUUGAACUUGGGUUCUUGCAAAGCAUCAAUGUUCUUGCCUAAUUUGUGUUGCAAGAUUAUUGAUCUUUUGUAUUGGAGUUCCAAAAAUUAUAGUCUACUCAAGACUAAUUUCAUGAGUCUUGACUUUGCUAUUCUUAUUCGGAAGGUUUGUACUAUGUAUGUUUUGUCUUUUCUGAUUUAAAGUGUUUUUCCUUGUUUUUAUUUGUGUGGUUCAGACUGAAUAAAUGAGAUACCGAUUUUCUUGUUCUCCUCAUGUUACAUCAACCAUUUUAUUGCUACUUUUAUUCAUUUGCAAAGGCUCAGGAUAAUAUUAUUUCUUCAGAUUUCUAUGUACUUGAUAGUAAAUUUUUAGGUGUUGCAUAGCGCCUGGUAUGACUUUCUCUAUUGGUUUUUCAUUCUUGAAUUUAUGAAUUCAUCUUGUCUAGAUUCUAUACUUCUAUUAAGAGGACCUGGUAUGACUUUCUCUAUUCCUAACAAAAAAAACUUUUGUCCUCAAAAUUACCUAAAAAAAUAAUUAGGAUAUGAUUCACUUGUCUUCUUUUUCAUCUCCCGCAUAUAAGAUCUCACAACACUUUGACCUUUCACAACACUUUGGCCUUGUUUACACUUUCAUUUCAAAAGAUGGAUUUUCUCUUACAUGAAUUAAAUCAAAUUUUGUGUGACUAACUUUCCUUUUGUUGUAUACCAAGUUAACCAUCCAAUCUAUUUUUCCUCAAUCUUAAACACACAAUUUAGGUUAGUCUUAUGUUUUUCAAGCUUCUAGAAUAAUAUUUUUGCAUAAAGGUUAUUGUCAAAAAUGUCUAAGACGAUGUUGAUGUAAUCAAACUUCACGAUCCAUGACUUGACUUGUUAUAAGAACUAUAUAAACAUAUGCAUGAUAUAAAUCAAUAUCAAUAUAGAAAUCUUUCCAUGUUUAUUGGAAAGAUUACCUUUAAUUUUUAAUGGACAUGAUAUGAUACUAACCUUUCUAACUCAUUUUGUUUUUUUUUAACAAUAUUCUUAAAUUCAAAAAAAUGUGUAAUUAUAUUACUCACCUAACUCUAACUCAUUUUGUUUUUUUCUUAACAAUAUUCUCAAAUUAAAAAAGUGUGCAAUUAUAUUACUCACCUAACUGUUGCGUCUCAAAAAAUGUAUUGUAUGUUUCAACACUAGAAUAUUAAUUGUAAAAUUGACUUGCAAUGCGACCAAGUUUGGUAAAAUAAAAGUUAUUUUUUUCAUUGAAAUGCAUCAUUUUUUUCCAACACUAGUCUUUUUAGGACUAAAAGUAGGAUUUGCCAUUGCUUCAUUUCUCCAAAGGAUUCAUCCUCAUCUUUAUAAAAAGAUAAAUAUACUCCAAUCAAGCGUAAACUUCUUUAACAUUAGUUACAUACCUCUUUCACCACUUUUAUCAAACUAAUGUCUUCUUUUUGGUCAAUUAUCCACAUAACAUCAAGCAUACCAUUCAUUUUCAUAUAAAAAUAUUUAGUUUUAUUUGUUUUUAAUAGGUUUAAAUAUUUUUAAAAUUUGAAUCAACCAAUUGCUUCUCUUUCACUUCUUUUAGAAACUUGUUAAGCAUAUGACAAAUAAUAUGAGUUGAAGAUAUAGGAAUUUCUAAAUCCUACAUUCUAAAUUCUAAAUCUUUAAUCAUAGGUGUUGACACUUGUGUCUUCUCAUGAAUUGAAGCAUAUGUAGCAACAUUUCCUAUCUUAGGAUGGUACCUCAACAAAAAAUUGUAAUCUUUCAAAAACUCCAUCAAUUUUCUAUUAUCUACUUUCGUUAUUUGUAGGAUAGGAAACUAAUUGUAUAAUAACACUAUUUCAUUUCGACUUAGCCACGUUCAACUAUUGUAAUUUUCUCCUAAGUCUUUGAAGUUUCACUUCAUGAUAGUAAAAAAUAUAUUUAACCACGUCUCUUUUUAUGUUCAACUAUUAAAAAACUUGUGUAGUACUGAUAUAUAUUAGUUGUGUCUAAUGCAAAUAUAUUUAUUUUAUAAUUUUUAUACUAUAUCAUUUUCUCCAACUUAUUAUUUGUCGAUACACAAACUUUAUCUUGAACCUCAGAAUUUCAUUUACUUUCAUUACGAGAUCCUUAGCUGUUUUUGUACUUAACACUUAAUUAACUUAAGUUUUCGACCAUCACAAUCAACCAAGAUUAUCGAACUUGAUAGUUUAGUAAACUUGUGAAAGGCUUGUAAACUCAACUUGUAGACUCGUAAGAGUCUUGUUCAUAUAAAAUAUUGACAAAAAAAUAUUUAUGAUACCAAUUUCACAUUAUUAAAAUAAAAAAAUUCAUACAACAACAAAUUUAUUAAGACUUUGACUUCUUUUGUUACUGAAACACAAGGUUCAAAAUCAUAUAUCUUCAAAAUCAUAUAUCUUCCCAACAAAAUGAUGUUUGAAUGUGAAAAAUGUCUCCAUUAAAUAAUAAUUAUAUUUCACUUUUUUAUUGUUAUCUAAAACAUAUCUUCGGUGUUUCCAUCCAAUUUACGCAACAUUUUUAUUUCUAGAUGGAAGUGAUAAAGAUGUACCGACACACACUACCAAUUGCAACCAUUUCCCAACAUAAUAAUUAUUUUAACUUUAUUUUUUAACCACACUAAAAAAGACAAAAUCUUGAUAAAAAAUUAAACUAAUUUUUAGAAUUAAGAUAAAAAAUUAUCUUGAUUUAAUCAUGAAUGUGCAUCACUUUUUUUAGAUUUUUUCUUUUUCAAUAAUUUUAUCUUCAUUCAUUAUAAUAUAAACACAAUCUCAAAAUUUUUUUUUGAACUUUCAACUAAAAAACUUUAGUUAUCUUUAAAGUAGACAUAAACAAAUAUAUGCACAUGCAAAAAUAACCCACUACUAUGGAUGACAAAGUCAGGCAGGUCAACUCAUUAAGAAAGAACGCAGCGGAUGUCCUAUUUCAACUUGGGCUGAUUCUCCCUACACCCAAUCAAAUUGGACCUGUACCCAAUUGCAUUUGUGAAAGUACCGAAAUACCCUUAAUGAAAAUGAAAUUAGGGUUUAGUGAUUUCUGCACCCAAUCACACACCCAAGUUCGUUUAUGCCAUCCUCAUACUCAACAUCAUCUCUCGCACGAGCGUCCGCAUCCUCGCACCUUGGUUGGCAUUUCUCUGGCAGUGUAGUGUUGAGUGGAAGGACCCCUUGAACAAAGACGAAGCUAGGAGCGCGAAGGUCGUCCAUUGUUGCGCGAAGGUUUUAGGGCAUCAUAUGCAUCAGCGCACCCUACAAGCUUUUUCAAAAUAAACAUGACAAUGGUACAAUUGGAUUUUAGAAUGUUUUUCGGGUGCCAAUCACAAUUGAUUGGGUGCAGGAAGAAAUUGCUUUCAACUUGUUGACUUGCUUAGGCUCACCUCGCAUAAUCCGCAGUCCGCACGGGCCAAGUACAAGACGGGACAGGCUAACUCACAACCAACAUAUUUUAAAAAAUUAGACAUUUUUUUGCACCCCAUAAUUUUUUUUUUUAGCCUCAUAAUCUCAAAAAAUUUAAACUAUUCAUUCUAAAUUUUAUAAUCAGUAAUACAAAUUUGUAUUAUAAAGUGUACAAUCUAGAAUGUUGUACAAUCUUAAACCAAAUUUUAACUCUUAGAUUCUAUAACCCUAGAAGUCUCUAAAUUUCACAUUCCGAAAUUAAAGAUAAAACAUUCAACAAAAAAUGUCAAAGGAUAAUUAUAAUAUUUUUUGAAGUAUGGGGUGUAGUAAGUAGGGGUGGCAAUGCGGGCUGGCUCGCCCCGCAUUUGAUUCCCAAUGAGUGCGAUUUCAUUUCAAUGACCACCCCGCAUAAGAGGUAACCGACGGGCCUGAGGGCCAAUCCGCAUAAGAAAAAUAUUUAUUUUCAAAAAUUAAAAUUUCAUCAAAUAUAAAAAAAUUUAUUCUUACUAUGGAAAAAUUACAAUUUUAUACAUGUUUCAAUUCGUUCAAUUAAGAUAAAGUUAUAAAUUCAAGUGUGAGGAUUGUUAGAAGGUUUGAUUAAAAUUAACUAAAGUUUUAUUUUUUGCAUAUAUUUUUCCUAUAUAUGUAUGUGAAUGUAUAAGAAUACCUUAUCAAAGUUUUGUUAUAAAAUAUUUUAAUGAAGAUGACUAAUUUUUUUAACUAUCCUAUUUAAAUCUCUUUUUUUAUAUUUUUUUUAUUAACAAAUUUAAAAUAUAAGAUUUACUUAAAAUCAAAUCCAAUGUCACUCUUCAUACUAACUCCAUGGCUCAACUAAAGACCUGGUCCUGGGUAACCUAUAAAAUUCAUUUUGCUUAUUUUUCCUUUUGUGACUGGUGUUUGGAUCCCUGUUUAAUUAAACAUAAGUGUUUUAUUUAGGUUGGUUAGACUCUAUUUGUUCUAGUAGGAAGUUAGUGAUAAACUUCCCAAAUGAGGGUUGUUAGUUUUUGUGUGAUUUUGUACAUGAGUUUGGAUCACUCAUAAAGUGGUUCUUAUUUAUUUAUUUUUAUUGUUGAUAAAAAAAAACUAACUCCUUUAAAUGAUUAAAAUAAAAUAUUUUUUUUAGUAGAUUAAAUUCAAUUUUUUAAAAUAAAAUAAAUAAAUGUUGCACUACAAGGGUGAAUGAGGUAUGAUUUUUUUUUACAAAAAAUAAAAUAAUAUUUUUUCAUUUAUACGGGUCAACCUGCCCCGCUCCGUUAUUGGUCCGCUCUGGGAGUUAUGCGGGGCAGGUCUAAGCAGGUCAGCAGGGUAGAUUAGUGAGCUCGCCCUGCGCCUUUUAGUAGCGGGUUGCGGGCUGACCCGCCCUACAUUGUCAUCCCUGGCAAUAAGAAAGACAUGGAGGUGCAGGAAGAAACUAUCCUCAAUCCCUAGUUCAUAACACCUUCAUGAAAUUUGAUAAUAGUCUUUUUUUCCUUUUUAAAAUGCAUAAAUUUUAUAGGUUUCAAUAUUCAUCAAAUGUUAAAUGCAUUAGUCAGAUUUUGGCCUUUUUAUAAUAAAAUUUAAAUAUAUAAUAAUAUUAUUAUAUAUAUAUAUAUAUAUUAUUUUUUAAAUUAAAAUAAUAAUCAUGUAUCUACAUGUAUUGUCUUUAAAAAUAUAUAUAUUUAAAGAAAUAUUUAUUAGUCAAUUUAUUAUAAUUUUUUUAUCCAUAUUUUAUUACAUAUGUCGUGAGAAUAAUAUUAUGAAACUAUUUACCUAAAUCAUCUAAAUAAGAAAAAAAUUAUUUUAAUAAACAAAACAAAAUUUUAUUCAAAAUUUAUAUUUAAUUUUUUUCAUUAAUUAAAAAAAAUCUUAUGUGGAUCGGCUUGUGGGUUAGCUAGCAUGCGAGGCGGGCCAAUAAAAGCAACCCGUAUAUUUUACGCGGUACGAACCAACGUAGCCUGCAUUUUGUGGGCCAAAUGCGAGGCAAACGGACCUGCAUUGCCAUCCAUACGCACUACCCUCAUGUUAUCCUAAGGUCGAACAACUCUGAUACCAUAAAUGUAACACCCCCAAUAUUUACUAUACACUUAUUACAAAGUUUAUUGUAAUAUAAUUUUAUUACAAUAAACGUAUUCAAGAACUACAUAAACCAUACAUGGAUUUAUAUAUCAAGGAUAUUUAAUCCAUUUCUGCUCAGGCUAAAAUAUUCCCGCUCAAGUUGACAAAAACUUCUUUCUUUUAUUUUAUUUUUCUUCUUGUCUCAUCAAUGAAUUGGAUUCUUUAGCAAAAAACUUUGCUUGAACAAAAAUAGUGCUAAAAACAAGUUUGAGUGCUUGGUUAUUUUCGCUUGAGCAAAAAUUGGCUUGCUUGAGAAAAAUAUCAAAAAAAUCAACUAUUACAAUAAUACAUAGUCAUUUUUAAAGUUGUACCUUAAAAGCAAUUCAAACUCAAACAUUAAAAAUAUGUUCAACAACACACAACAUCAAAUAGAACAUCAAGUGAUCACAUCACUCUUUAAUUUAGGUUAUUCUGCUAAGGCUCUACCAAAAAUAUAAUUAUUUUUUCUUAUGUGAAAUUCCUUAUUUCAAGAAAAAAAAUCUACCUCAAACAAAAGAACCACUCAAAAUUUAAAGCUCUAAAGCAAAAUAUCCAAACUUAAUUAAAUUUUAAUAUAAGGUUAAUCAAGUUGAUGAUCGCUUUUGACAACUAAUUUUACCAAGAUGGAUGACAAAAUUAGAAGAAAAUAAAAAAAAUAGAGAAUAUUUAGGAUAAAUAAGAACUUAUCCUGUUUUGAAAAUCUAAUUGGAUAAAAAUGAUUUCUAACUCUUUAGCUAUUGUAGGGUGUGAUGAAAAUUUGAAAUAAAUGAAGUGUAAAAAAAGAAAAGUAUAAAGAAAAGGAAAGAAGAAAGAAAAGAAAAAAAAAGAAUAUUAGGAUAUAAUUUCUUAUCUUCUCUUCCAUAUUUGAAGUGGAAUUAUCGUAUAUGAAAUGUUAAAAAAAUGACUACAUUUAUAUUUCUAUUAUGAAAUUGUUUUAUUUGAAAAUAUAUUUUCUUUUACUUACACUGAAUUAUAUUCUAAAUUAUAAUUGAAUUGUGUAUAUAUUUGUUAGUUGCAAUAAAUAAAAAAUAUUAUAAUAAAAGAGAUCAAACAUCUUAUUAAUUUUUAUGUAAUAGAAACUAUUCUCUUUGAAAAUAUGGAAAUAAGAAAGAAAGUGGAGGCAUGAAAGGGAUUUACUUACAAUUAUUCUCAACAACAAAAUAUUUUAUCAUUCAAAAAUUACAUUAUUUAGAAAAAAGAUUAGGAUAUAAUUUUUUUUAUAUUCUCUUUCAUUUAUGAGAUGAAGUGGAAUUAUCGUAUAUAAAAUCUUAAAAAGCUGACUAUAUUUAUAUUUUUAUCAAAUAAGAAUUAAAAAACAGACUUUCCUUAAAAAAUAUAUUUUUCUUUUACUGAAUUAUAUUCUAAAUUAUAAUUAAAUUGUGUAUAUAUUUUUGUAGUUGCAAUAAAUAAAAAAUAUUAUGAGUGUUGACUAAUAGAGAGAUAAAACAAAUUCUUAUUAAUUUUUAUAUUAAAUUGUCUUUUCUACACUCUAAGAAAAACAUACUUACUAAAGUAUGAAGUUAAAGUUGUUCUUAUUUCAUCUGUAUAAAUUUUUUGCCGACUAAAACUGUUUUGAACUUUCACUACAAUUUUGAAAUUUGGAUUUACAAUUAAUAAUAACAGAUGAAAAUUUAUUAAAAGAUCACCAUUAUUUAAAAAUAAAAAUUAUUUGUUUUAAAAUAUAAAAAAAUCGAUUGAACUUAUAAUAUAUAACUAUUUAUAUUAAAAGUUUUUUUUUUCUGUAAAUUAUUUUUAGAAAUUAUGCUAUUAAUUAUUGGUGAGAUCAUAGACUUUUUCCCUUAAAAAAAUCAAAAUAAAACAUUAAGUGUGGAUGACAAUAACUUUUGUACAGCUACAUUAUAUAAUAUUAAUAGCUUUCCUUGACAAUUUGAUUAUUACCCAUCGCAUAUAACUUUAGUUUUAUUAAUCAAACUAUUUAUUUAUGACUUAAUUUAAAUAAACAUUCUCAUGAAAAAAAAUUAAUAUUAAAGUUAUAGUAUCUAAAAUAAUGUUUAGAGAAUCACGGUCUAAAGAAAACUAUAUUUUCAAUUUUCUUUUACCAUGUCAAUCGAAUAAAUUAAUUAAUUAAGUCUUCUAUUAAACUAAUAAAAUUCUAUAUAGAAAAAUUAUAAAUUAUUUAUUUAAAAUUUACAUAUCUUCUCACAUUAAAAUAUGUGAACAAUUUAUUUUAUUAUAAUUGAUUCACAUAAGCUAAAUAAUAAUAAUAAAAGUUAAGAAAAAAUGUAACUAUAUUUAAAUUUCCAUACAUAAUAUACUAAUAAACUAUUUAUUAUAUUAUAUAUUUUCCCGUUAAGUGAGUUGGCGCCCAAAAUCCUCUCUCAAUAUAAAGACAGUAACAGUGAACUAAAGAAACACAACAGAACUAAAUUUCUAAUUUUCUCUCCCUUCGAUUACGAGUUCAAGCGACUCGAGAACAUUCGCCGCAACGUUGAGGUGAUGGCAGCGCUCAAACUCCAUUCUAAAGCCACCCACAACUCUCCAAAGGUACUCUUCUCUCUUCUGUAACUUACCAUUUUUUUGGAAAUCUCCAGAGUUUCUCCAGAGGUGAAACUGAAACCCCGAUUGAAAUAUUAUGUUUUGGUCAAUAUCCAAGAUCAGUUUUGUUGGUAUUGCUUUGGUGAUUUUGUUUUGUUGGUGUUGCUUUGGUUAUUGUCGUGAUUCUCUAUAAGGAUUUGUGGAAUUACAUGAUGUUUUCGUCAUGGGAUAGAAGAGUUAUUAAGAAUUAUUAGCAAGUGAUCAAUGUGCUUUUAUCGGAUUGUGAUUCAUUUACGCCGAAUGUGAUUCUUUGUGAUGAUGGCGAGUUUUAAAUCUUUUGAUCAAAUCUUUUUUGUCUAUGGAUGAAAUGAAAAACAUAAUAGUUCAGAAAGGCCAAUUGAUCCAAGUCUUCUUUUAAUCUCCUUUCUAUUAUUUAAUUUAUAUGGUAUUGAUCACCGAAAAUAAGGAUUGGAUUAUGAUUUGUUUAUUAGUGUUUAUCUGCAUCUGCAUCUUUAUCAUUUUUCUACACUUCUUUUUAGUAAGAGCUUAUUUCGUUUUCUUGAAUUUUUGGCUGUACAGCUAAUUCGUUUCUUGAAUUUUUGGGCUGUAUAGGGAAGGCACGCAAUGGAUGUGUGGUGUAGUGUAAGACAUGAUGUGAAGUAUUAUGUUUUGUUACCCUAAUUUCAGUCUGCUUGAUCUCCAAGGAUUGAAUGGUGUUCCAUGUUGAAUUUUUUCUACUUGAUUUCCAAGGAUUGAAUUGUGUUUGAUGUUUGAAUUAUUUUCACUUAAUGUCCUGCAGUAUCUCAUGGAGUAUGUUAUAUAAGGCCUAAGGGUUGAAUCAUCUUUUAAUUUCUUCUAUGUGUUGAACUGGAGUUGAUCACCGAACAUUAAGAUUUUAAUUGUGAUUUGUUUCUCUGCAGCAGGGUUUUGUUUAGUUUUGUGUGAUGACCUGUAUCUCAUCGUGCCUGUUAUGAGCAACUAAGGCUCCACCGGUUUUGAAUUCAUUAAUUUAUCUUAUCCUUUCUUAAAUUCUUCCCAUGAUGUGUCGAGCCUAUAAGUGGCUCCCUUGGUUUUGAAUUUGUGGCCUCCCUUGGUUUUGAAAUUUUGAAUUUACCUUAACCUUUCUAUACUAUGUCAUGUCAUCUCUUUAAAAGAGAAUAGUUUUCUCGAAUCUCCAUGAUUCUUGUUCAGCUUUUAUUGGAAGGCAAUAUAUAUGUGGGCAGGUUUCAGAAACAGUAAAUGGAGGUCGUGUGAAACUUUAGGUUUUUAUUAUCUUUGCGGUUAUUCUUUUGGCUAAACUUGUGGAGUGGGGUUCUUGUAGACAGGCACUAUAUGACUAUGAGAGGCUUUGACAUUUGUGUUUGUGUCUUCGACUUUGAUUAUCUUCUUCUACGUGUUGCAGUGUCUUUCUACAUGUUGCACUGACUUGCUAUGGAUGUCUGUUGGAUUGUGGAGACAAUUGCGGUAGAUUAUUGGACUUACUGUGAAGCUUUAGGUUUUAUUAUGUUUUCAUUCACUAUCUUAUGUGCUUGAUUUGAAAUGGCUGUAUUCUCUCUUAUUGGUUGAAUAGUAGGAAGCUACACGUGUCAGUCACUGUGUGUCUAAGCUAGGGCGAUUCUUAAUUAUGCUUAUCCUUUAUCUCAUGAUCCCAACUAUCUUCCAAAAUGAGAAUGUUCUCCAUAAUGACAGUAAUAUUUAGUUAUAUUUCCAAUAUGAGAAUGAAAAACUAUCUCUCAAAGCUAUGAGAGACCAAUUCCAAAAGGAAAGCUCCAACAUGAGAGCUCUAUUUACUUCUUUCGGGUUGGGGUCUCAGUAUUUGUGAUAGGAUAUGGAAGCAGACUGUAUCUUAUUUCUAACUAUAUUUCUCAAUCUUAGUCCCUUGCUGAUUUUGGUCUUUAUUAUUUAAUGUUUUUGGACUUGAUCACUUAACAUAUGGGCUGAAUUGUUGUUUAUCUACAAUAGUAUUUCAAAGUAUUUUUGUAAUCUUCUUCGUGCUCUUGGUUUUGAAUGGUGGCUUCCCUUGAUAUUUUAGAUUAGUGAAUUUAUCUUAUUGUUUCUUUACUUUGUCAUGUCAUCUUUUUAAGAAGAUUAGUUUUCUCAAAUCGCCAUGAGUCUUACUUGAGCUUUGUCACGAGUCUUAUUGAACUUUGCCACGAGAAUUCUUGAGCUUUGCAACGAGUAUUCUUGACCUUUUACAUGAAGGAUGCAACGGUCAGGUUUUGGAAAUAGUGGAUGGAGAUACAUUUAAACUUAGGUUUUAUUAUCUUUGCAUUUAUUAUGCUGAUAAAAAAACAUCUUUGCAUUCAUUAUUUUCUUUGUUGUUAUUCUUUUUGCUACUCUUGUGGAGUCGGAGUUCUUGUAAUUGGCCAUUUUACUUGUGUUGUAGUGAACUUUGAGCUUCGCCAUGAGUCUUCUUGACCUUUGCCAUGAGUCUUAUUGAGCUUUGCCACGUGUUUUCUUGAGCUUUGCCAUAAGACUUCUUGAGCUUUGCCAUGAGUCUUAUUGAGCUUUGCCACGUGUUUUCUUGUGCUUUGCCAUAAGACUUCUUGAGCUUUUCCAUGAGUCUUCUUGAGCUUUGCCAUGAGACUUCUUCAGCUUUGCCAUCAGUCUUCUUGUGCUUUGCCACGAGUUGUUCUUGUGCUUUGCCAUCAGGAGUCUUCUUGAGCUUUGCCAUGAGACUUAUUGAGCUUUGCCAUGAGUCUUCGUGAGCUGCCAUGAGUCUUCUUGAGCUUUGCCACGAGUCUUGUUGUGCUUUGCCAUGAGACUUCUUGAGCUUUGCCAUGAGUCUUGUUGUGCUUUGCCAUGAGACUUCUUGAUCUUUGCCAUGAGUCUUGUUCAGCUUUGCCACGAGUCUUCGUGAGCUUUGCCAUGAGUCUUCUUGAGCUUUGCCAUGAGUCUUCUUGUGCUUUGCCAUAAGUCUUCUUGAGCUUUGCCACGAAUCUUCUUGAGCUUUGAGCUUUGCCACGAAUCUUCUUGAGCUUUUACAUGAAGGAUGUAGGGUUCAGGUUUUGGAAACAGCGGAUGGAGUUACAGUUAAAGUUUAGGUUUUAUUAUCUUUGCAUUCAUUAUGCUGAUAAAAAAAAUCUUUGCAUUCAUUAUUUUCUUUGUUGUUAUUCUUUUUGCUACUCUUGUGGAGUGGGAGUUCUUGUAAUUGGGCCUUUGACUUUGAUGAUUUGAUUAUCUUCUAGUUGUGUUGUAGUGAACUUUGAGCUUUGCCAUGAGUCUUCUUGAGCUUUGCCAUGAGUCUUCUUGAGCUUUUCCAUGAGACUUGUUGAGCUUUGCCUUGAGACUUGAUGAGCUUUGCCAUGAGUCUUCUUGAGCUUUUACAUGAAGGAUGUAGGGGUCAGGUUUUGGAAACAGCGGAUGGAGAUACAGUUAAAGUUUAGGUUUUAUUAUAUCUGCAUUUAUUAUGCUGAUAAAAAAAUUCUUUGCAUUCAUUAUUUUCUUUGCUGUUAUUCUUUUUCUACUCUUGUGGAGUGGGAGUUCUUGUAAUUGUGCCUUUGACUUUGAUGAUCUGAUUAUCUUUUUCUACUUGUGUUGCAAUGAACACUUACCAUGGAUGUUUGUUGGACAUAUUGUGAAGCUUCGGGUUUUAUUACUUUUCUACUCACUAUUUUUCUUAUGUGCUCGAUAUGGAAUGUCUAAAGUUUUUCUUAUUGGCUGGAUAGUUGGAAGGUAUUGUAUGUAUCAAAGCAAGAGCGAUACGUCUAGGUCCUCCAUCAUGUACCCUUAUUGAUUAUAGUUUUCUUGAAUUCAUUGGCCUUACACGAAAGCUAAGCAAUGAAGUGUGGUGUAGGAUGUAAAAAUGGUGGGUGGAAAUUCUUUGAUCGGUGAAGCUAAAUCUUUUUUUCACCAGGACAUUGUUGUGUUCAUCUGAAUUAAUUUUUAACUGGCUCAACUUGUGGGUUUGAUUAUAAUCUUGGUUGUAACUUGUUGGUUUGAUUAUAAUCUUGGUUGUAUUUUGAUAAUGUAUGGUUCUAAGAGGAAUUGUGGGAUGAGCAUGAAACAAGUGCGGUUGGGCUUUACUCUUUGAUUUGAUGGUUUGCUUCUUGGUUUGAGAAGUUCUUUCUACUAUUUAAUUUUGAUGACUUCUCUGCAUAAUUCUAUAAUAUAGGUCUUUUGUUCUAUAUAGGUCUUUUGUUCUUUUAAUAGUUUUCCAAAACCUUUCGAUUCAUUAUUCUUGAUCCCAAACUUAUGGGUUGAGUGAACUUCUUUGGAAUUUUUGCACGCUGAAAUUUUUGAAAUUAGUAUAAGAAUGAUCCUGAAAUUGAAAUUAUUUAAAUGCUUCAGUUUUGUUUCAGCAAUCUUCAUAUGUGUUUCUCGUUCCUCGAUUUUUGAAAUUUGCAUUUAUUUGUUUGCAACACAUUGAGUCUUUAUCUGAGGUUUUUCUUUCAGUUUAUUAACUCAACCAGUGAUGGAAUAUAGUGGGACGACUAACAUGUCUAAUCAACCAGUUAUAGAUUUUUUUUCUUUUUUUUCUUUAUUGUUUAUUGAGUUCAGUGUUUUCAAAAUAUUUCUGUAAGCACUUGGGAUUGAAAGUCCAACGUUAUGCCUGACAUUAGAUAAUUGGACUUCUUUUAUUAGUUAUCCAAAUGAAUUUGUUUCAUAUUUGUUCUAUUUGGACAGGAAUUGUAUGAAGAAAGAUAAUGGAGUUUUGGAGGUAAAUUUGUUUCAUAUUUGUUCUAUUUGGACAGGAAUUGUAUGCGAGAAAGAUUAUGAAGUUUUGGAGGUGAAUUUGUUAAUUCCAGUCAAAACGACGAAGAAAUCUUGAUAAAGUAGUUGUCCUUGUUAUUCUAUUUCUCUACCCAAUCCAGGUGUUGCAUUAAUCCCUUUUCAGCAUACAGAACUGUGAUCGAUCUUAAGUUUGUAUGCAACGACGUUUUUGAAAAUUUUGUGUCACAGACUUAUUAUUAGGACUUAUUACCUUGAUUUUAUCUGAUCAUUUUGGACUUGGUAUCCUCUUUUGUGGGUUUUGGUUUGGUUUCAAUUUUCAGUAAUGUCUGAUAAGUUGGCAGUAUUGGAUUUCCUUGUUUGCAUAUCAGAAACUGAACCAAUCUCAAGGCAUUAAGUUUUUAUAGUUGGAGUAGUAUGAGACAACUUUGUUUCUCUGAAAUUUAGAUAGUCUGUUUAAUAUUGCAUGGUAGGUUUUUUAUACUAUGUACAAGUAUAUCCAGUUUUAUUUGGAUAUUUUUUAGGAACAAUGCUUUUGGAAUAGGAUUGUUUGAGUGCUACCAUGGGAAAGUUCAACUUGAAACGACAACAACUCAUAAUAGCCUAAUUUCUUCUCUAUGAGGUUUCACCAUUUAUUUUACUUCUAAGGACUUGAGCACCAACAUUAGGAUUGAAUUGUGAUUUGUUUUUCUACAGUGGUUUAUGAUUGGAUUCAAUCAAUGUCUGGAUCUCAUCGAGCCUUUAAUGAGAUUGUUUCUGAGUUUAAGAAAACGUCUAAUAUUUUCUAAAAUUCCUCCCUUGGAACAAGUGUUUUUAGUUUUCUUGAAUUUUUGCUCUUUAUAGGUAAGACAAGCAAAGGAUGUGAGGACAUGUAGAAACAUGGGGAUCAAUUGAAGCCUUAGUUUGUGUUAAUUCGUGACUAGUUAUUUGAGUGCAGUUUUUUUAUUUGGUGACAAAGAUCUAUCAAAAUAAAAAAAUUAGUUUAAGAUUUCCUCUCUAUUUGAUAUUUUCAGAUUUGAUCACCAAAUGUAAGGAUUUUCUGUCGUCAUUUGUUUUUCUACAGUGAUGUUUGCAUUAUGUUUCAUGCUACGUCUAAUGGAUCAUGUUAUCUGGAAGUUUUUAUGGCUCUUGGUAACAGGCUUUACAAGGGUUUUCAGAGGAUCAGUAAUUUUAGAGGUGAUACCUAUUAUCAUAAUUGUGUGUUGCAGUGUGAAUUGUUCAAGUUUAUUCAUCUGCAAAAGGAAUCAGUUCUUCAUUCAUCUUUGCAGAAGAUUAGAUGGCUUGUUCAAGUUUAUUCAUUUGCAAAAGGGAUCAGUUCUUCAUUCAUCUUUGAAGAAGAUUAGAUGGCUAACUUUAUUGUCCGUUCAUUUGAUCCAGUAAGAGCCCAUUCUAGAAAUGUGGACUUCUCUUUUUUGUUCAUUUUUAGAUUUGGAAUUGUUUAAGUACCAACAACAUGAUUUCAUGGUCUCUUAUGAUUUCUCCUGAAUUCUUAGUUGUUGUCCUACUACCAACCAUGUGUGUAAAAGUUUGAAAUAUACGUUGUGGAUAUUUUCUAGGGAUAUAUAUAUAUAUAUAUAUAUAUAUAUAUAUAUAUUUAGUUGCUAGUUUUAUUUUUGAUUGAAUUACAUAAAUGAUUUAUUAAUAUGAUUAUUUGAUUAUAUCAGAGUUGUAGUGCUUUUUAUAAAAUUGUUCUUGGUAGUUAUGUAAUUGUUCAUGGUUGUUUUAUUACCUUUAAUAGUUAUUGUUUUUGGAAAAAUAAUCUAGAAGUCCUUUGUUGGCUUUUGAUUCUCUAACAUUUUUUUUUUAAUUUUAUAGUAGUUGUAUAUUGCUUUGACAAUUUAGUUUAGUUUUUUUAAUUGACUCUGAUUGUUAAUUAAAUAUUUAUUUACAUUAGAAUGUUGAUGAUGUAAAUGAUUUCUUUUAAUGUUGAUUAUGAUUCUAUUUUAUAAAAUAUUGUGUUAUGGUAAUCAUUAAUUAAUUGCUUUGUAUGCACUCAUUUAUCAUAUUGUUGUAUGACAAAUCUUAAAGCUCCCUAAGAGAAAGGUUCAUGGGUUGCUGUGUGGAAAGUUCUAAAACACGCUCAAUAUAGUAAAUUAUGGAUCAUGUGCUUUUACGGAAGAAUUAUUAAUAAAUUGAAGUACAUGAAUUCUUAGUAUAAUUCUCUAGUUGAUGAUGACGAGUUUUUAACCUUUCGCUUAAAUUUCUUUGCACCUUUUAAGCUUAUGGCUGGUUCACUGAUAUUUCUUUUGCCUUUGGAUGAUAUGAAAACCCCAACAGCCAAGGGCUAAGCAUAACGGAAGUCUUUUGAGUUUCCCUUUUAUUAUUUUUUUUUCUGGUAUUGAUGACCGAACAUAAGGAUUGAACUAUGAUGUGUUUAUCUGCAGUGGUGUUCGGAUUAGUUGGGUAUAUUCGCAUUAUCAAGUUUCUAUACUUCCUCUUAGCAAGAGCGGUUAUUGUUUCCUUCAAUUUUUUGACUGUAAAGGGUUUAUCGUUUCCUUCAAUAAAAUUUGAUAUUCGUGUUCAUUCCUUUUCAGCAAGUCAAGAGUCUCUGAGAUUUCUUUUGGCGGUUGAGGAACAAGAUGGUUUUACAGGAUAUUCUAAUUUCUCUAUACUUGAUCACCAACAUUGAAUAGUGAUUUGUUCUUAUGCAGUAAACAUAAAGAUUUAUUUUUGAUUUGUUUCUCUACAGCAAUGUUUUGAUUUUUUCGUAUCUAAUAGUUCUUUAUUACUAGUUAUAGUUCUGUUAAUUUCUCUAGCAAGAGCUCAGGACUAUUUGGAUUCAAUUUUUUUAUAACAAAACUUUAUUUUGUCUUUAAUAGUUUCCUUCAUUGACAAAUAAAUUUUGAACUCGGUUCUAGCAAAGCAUCAAUGUCUUUGCCUAAUUUGUGUUUCAAGAUUAUUGAUCUUUCGUAUUGAAGUUCUGAAAAUUAUAUUUUUUUCUUAGGUGGAGAAGUAUUGAAAAGAUGGAUCUUGAAGUUAUUCCUUUCAUUUUAGUAGUGUAACUAGCAAGAGCUCAAGAUUAUUUGCCGCCAUUCUUUGAUUACAGAAGUUUUUAUUUUGUUUGUUUCUUGCAUUGACAAAUGAAUUUUGAACUUGUUCUUGGAUAAUUUAUCUUUGGGAGAAAAUGAAUUGGUGGUGUAGGUUUGGGAAACAGUGGAUCAGGACACCCUGUGGAAAUUUAGGUUUUAUUAUGUGUUUAUUAUUUUCUUUGCUGCUAUUAUUCAUGGAUAAACUUGUGGAUUGGGAAUGCUUACCUCUUUAUGACAGGCACCGUAAAUGUCUGUGUCAGCCAUUUAAUUUUCUCUUUCUAGUCCACAGACAUUUCUUUCAGCAACUGAGUCAUUUAAUCGCAAAGAGAGUUUUGUUGCCUUUCAUGUUCUUUGUUGUCAAAACAACCUUGUUUCUUUUUUAUCAGCUAUAGUAUUUAGUUUCACUGCGAUCUCGGGAUGUGUUAUUUGGAAGUGAUGUGGUUACUCAUUUAAGGAUUGACGUGUUAUUUGGAAGUGAGGUGGUUAUUCAUUCGAGGAUUGAAUUCCAUUCCCUUUGACUUGCAUUGUUUGUGUUCAUUGCUAUCAAACAACUUUCUUCAUUUUAAAUGUAUGGAGUCUAUUUUUUUAAGAUGAAAUCCCCACUAAAUGUUUAUGUUUUAUUUUUUCUUUCUUUUUCAUCAUCUCCUAGUUAUUUGUGUUUCUCAUAGGCUUGGUCUCAUCCCUUCGACUUGCAUAUGUUUGUGUUCAUUGCUAUUGAACAACUUUCUUUUUUGCCAUUAGUCUUCUGGAGCUUUGCCAUGAGACUUCUUGAGUUUUGCCGUGAGACUUCUUGAGUUUUGCCGUGAGACUUCUUGAGCUUUGUCACAAGUCUUCUUGAGCUUUGCCACGAGUCUUCUUGAGCUCUGCCAUGAGUCUUCUUGAGCUCGGCAAUGAGUUUUCUUGAGCUUUGUCGUGAAGAAUGUAGGGGUCAGGUUUUGGAAACCGUGGAUGGAGAUGCAGUUAAAGUUUCGGUUUUAUUAUCUUUGCAUUUAUUAUGCUGAUAAAAAAAAUCUUUGCAUUCAUUAUUUUCUUUUUUGAUAUUCUUUUUGCUACUCUGGUGGAGUGGGAGUUCUUGUAAUUGGACCUUUGACUUUGAUGAUUUGAUUAUCUUCUACUUGUGUUGUAGAGAAUUUUGAGCUUUGCCAUUAGUCUUCUUGAGCUUUGCCAUGAGUCUUCUUGAUCUCUGCCUUGAGCCUUCUUGAACUCUGCCAUGAGUCUUCUUGAGCUUUGCCAUGAAUCUUCUUGAGCUUUGUCAUGAAUCUUCUUGAGCUUUUACAUGAAGGAUGUAGGGGUCAGGUUUUGGAAAUAGUGGAUGGAGAUACAGUUAAAGUUUAGGUUUUAUUAUCUUUGCAUUUAUUAUGCUGAUAAAAAAAAUCUUUGCAUUCAUUAUUUUCUUUGCUCCUAUUCUUUUUGCUACUCUUGUGGAGUGGGAGUUUUUGUAAUUGGGCCUUUGACUUUGAUGAUCUGAUUAUCUUCUUCUACUUGUGUUGCAAUGAACACUUACCAUGGAUGUUUGUUGGACAUAUUGUGAAGCUUCAGGUUUUAUUACUUUUCCACUCACUAUUUUUCUUAUGUGCUCGAUUUGGAAUGUGUACAGUUUCUCUUAUUUGUUGGAUAGUUGGAAGGUAUUUCAUUGUAUUGUAUGUAUCUAAGCAAGAGCAAUACUUCUAGGUCCUCCAUCAUCUAACCAUAUUGAUUAUAGUUUUCUUGAAUUCAUUGGCCUAAAAGGAAAGCUAAGCAAUGAAGUUUGGUGUAGGAUGUAAAAAUGGUUGGUGGAAAUUCUGUGAUCAGUGAAGCUAAAUGUUUCUCUCAUUAGGACAUUGUUGUGUUUAACUGAAUUAAUUUUUAACUGGCUAAACUUGUUGGUUUGAUUAUAAUCUUGGUUGUAUUUUGAUGGUGUAUGGUUCUAAGAGGCAUUGUGGGAUUAGCAUGAGACAAGUGUGGUUGGGCUUUACUCUUUUAUUUGAUGGUUUGCUUCUUGGUUUGGAAAGUUCUACUAUUUAAUUUUGAUGACUUCUCUGCAUAAUUCUAUAAUAUAGGUCUGUUGUUCUUUUAAUAGUUUUCCAAAACCUUUUGAUUCAUUAUUCUUGAUCCCAAACAUAGAAUUUUUGCAUGUAAUCUCGUGUGAUCCUAGACAACAAUGUCUCUUACUAUGAUGACGGACAUCAAUGUCUCUUACGCUGAAAUUUUUGAAAUUAGUAUAAGAAUGAUCCUGAAAUUGAAAUUGUUUAAAUGCUUCACUUUUGUUUCAACAAUCUCAUGUGUUUCUCGUUCCUUGAGUUUUGAAAUUUGCAUUUAUUUGUUUGCAACACAUUGAGUCUUUAUUUGAGGUUUCUCUUUCAGUUCAUUAACUCAGCAAGUGAUGGAAUAUAGUGGGACGACUAACAUGUUUAAUCAACCAGUUAUAGAUUUUUUUCUUUUUUUCCUUUAUUGUUUAUUGAGUUGAGUGCUUUGAAAAUAUUUCUGUAACCAAUUGGGAUUGAAAGUCCAGCGUUAUGCCUGGCAUUAGAUAAUUGGACUUCUUUUAUUAGUUAUCCAAACCGUUCAUUUUUUUCAUAUUUGUUCUAUUUGGACAGGAAUUGUAUGCGAGAGAGAUAAUGAAGUUUUGGAGGUGAAUUUGUUAAUUUCAGUUACGACUAUGGAGGAAUUGUAUUUUGGAGGUGAAUUUGUGAAUUUGUAUGAGACAACUUUGUUUCUCUGAAAUUUAGAGAGCCUCUUUAAUAUUGCAUGGUAGUUUUUUUAUACGAUAUACAAGUAUAUCCAGUUUUAUUUGGAUAUUUUUUAGCAACAAUGCUUUUGGAAUAGGAUUUGUUUGAGCGCUACCAUGAGAAAGUUCAACUUGAAACGACAACAACUCAUAAUAGCCUAAUUCCUUCUAUAUGAGGUUUCACCUUUUAUUUAACUUCUAAGGACUUGAUUACCAACAUUAGGAUUGAAUUGUGAUUUGUUUUUCUACAGUGGUUUAUGAUUGUCUUCAAACAAUGUUUGGAUCUCAUCGAGCCAGUUGGUUUCUGAGUUAAGAAUUUUUCUAAUAUUUUCUAAAAUUCCUCCCCUGAAACAAGUGUUUUUAGUUUUCUUGAAUUUUUGCUCUUUACAGAUAAGACAAGCAAUGGAUGUGUGACGACAUGUAGAAACAUGGGGAUCAAUUAAAGCCUUAGUUUGUCUUAAUUGGUGACUAGUUAUUUGAAUGCAGUUUUAUAUGUGGUGACAAUGAUCUAUCAAAAUAAAAAAAUUGGUUUAGGAUUUCCUCUCUAUUUGAUAUUUUCAGAUUUGAUCACCAAAUAUAAGGAUUUUCUGUUGCCAUUUGUUUCUCUGCAGUGAUGUUUGCAUUAUGGCUUUACAAGUCUUUCAGAGGAUCAGUAGUUUCAGAGGUGAAUUGUGUGUUGCAGUGUAAAUUGUUCAAGUUUAUUUAUUUGCAAAAGGGAUCAAUUCUCCAUUCAUUUUUGCAGAAGAUUAGAUGGCUAACAUUAUUGUUCGUUCAUUUGAUCCAGUAAGAGCUCAUUCUAGAAAUGUGGACUUCUCUUUAAAAGCCUUUGGUAUUUUAACUAUCUUCAAAAGAUAUUUUUUCUGGAUCUAUUGUUUUGACAGAGCAGGUCUUCGAGGAAGACACGAGUGUUGUUGAUUUUUAGAUUUGGAAUUGUUCAAGUACCAACAACAUGAUUUCAUGAUCUCUUAUGAUUUCCCCUGAAUUCUUGGUUGUUGUUUUGCCAGGGUAGGGUCUGGGUAGAUUUGGGUUUUUGGAUUCGGAAUUGUCCAACUACCAACAAUGUGUGUACAGGUUUGAAAUAGAUGAUGUGUUUGUCAGAUAUUUUCUAGGGAUAUAUAUAUAUAUAUAUAUAUAUAUAUAUAUAUAUUUAGUUGCUAGUUUUAUUUUUCAUUCAAUUACUUAAUUGCUUUAUUACUAUGAUCAUUUGAUUAUAAAAUUAUUCUUGGUAGUUAUAUAAUUAUUCAUGGUUGUUAGAUUACCUUUAAUAGUUACUGUUGUUGGAAAUAUAAUCUAGAAGUCCUUUGUUGGCUAAUGAUUCUCUAACAUUUUUUUUAAUUUUAUGGUAGUUGUAUUUUGCUUUGACAAUUUAGUUUAGUUUUUUUUAUUAACUCUGAUUGUUUCCAGCAUCGACACAUGAAUUUUGAACUUGUUCUUGCAUAAUUUAUCAUGGGAGAAAAUGAAUUGGUGGUGUAGGUUUGGGAAACAGUGGAUCAAGACCCUAUGGAAAUUUGGGUUUUAUUCUGUGUUUAUUAUUUUCUUUGCUGCUAUUAUUCACGGAUAAACUUGUGGACUGGGAAUGCUUACCUCUUUAUGACAGGCACUGUAAAUGUCUGUGUCAGCCAUUUAAUUUUCUCUUUCUAGUCCGCACUCAGACAUUUCUUUCAGCAACCAGUCAUUUAAUCGGAAAGAGAGUUUUGUUUCCUUUCAUGUUCUUUGUUGUCAAAACAACCUUUGUUUCUUUCUUAUCAGCUAUAGUAUUUAAUUCACUGCGAUCUCAGGAUGUGUUAUUUGGAAGUGAUGUGGUUAUUCAUUCGAGGAUUGAUGUGUUAUUUGGAAGUGAGGUGGUUAUUCAUUCGAGGAUUGAGUUUCAUUCCCUUUGACUUGCAUUUUUUUGUGUUCAUAGCUAUCAAACAACUUUCUUCCUUUGAAAUGUAUGGAGUCUAUUUUUUUAAGAUGAAAUCCCCUCUAAAUGUUAAUGUUUUAUUUUUUUUCUUUCUUUUUCAUCAUUUCCUAGUUAUUUGUGUUUCUCAUAGGCUUGGUCUCAUCCCUUCGACUUGCAUUUGUUUGUGUUCAUUGCUAUUAAACAACAUUUUUUUUAAAUGUAUGGAGUCUUUUUUGUUACGUCUAGAGAUGUUGAUUUGCUUGUUUUCAUUCCGUUUUAGGUGUUGAUUUGUUUGCGUUCAUUCCUUUUUAGGUGUUGAUUUGUUUGUGUUCAUUCCUUUUUAGCAUUUGGAGGCCUCAAGAAUGGUUGAGGAUUAAAAUCUGGAAGUGUUUAGAACGACCAAUAAUUCAGGAUAACCUAAUUUCAUUAGUUUCCUUUCCAUUUGAUUUCUUGAGAUUUGAUCACGAAGAAUAAGGAUUGAAUUGUCAUUUGUUUUUAUGAUGUCUUUCUUUGUUUUGAAUGUCUUAUUGUCUCUAUACUUCAACUCUAUGAGCCGUUGUAGCCUUCCUGAAUUCUUGGGGUGUACAGUACAGGACAAACAUGCAACAGAUGUUACGUAGGACAGAUGUGAGUAUCCUUAAAGCUCUAGGUUUUGGUAUCCACACAUAUUUUUGUCUUUAAUUGGGACUGGCUAUUUGAAUUUCUCUGGUUUUUGAAUUCCUUCAAUUCAUCUUAUGCUUUCUUAACUUCUUGGUCUUUAUUACCAAUAUCUAUUUUUAUUUAAAUAUAGUUCUUAAAUUUUUUAUGUCUAGGUGUUGAUUCGUUUGUGUUCAUUUCUUUUUAGCAUGUAAGACUGGUUAAGGAUUAAAAUCUGCUAGUGUACACGAAAAACAAGCCACGGAUGUGAGGUAGGAUAUCUAAAUACUGGAAGGAGAUGCUUGAUUCUGUAGGUUAUCCAUAAUCUUUGAUGACAGAUGCUUACUUGAGUUUGGAUGUAGUUAUUUAUUUGAUGAAAGAGAUCUAUCAUAUGUAACUUUGUGUUAGUUCCUUUUCAGCAGGGGAUUCUGGUUGAGGAUUAAAAAACAUAAAUUUGAAUAUUGAUUUUGUUUGAUUAUUGAAAUAUGACAAAUCUAGCUGUUUGAUCUUUGAAUAUGUUGAUUCUUUUUAGCAAAUCAUAGGUUAGUAAUAAUAAAAUGCUCAGGGAAGAUGUCUCCCCUUUACUUGAAACAUUGUAGAUAGAGCAUAUUUUUCCAGACUGAUAUGCGAGGUAGGGUGUGGAAACACUUCCCAGGGGAUUUGUGAAGCUUUAGGUUGUUACCUGUUAGAUAUUAUUAGAUAUUAUUAGAUAUUAUUAGAUAUUAUUAGAUAUAAUUAGAUAUUAUUUGAUAUUAUGAGAUAUUAUAGAUAUUGUUAGAUAUCUCAUAUUUAUGUAAUGGGCUUAGCCCAUAUGUUUCUUUUCCUAUAUAAACAUAACCCUAUGUGUUCAAUAUACACAAGGGAUUUACCCUAUUCUUUCUUUUCCUUUAAUAUUACCCUUACCAUUCUUGUGUCUUUAUUUGUGACUGACUAAACUUCUUGUUUGGAUUCUAAGUUUUGGUUGGAUUCAUUGCUAACAUUGUAGUUUGACUGGCAGUCUGGCAGUUCUUGUGGGUUUAGAGGUCGUGUAAUACUCUCUUUUUUAAGUUGUCCAUUUCUAAGUAAUUUAGGCUUCUCUUAGCUUUUACCAGUCCUGGAUUCAUAGUGAAAUUUGACCCUUUUACAUGGUGCAAUUGAAAUUAAGGAGAGAAUUAUUGAUCUUUAGUUUUCUAGUACUGAAUUAAUUUUGGAUUUGUUUUGGUGUAGCAAAUCUGAAAGGUCAUUUUCUUAGUUAUUACUUCAUUUACUAAAUAAUCAAGAGCAUUGGACAAUUUGAUUUUGUAGUGUUUUGUUUGCUGCAUUGACAAAUGAAUCUUGCAUUCUAUUGUUUUUAGGAGUUUUAGAUUACAUCCUGAAUAUGACAUGAUGAUCUCUUCUAUCUUCCAAAAUGAGAAUGAUCUGCAACAUUAGAGUUGUAUUUAGUUCUAUGUCCAAUGUGAGAAUGAGAAAAUUAAGAGCUCUAUUUAGUUUUAUCUCCAAUUAUCUCUAAUAUGAGAAUGAGAAACAACAGUAGUUGGAAUGUUUUCUUGCAAUCUUCCUGUGCUAUGAUUUAGUUCUCUCUCCAUAUAUGAGAAUAAGAAAAUGAGAAAGAGAAACAAGAUUAUUUGGAAUGUUUUGUAGUAAUCUUCUUGCACUAUGAUUCGGUUCUCUCCCAAUAUGCGAAUGAGAAACAACAAUAUUUGGAAAGUUUUGUCGUAAUCUUCUUGUGCUAUGAUUCGGUUCUGUCCCCAAUAUGCGAAUGAGAAGAUGAGAAACAACAGCUUAUGAGAGCUCCAUUUGGUUCUAUCUCCAAUAUGAGAAUGAGAAACAACAGUACAUGAGAGUUCUAUUUAGUUUUAUCUCUAAUACGAUAAAGAAGAGAAACAAAAGCAUUUGGAUUGUUCUCUUUGUAAUCUUCGUGUGCUAUGAGCAACGCCUCCCCUCGAGGCUAUGGUUACGGGUGAUGCCUCUCUAUUCCAACAUGAGAGCUCUAUAUAUUUUUUUGGGGUGGGGUCUCAAUUUAUGAUACCAUGUGGAAGCAGACACCAUAUUUUUGCCGUCUAUAUUUCUCAGCUCUUGCUGAUUUUGCCAUGCUGAACUUAGUUUUCUUGAAUUGCCAUUCUUCUUAAAUUUUUACAGUAAAGCAAUAGAUAUGUGGGGGCAGGUUUUGGAAACAUUGUAUGGAGAUCUGGUGAAACUUUAGAUUUUAUUAUCUUUGCAUAUUCAUCAUUUUCUUUGAUGGCUAAACUUGUGGAUUGGGAGUUCUUGUAAACAGGCACUAUGUGAGUUUGAGAGGCUUUGGCAAUUGUGUUGUUAGGCCUUCGAUCCUGGUGAUUUGAUAAUCUGUUGCAGUGAAGACUUUAUGGAUGUCUGUUACCCAAAUUACGGUACAUUAUUGGACUUACAUUUCCAUUUCACUAUUUUUUUUAUAUCCUUGAUUUGGUUGUGGUAUCUCUUAUUGGUUGAAUAGUGGGAAGGCACAUGUGAAUCUUAUGAUGUAUUGCCUUUAAUAGUUUUUGCUGUUGGAAAAAUAAUCUAGAAGUCCUUUCUUAGCAAAUUAUUCUCAUUAUUGUAGAAAUUCUAUAACAUUUAUUCAGGUUUUACUUUCUACAAUUAGUUUAUUUUUAUCCACUCCGAUAACUAAUUAAAUAUUUACUUUCUCUAGAAAGUAGACUAUGUGAUUGAUAUAUUUUAAUGUUAUUCAUAAAUUAGUUCUUUAUAUUAAUCAUUACAAAAAUGUUUGGUAUACACUCAUAUUUAUCAUAUUGCCUUCAAGUAGAAAGGUAUUUGUAUAGGGCAAUUGCUUCCUCCCCCAAUCAAUUUUGACUAGCAUUCAAUAGAAGUUUUAAAACUUCAUUAUGCCUUUUUCACGGCUUACGAAUGCCAAUAUCCAAAAGUGACAUAUUUGCCUAUGGAUAUUGCCAUUUGGAAGUGAUAGUUUUGCCUACGGAUAUUAACAUUCGAAAGUGUCAGUUUUGCCUACGGAUAUUGACAUUUGGAAGUGUCAGUUUUGCCUACGGACAUUGGCAUCUGGAACUGGCACUCUUUGAUUGCGUUCAUUUUUAUCCGAAAGGCACUAUCAUUUUUCUUAAUAUACAUAUCAGGAAGCCAAUCAUCCUUAACUUUUUUUUUUGGCAGUGUAAUGAUUUUGUUACUUUUAAUGGAUUAAAACCACUAAACCGAACCAAUUUAAAGAAUAAAAGUAAAAUCAACAUUAAAAUUUGUUACUUGCUUUUUAUUAUAAAAUAUUUAUAUUAUCAUUUAUAUAUUUUCAAAUGCAUUAACCAUUGAUGACAUAUAGAACAUUGUUGAGAGUAGAAAAAAAGCACCCAAUAAACACAUUUUGGAUUUUCAAAAUGGGACCUGAUGAAAAAGACUUUCGUGGUGCAUAUGGAUGUUUAUAUUCAUAACUCAUAACACAAUUACGGACAAAAAUAUUCAGAACCCGUGAGAAGCGUGAAGCGACACGUCUCCUUUUCUGGUGUCUUUGCUUUCUGUCGUUGUUGAAGUGGCUCAAAAGCGUUGCUUGCGUGUGUGUAAGACUUUCGGAAGAGAAUGUCUACAAGAAACAAUGAAUGACCUUCUGCACUGUGCUUGAUUGUGGGGUGUAUGGAACCUAAUUUCACUCAUUAAGGGUGUCAUGGUAAUUUCAUAUAGAUCAUUAAGGGUGUUAUGGUAAUUUCAAACAGAAAAUUGGGUGUUAGUUAGAAUUGAUUGGGUGCAGGAGAGUCAGCUUUGUGUAGCAAUAAAAAGUCACAAAGAAAUCUAUUCAACUCUAAAAGGUUGUGAUAUUUAACACCACAAAGAGUAAAAAACAUUCACAAAUUAAUAAAAUAAUAUUUUAAUCAUAUUUAAUUUAUUUUUAUUUUUAAAUAUUAUUAUAUUAUUAUAAUGAGAUGUUAAGUAUACGUUUUUACAUGGUGUCAAAAAAUUAUUUUCCUAUUCUAAAAGAACUUAGACAAAUGUCUUAUUAUAAUAAAACUAAUAAUGUGGAAAAUAUUUUAAAAAACACUAAUAAAAGAAAUAAGUUUAUUUUUCAAAUUGAAGUCAAAUUAAGAUUAAAACAAUCUUAAAAUUUAAUUAUAUUGACUAAAAAGUUAAUAAAAACAAAACAAUAUUUACAAGAUAUUUUUAAAUAUCUUUAAAAUAAUAACUGCAAAUUUGUUUCCCCUGUUUUGUGUCAGCGGUUUGUUAUAAGAUAAGGAUGAAAAUCUUAAUUGCAUAUUUUCACCUCACCGCGUAAUAUAAGCUGUCAAUCUUGACCCUCCCUUUCUAUAUAUACCCGAAGAUCUUAUUGAGUUUAUCAUAUUGAGUUUUGUUGGUAUUGGUUCCGUGAUUGAGUUUUGUUAGUACUGAUUGGGGGUGAUUGUUGUGCUUCUUAUUAUCAAGUCUCCGUGGUUUCGUCGAAUUAUAUCAUGUUUGCUAUCAUCGAUGUGGUUUUGAUGUGGUUUUGUCGGAUUGAAGAAUGCAAGAAUCUUUUAUAGGAUUGAAGAACGCCAAUUCUGAAUAUGAUUCUUUAUGUGAUGAUGACAAGUUUUGAAUCUUUUGAUCAAAUUCCUUUAUCCCUUUUCUGCUGGUGACGGGGUCUUUGAGUAUUUUCUUCUACUUUCCUUUCUAUUAUUUGAUUUAUCUGGUAUUGAUCACGAAAAUAAGGAUUGGACUAUGAUUUGUUUAUCUGCAGUGGUGUAACACGUUUCUUAGUUAGUUUUCUUGAUUUUUGGGCUGUACAGGGAAGACACGCAAUGGAUGUGAAAUGAAGUAUUAUGUUUUCUUGACUUCUUAUGGGUUUAUUCGUGACUGAUUAUUGGAUUUCGUAGCCUAACUUGGUGUUUAUGUUCACUCCCCUUCAGCAAUUCGAGUUUCUGAGAUUUGAAACCCUAAAAAGUUUGAAACGGUUGCAGCUCAGGACAUCCCAAUUCUCUCUAUCUAUUGUUUAAUUUCUCUCUACUUUAUCUCCAAGGAUUGAAUUGUGUUCGACGUUUGAAUUAUUUUCCCUUAAUGUUAUGAGGCCCCAAGGGUUGAAUUGGUGUUUGAAUUAUUUUUUUCGCUUAAUGUCCUGCAGAGUAUGUUAUGAGACAUAAGGGCUGAAUUGUGAUUUGUUUCCUGUUUGGAUGAUUUGCAUAGCAUCUUAUAGAAUAUGAAUGGUUUGGUUUUCGCACGGUUCUCGCGAGUAUGUUAUAGCCACCAUUCUUCCUUGGUUUUUAAGUCUUCAAUUUAUCUUAUCGUUCUAUACUUCAUCCUCGAUUACCAGUUAUACUUUGUUGAAUUAUUGUUCUUUACAGGGAUGAGUGGGGAUAAGACAGGGAUGUGUGGGUAGGACGUUCCUCGUGGUUGGUUGAAAAUGGUGGAUGAGCCAUGCUCGACGGUAUGAAAAACACAACGACAAUGGGCUCGACAUAACCGAAGUCUUUUUUGAGUUUUCCUUCUAUUUUUCUUCAACAUAAGGAUAUGAUUUGUUUAUCUGCAGUGGUGUUUUGAACCUUUUGCGUAAAUUUCUUUGCUCCUUUUCAGUUGGUGGCCGAUUCUCUGGCGUUUCUUUAGCUUUUGGAUGAUUUGAAAACUAGAACGACCAAGAGCUAGGCAUAACCUAAGUCUUUGUUGAGUUUCCCUUCUUUAACUUUUUUUUCUGCUAUUGAUCACAGUACAUAAGGAUUGAACUAUGAUUUGUUUAUCUGCAGUGGUGUUUGGAUUAGUUGGGUAACGACACAUACUCAUCUUAUCAUGUUCCUAUAACUAGUAAAUUCAUUUACUGAAUUUUGAGUAUAAUUGUCUAUUUGAGUAUGACGAGUUUUAUACCUUUUGCGUAAAUUUCUUUUCAGCUGGUGGCUGGUUUUUUGGUAUUUCUUUUGCCUAUGGAUGAUAUGGAAAGCACAACGACCAAGGGCUCGACAUAACCUUAAGUCUUUUUUUAGUUUCCCUUCUAUUUUUGUUAUGGUAUUGCAUAAGGAUUGAACUAUGAUUUGUUUAUCUGCAGUGGUGUUUGGAUUAGUUGGGUAACGUCACAUAUUAAUCUUAUCAAGUUUCUAUAAUUAGUAAAUUCAUUUAUGUCUAUAUGAGAAUGACGAGUUUUGAACCUUCUGCGUAAAUUUCUUUGCACCUUUUCAGCUGGAGUUCUCUGUCAUUUCUUUCUCCUAUGGAUGAUAUGAAAAGCAGAAGGACCAAGGGGCUCGACAUAACCUAAGUCUUUUUUGACUUUUUUUUUCUAUUUUUCUUUUUCCUGGUAUUGAUGACAGUACAUAAGGAUUGAACUAUAAUUUGGUUAUCUGCAGUGGUGUUAGGAUUAGUUGGAUAACGACGCAUAUUCAUCUUACAAGUUGCUAUAACUAGUAAAUUCAUUUAUGUGAAUUUUGAGUAUAAUUCUCUAUUUGAGUUUGACAAGUUUUAAACCUUUUGCGUAAAUUUAGUUUCAGCUGGUGGCUGGUUUUUUUGCCUUUCUGUUGCCUAUGGAUGAUAUGAAAAGCACAAUGACCAACGGGCUCGUCAUAACCUAAGUCUUUUUUGAGUUUUCCUUCUUUUUUUCUUUUUCCUGGUAUUGUUCACAGUACAUAAGGAUUAAACUAUGGUUUUGUUUAUCUGCAGUGGUAUUUGGAUUAGAUGGGUAACAACGCAUAUUCAUCGUAUCAAGUUUCUAUAACUAGUAAAUUCAUUUACGUCAAUUUUGACUAUAGUUCUCUAUUUGAGUUGACACUAUAGUUCUUUAUUUGAGUAUGACGAGGAAAAUUACUUAAAUUUCUUUUCAGCUGAUCAAGGGCUCAACAUAACCUUAAAUCUUUUUUGACUUUCCCUUUUAUUAUUUUUUUUAGGUAUUACAUAAGGAUUGAACUAUGAUUUGUUUAUCUGCAGUGGUGUUAUGAUUAGUUGGGUAACUUCACAGAUUCAUCUUAUCAAGUUUCUAUAAUUCAUUUAGGUGAAUUCUGAGUAUAAUUCACUAUUUGAGGAUGAUGAGUUUUGAACAUUUUGUGUAAAUUUCUUUGCAUAUUUUCAGUUAUUGGCUGGUUCUCUGGCAUUUCUUUUGCCUAUGAAUGAUAUGAGAAGCACAACGACCAAGGGGCUCAACAUAACCUAAGUCUUUUUUGAGUUUUCCUUAUAUUUUUCUUUUUACUAGUAAUAAUAACAGUACAUAAAGAUUGAACUAUGAUUUGUUUAUCUGCAGUGGUGUUUGGACUAGUUGGGUAACGACGCAGAUUCAUUUUAUCAAGUUUCUAUAACUAGUAAAUUCAUUUACGUGAAUUUUGAGUAAAAUUCUCUAUUUGAGUAUGACGAGGUUUAAACCUUAUGCGUAAAUUUCUUUUCAGCUGGUGGCUGGUUUUUUGGCAUUUCUUUUGCCUAUGGAUGAUAUGCAAAGCACAACGACCAAGGGCUCGAUAUAACCUUAAGUCUUUUUUGAGUUUCCCUUAUAUUAUUCGUUAAUGGUUUUACAUAAGGAUUGAACUAUGAUUUGUUUAUCUGCAGUGGUGUUUUGGAUUAGUUGGGUAACGUCGCAUAUUCCUCUUAUCAAGUUUCUAUAGUUAGUAAAUUCAUUUAUGUCUAUAUGAGGAUGACAAGUUUUGAACCUUCUGCGUAAAUUUCUUUGCACCUUUUCAGCUGGCGUUCUCUAGCAUUUCUUUCUCCUAUGGAUGAUAUGAAAAGCAGAAGGACCAAGGGGCUCAACAUAACCUAAGUCUUUUUUGAGUUUUUUUUUCUAUUUUUCUUUUUCCUGGUAUUGAUGACAGAACAUAAGGAUUGAACUAUGAUUUGUUUAUCUGCAGUGGUGUUUGGAUUAGUUGGAUAACGACGCAUAUUCAUCUUACAAGUUUCUAUAACUAGUAAAUUCAUUUACGUGAAUUUUGAGUAUAAUUCUCCAUUUGAGUGUGACGAGUUUUAAACCCUUUUUGUAAAUUUACUUUCAGCUGGUGCCUGGUUUUUUGGCCUUUCUGUUGCCUAUGGAUGAUAUGAAAAGCACAACAACCAAGGGCUCGACAAAACCUUAAGUCUUUUUUGAGUUUCCUUCUAUUUUUUUAUGGUACUACAUAAGAAUUGAACUAUAAUUUGUUUAUCUGCAGUGGUGUUUGGAUUUGUAUAACGUCACAUAUUCAUCUUAUCAAGUUUCUAUAAUUAGUAAAUUCAUUUAGGUCUAUAUGAGGAUGACGAGUUUUGAACCUUUUGCGUUAAUUUCUUUGCACCUUUUCAGCUGGAGUUGAGUUGUGAACUUGUUUGGAAGUUUUGCAUGUAAUCUCCUUUGAGCCUAGACUGCAAUGUCUCUUAUGCUGAAAUCUUUGAAAUCAGAAUAAUGAACCGGAGUGACAACAAUGCUCUAACGCUGAAAUUUUUGAAAUCAGUAUAAUAAUGAUCCUGAAAUUGUUUAAAUGCUUCACUUUUGUUUCAACAAUCUCCAUUUAUGUUUCUCAUUCUUCGAGUUUUGAAAUCAGCAUUUAUUUGUUUGCAGCACAUUUUGUCUUUAUUUGAGGUUUCUCUUUCAGAUUGUUAACUCAACCAGUGAUGGAAUAUAGUGGGACGGCUAACAUGUCUUAUCAACAAGUUUGAGUGUUUAUCCAAAACCAUUCCAUUCAUUUCUUUUUCAUAUUUGUACAAUUUGGAAAAGGAUUGUAUCCGAGAAAGAUAAUGGAGUUUUGGAGGUGAAUUUGUUAAUUUUAAUCAGAUUGACGAACGUCUCUUGGACAGGAUUUCGUCUCUAUUUGAUAUUUUCAGAUUUGAUCACCAAACAUAUGGAUUUUCUGUUGUCAUUUGUUUUUGUGCAGUGAUAUUUGCAUAAUGUUUCAUGCUACGUCUAAUCAAUCAUGUUGUUUGGAAGUUUGUAUGACUCUUGAUAACAGGCUUUACAAGAGUUUGGGAGGAUUAGUAAUUUCAGAGGUGAUACCUAUUAUCAUAUUUGUGUCUUGUAGUGUGAACUGUUCAAGUUUAUUCAUUUGCAAGAGGGAUCAAUUCUCCACUUUUGAUGCAGAAGAUUAGAUGGCUAACAUUAUUGUCCGUUCAUUUGAUCCAGCAAGAGCCCAUUCUAGAAAUGUGGUCUUCUCUUUAAAGGCCUUUAGUAUUUUACUAUCAUAAAUAGAUAUUAUUUCUGGUUCUAUUGUUUUGACUGAGAGGAAGUCACAAGUCUUGUUGAUAUAUGAUGAUCUCUUAUCAUUUCCCCUUAAUUCUUGGUUGUUGUUUUGACAGGGUAGGGUUUGGGGAGUCUGGGUUUUUGGAUUAGGAAUUGUCCAACCACCAACAAUGUGUGUACAAGUUUGAAAUAUAUGAAUGAAGGCUGUCAAGGAAAAUGAUUACAGCAAUGAAGGCUAAAAAAAAAAUUGCGGAAGCAGAGUCUCCUAGAUCAGGAUAUAUAUAUGCUAGAGUGGAAAGAAAUAGAUGAAAUAUAUUUCUGAGAUAUCUUACAAAUGUGAUUACAGUCUCUAUUUAUAGACUGUUUUACAACCUAAUUAAAGAAAGAAAUAAUAGGUGAUGAAAGCCAGAAAUAAAUAAUGAGUGUUUAAAGCUGUACAAAUCAAAUAAAAUAAAAUCACUAACAAAUCUGUACUAAUAAAUAUAAAAUGGAAUCUGCACUUAAUUAUAACAUAAUUCUCCUGAUUAUGCAACAGUUAGUUUGAAUUUUAUUGAAUUACAUAAAUGCUUUAUUAAUAUGAUCAUUUGAUUAUAGCAGAAUUGUAGUGGUUUUUAUAAAAUUAUUCUUAGUAGUUAUAUAAUUAUUCAUGGUUGUUAUAUUACCUUUAAUAGUUAUUGUUGUUGGAAAAAUAAUCUAGAAGUCCUUUGUUGGCUAAUGAUUCUCUAACAUUUUUUUAAAAAUUUUAUAGUAGUUGUAUUUUGAUUUGACAAUUUAGUUUAGUUUCUUUUAUUGACUCUUAUAGCUAAUUAAUAUUGACUUUCAUUAGAAUGUUGAUGAUGAUGUGAAUGAUGUGUUUUAAUGUUGAUUGUGUUGUGAUUCUAUUUUAUAAAAUAUUGUUUUAUGGUAAUCAUUAAUCAAUUGCUUUGUAUACACUCAUUUAUCAUAUUGCUGUAUGACAAAUCUUAAAGCCCUCUAAGAGAAAGGUUCCUGGGUUGCUUUGUGGAAAGUUUUAAACUCGCUCGCAAUGGUAAAGGAUGGAUCAAUGUGCUUUUAUGCAAGAAUUAUUAGUAAAUUCAUUUACGUGAAUUCUUAGUAUAAUUCUCUAGUUGAUUAUGACGAGUUUUUAACCUUUUCAGCUUAUGGCUGGUUCCCUAACAUUUCUUUUGCCUAUGGAUGAUAUGAAAAGCCCAACAAUCAAGGGCUCAACAUAAAGAAAGUCUUUUUUGAGUUUCCCUUCUAUUAUUCUUUUUGCUGGUAUUGAUAACAUAAGGAUUGAACUAUGAUGUGUUUAUCUGCAAUGGUGUUUGGAUUAGUUGGGUAACAUCGCAUAGUCAUCUUAUCAAAUUUCUAUACUUUGUCUUAAUAAGAGUGUUUAUUGUUUCCUUCAAUUUUUGGACUAUCGUUUCCUUCAAUUAAAUUUGGUGUUUGUGUUCAUUCCUUUUCAGCAAGUCCUGAGUCUUUGAGAUUUCUUUUGGUGGUUGAGGAACUACAGAAUGGUUGUAGAUCAGGAUAUCCUAAUUUCUCUAUACUUGAUCACCGAACAUUGAAUAGUGAUUUGUUCUUAUGCAGUAAACAUAAGGAUUUAAUUUUGAUUAUUUUCGUAUAAUGUCCUUUAUCUCAUGGAGUAUGUUAUGUGGCAUAAUAGUUUAAUUGUAAUUUGCUUCUUUGCAGCGUGAAAUUGGCUUACCGUAUUGCAUCUUAUGGGGUAUGUUAUGAGUGACCGUGUCUCCCUUAAUUUUUUAAUUUAUCUAAUAGUCCUUUAUUACCUGUUAUAGUUUUGUUGAAUUAUUGUUCUUUAUAGGGAUGUGUGGUAAUUAGCAAGAGCUCAGGACUAUUUGGUUUCAAUUUUUUUAUAACAAAACUUUAUUUUGCCUUUAUUAGUUUCCUUCAUUGACAAAUGAAUUUUGAACUUGGUUCUUGCAAAGCAUCAAUGUCCUUGCCUAAUUUGUGUUUCAAGAUUAUUGAUCUUUCGUAUUGAAGUUCUGAAAAUUUAGGUGGAGCAGUAUUGAAAAGAUGGAUCUUGAAGUUAUUCCUUUCAUUUUAGUAGUGUAAUUAGCAAGAGCUCAGGAUUAUUUGCCUCCAUUCUUUGAUUACAGAACUUUUUAUUUUGUUUGUUCCUGCAUCGACAAAUGAAUUUUGAACUUGUUCUUGCAUAAUUUAUCAUUGGGAGGAAAUGAAUUGGUGGUUUAGGUUUGGGAAACAGUGGAUCGGGACCCUGUGGAAAUUUAGGUUUUGUUCUAUGUUUAUUAUUUCUUUGCUGUUAUUAUUCACGGAUAAACUUGUGGACUGGGAAUGUUUACCUCUAUAUGACAGGCACUGUAAACGUCUGUGUCAGCUAUUUAAUUUUCUCUUUCUUGUCCACACUCAGACAUUUCUUUCAGCAACUGAGUCAUUUAAAAGAGAGUUUCGUUUCUUUUCAUGUUCUUUAUUGUCAAAAUAACCUUUCUUUCUUUCUUAUCAGCUAUAGUAUUUAGUUUCACUGUGAUCUCGGGAUGUGUUAUUUGGAAGUGAUGUGGUUAUUCAUCCAAGGAUUAAUGUGUUAUUUGGAAGUGAUGUGGUUAUUCAUUCAAGGAUUGAGUUCCAUUCUCUUCGACUUGCUUUUGUUUGUUGUGUUCAUUGCUAUCAAACAACUUUCUUCCUUUUAAAUGUAUGGAGUCUAUUUUUUUAAGAUGAAAUCCCCACUAAAUGUAAUGUUUUUUUUUUCUUUCUUUUUCAUCAUUGCCUAGUUAUUUCUGUUUCUCAUAGGCUUGGUCUCAUCCCUUCAACUUGCAUUUGUUUGUGUUCAUUGCUAUCAAACAGCUUUCUUCUUUUUAAAUGUAUGGAGCCUUUUUUGCUACGUCUAGAUGUUGAUUUUCUUGUGUUCAUUCAUUUUUAGGUGUUGAUUUGUUCGUGUUAAUUCCUUUUUAGCAUCUCGAGACUGCCGGAAUGGUUGAGGAUUAAAAUCUGAAAUUGUUUAGAACCACCAAUAAUUCAGGAUAACCUUCAACUUUGUUUUAGGUGUCAUUUGUUUUAUGUCUCUCUUUGUUUUAAAUGUCUUAUUGUCUCUAUACUUCAACUUUAUGAGCCGUUUGUAGCCUUCCUGAAUUCUUGGGGUGUACAGGACAAACAUGCAACAGAUGUGAGGUAGGAAAGAUGUGAGUAUCCUUGAAGCUUGAAUACUGGCAGGAGAUCCUUGAAGCUUUAGGUUUUGGUAUCCACACAUAUUUUUGUCUUUAAUUGGGACUGGCUAUUUGAAUUUCUCUGGUUUUUGAAUUCCUUCAAUUCAUUAAUUCAUUUUGUCCUUUCUUAAAUUCUGGGUCUUUAUUACCAAUAUCUAUUUGAAUUUAAAUAUAGUUCUUAAAUUUUUUAUGUAUAGGUGUUGAUUCGUUUGUGUUCAUUCCUUUUUAGCAUGUAAGACUGGUUGAGGAUUAAAAUCUGCAACUGUACACGAAAAAACAAGCAACGGAUGUGAGCUAGGAUAUCUGAAUACUGGAAGGACAUGCUUGAUUCUAUAGGUUAUCCAUACUCUUUGAUGACAGAUGUCUACUUGAGUUUGGAUGUAGUUAUUUAUUUGAUGACUGAGAUCUAUCAUAUGUAACUGUUUAUCUGCUUGUGUUAGUUCCUUUUCAGCAGGGGAUUCUGGUUUAGGAUAAAAAAACAUAAAUUUGAAUAUUGUUCUUGUCCGAUUAUCAAAAUAUGUAAAACCUAGCUAUUUGAUGUUGAUUCUUUUUUAGCACAUUAAAGGUUAAUAAUAAUACAAUACUCAGGGAAGAUGUCUCCUCUUUAUUUGAAACUUUGUAGAUUGAGCAUAUUUUUCGAGACUGAUAUAUGAGGUAGGAUGUGGAAACACUGGGAUUUGUGAAGCUUUAGGUUUUGUUAUCCUUACAUUUCUUAUGUUUUUAUUUGUGACUAACUAAACUUCUUGUUUGGAUGCUAAGUUUUGGUUGGAUUCAUUGCAGACCUUGUAGUGUGUCUGACAGUUCUUAUUGGUGUAUAUGUAGCAAUCACUAGCAGACUAUUAGAGGUCCUGUAAUUUGGGGAGGAUUUGUCUGACAGAAUUUCUAACAACUUAAUAUGAAGUACUGAAUUAAUAGUGAAAAAAAAGAUAAAGAAAAAAUAUCAUGGCCAUUAAAAGUUUAUGUUUCUUGUCCUGUUCAGCCAUGGCACUUGUCAGUGAGCUCUUGCUUCUUUCUCUAUUGCCCCAUAUGCAUACUUUUUCGCAUUUCUUACUCUUUUUUUAAGUUGUUCAUUUUUAAGUAAUUUAGGCUUCUCAUACUGGUUUCAUAGUGAAAUUUGAGCCUUUUACAUGGUGCCAUUGAAAUUAAGGAGGGAAUUAAUGAUCUUUAGUUUUAUAGUACUGAAUUAAUUUGGAUUUGCUUAGGUGUAGCAAAUUUGAAAGGUCAUUUUCUUAGUUAUUACUUCAUUUACUAAAUUAUCAAGAGCAUUGAACAAUUUGAUUUUGUAGUGUUUUGUUUGCUGCCUUGACAAAUGAAUCUUGCAUUCUAUUGUUUUUAGUAAUUUUGGGUUACAUUCUGAAUAUGACAUAUGAUGAUCUCUUAUAUCUUCCAAAAUGAGAAUGAUCUCCAACAUUAGAGCUGUAUUUAGUUCUAUCUCCAAUGUGAGAAUGAGAAAAUUGAGAGCUGUAUUUAGUUUUAUCUCCAAUUAUCUCUAAUAUUAGAAUGAGAAACAACAGUAGUUGAAAUGUUUUCUUGUAAUCUAUCUUCGUGUGCUAUGAUUCAGUUCUCUCUCCAUAUAUGAGAAUAAAAAAUGAGAAAGAGAAACAACAUUAUUUGGAAUGUUUUGUCGUAAUCUUCUUGCACUAUGAUUUUGUUCUCUCCCAAUAUGCGAAUGAGAAAAUGAAAAACAACAGUAUUUAGAAAGUUUUGUCGUAAUCUUGCGCUAUGAUUUGGUUCUCUCCUCAAUAUGCAAUGAGAAGAUGAGAAACAACAUUCCUUAACUUGUAAUUGAUUUUAUAUUAAUUGUUUAACUAUUCACUUCAUGUUUUUCUAAUUUGAAGAUAUCUCUUUACUAAAAACAAUGUAAUUAAUUUUAUAUUAAUUGUUUAGCUAUUCA